rnacentral:lncRNA from 1 species
UAUUCUCAACUCGUUCAUUUCAUUUUACUUCAAUUUCAAUAUCGGCUCUUAGAUGUAAUUUCUCCUCUUCGUUCCCUCAUACCAGAAAACCCAAAUCUUCAAUUUCGAAAAAUGAGCUUUCAGAUCCGACUACAACAGCUAAACUGAAGGAGUCGCUACGACUGACAGUCAAAGACCGAGCCUCACUCGAAAAAUUCCUCAAAGAAAGGUGCAAAUCAUCAGGUCAAGGUGAUAUUAAUCUUAUAACUCCUAAUGAAGCCUUGUGUAUCUUUGAUUACAUGCUCAAUAUGCGCCCUUCUCCGCCUCCUGUCACUUCCUUCAAUCUUUUGUUUGGUUGUCUUGCCAAGACUAAACAUUAUGAUACUGUCCUUUCACUCUUCAAGAGACUCAAUUCCACUGGGUUGUUUCCGGAUCUUUAUACUUACAACAUAUUGAUUAAUUGCUUUUGCAAAAUGGGUCGAGUUUCUCAUGGUUUUGUUGUUCUUGGGAGAAUCCUCAGGUCUUGUUUUACUCCAGAUGCUGUGACCUUUACUUCUUUGAUUAAAGGUUUGUGUGCGGAGAGUAGAAUCAUGGAGGCCGCCGCAUUGUUUACGAAACUUACAGUGUUUGGUUGUAAGCCUGAUGCUUUUACAUACACCACUUUGGUUAAUGGAUUGUGUCGAACCGGCCACUUUGAUUAAGCCUGAUGCUUGGGAACUGUUUCAAAGUUUGUCUCGUGUAGGCCUAUUGCCAAAUGUUGUAACAUAUAAUAUCAUGAUCCAUGGGCUUUGUAAUGAUGGGCAAAUGGACAAGGCACAUGAUUUGUUUCUUGAUAUGGAAGCAAAAGGUGUGGAACCCAAUUGUGUCAUAUUUAAUACGAUUAUGCUGGGUUUCAUCCGCAAUAAUGAGACAUCAAAAGUUAAUGAACUCCUUCAGCGAAUGGAUAAUAGAAAUGUAAUGCCAGACGCAUCUACACUUUCAAUUGCUGUGCACUUACUUGUAAAGAAUGAAAUUAGCUUAAACUCGAUUCCACAAUUCAAGAGUCAAAGGUAAGUGAGUUUAAUACUCAUUUAGCCGCAUGUUUCUUCUGCCUGAAAACCCAAUCUGGAGGAUCCUAUUCUUAUUACAUGUAAAGGAGUGUUGUCUAAUGUUGGCAUGUUCCUAGGUUCUGUCCAUGGAUUCUGUUUGCAGACAUGGCUAACUUCUUGUUCAACAGAAAGUUUUAAAGUCUUUCAACUUUAUGUUGUAAAAUAACUUUUUUAUUAUUCAAUUCAUGAGUUUUUCUUCUAUAACACAUCCUUCUCAUUAGCUGGAAGUGCAAAUUUUUUAGGCUUUUCCUGUAUGGCCUCUUUUUCUGCUCUAAAUAAAAUGGCAUUUUAUUUCCCUCCUGUGAGGGUACAACGUUUAUGUUUAAAUUUUCUGUUAGUUAAAUUGGCUGUCUUUGAUAUAGGGAACUUCCAGUUGUACUGAUUUGUAAUUCGAGUAUAUGAGAUUACCAACUGUAAUGGGAAUUGAUGCCAAAUUAAUUAUGUCAUCGGGUUUUUCAAUCAGUGUUCAUCAUUUAUUUCUGUUAACAAUUAAUAGCACAGCUUGUCUUCGCAGCUUCAUUGGUUCCUCUCAAAAAUAAUCUUGUAAAGACAAUUUUUGUUUUUUGGCAUGUUAAAUGCUAGAUUGUUUGUGUGUAUUGGUAUUUGUUAUACUAUGUAUUGGCAAGACAGUUUCUUGAAACUGACAAACUUUUCUCUAUGAAGAUUGAAGACAAUAUGAUAAGAUAAACUUUAACAAAAGCAUAGAUGCUUGCCAGCGCUGGACCUUUGAUUAAUAGUCCUCGCCUUUCGUUCUUGUUUCAUAUUCUUCUGCUAACAAAUCUUGAUCAUGAUUGUCUUCUCUUUUCUUUGCAACCCACAUAUAAAGUCUCGGCCAUAAGCCUCGAGGCCUAUUCUCUUUUGUAAAGGUGAGUUGAAGAAACAGCAAGGGACUCCAAAGCAAAUGGUGUAGAGCACCUUUCACUUAUCACGGGCACAGGAUUACUCUGACUUUCUGCAUUUUACUGUUGGCUAUGGUUUGAUGCAUUAUUUAUUGUUCUGAAAUACCAUUCUCGUUGGAAGUUCAAUCAUUACUGUUUCUUUUUUCCCCCCUUUUUACUUGAAGUUACCUGAACUUCCAUGCAUGCUCCAAUAGAACGAGUAAUGUAAUGUAGGUGUUGACCAACUCCAAAUAAGUAGUUAGUUGCCUAGUAGUUGGAAUAAAAUUCUCAAUGAUUGCGAGCCUCGAUAGCUUUAGGAUGAACCAGACCAUCAUGAAUUCUGGUGCAUCUUUUAAGGUCCAAUUUCUCCAAGUUUAUCAUCAAGCUAAAAAAUGCCCUAAUUCCUUUUCCAGUAUUUUCAUAAUGCGUUUACUAAAUUGGAACUGAAAUGAACUAGAAUAAAAACAGAAAAUGUAAAUUAGAAUAAAUUAUUUACUUGAAUUGUAGGAAUUAGAAUCGGAAUAAGCUGGAUUGUUAUUGAUGUGUCAACUUUGUCUUGGAAUCAAAAUAGAAAUGAGUUACAUUUUAACAACUUACUAAAAAGUACUUAACGAACUAUUGUCAUCAUUAUUAUUUUAUAUUUUAAUUAUGGUGAUUAUUUAUUCAAAAAUUAUUAUUAUUAAUUAUUUUUAAUAAUAUAUUAAUAUACUAAUUAAUUGAAAAAAAAAUUAAAUUAAUUAAUUGUUAAUAUAUUAAUUGAUUAAUUAUAAUAAUACAUUAAUUAAUUAUAACUAAAGACAAAACAUACAUUUUUUUAUUCUGUAACAGGGCAAAAUGGUCAUUCCAAAGAAUGUGAGUUAAAUUGUUUAAUUUAAUUUAUAUCUGUUGUAAUAUAUAGCUUAAUUAUAGUGUAAAAACAAUGACAAUGUAAUUUUUUUUUUAAUGCUAAUACUAAAACUUUAUCAUCAUGCAAUUUUUUAUAAUUACUAUUUUUUAAUUAUUUAUGGUAUAUUUGUUUAUUAAUUAAAUAAACUAUUAUUUUUUUAACUAUGACAUAAAUGUUUAGUAAAAACUAUUUAUGAAAUAGUACUACCGAAAACAUAUUCUUUAUUUUUAUUUUUUUCAAUUAUGUCUACCGAACACAUAUUACUAAUUUCAAUUUUAAAAUAUAGAAUAUAGAAAAUGAUACCAGACGCAUAUUUAAAAUCAAAAUACACCAAUUGUAAAAUUUCAUUUUCAUUUUCAUUUUCAUUUUUUUUUCAGAAAAUGCUAAUUCAGAAACAAUACCGACCAUAAACUUAUUUUUGGUAUGAAUAAUGUUGUGCUACUUUUAUAGAACUUACAUGCAACCUCAAAUUUAUUAGAAGUAUCAACUGAAACCCCUUUUACCAAGUUAUUACAACUAUAUUUACUUCUUGAAGUGGGAGUGAGAAAUGUGGAUUCCUCAUACUCCAGUGAUUACUUGUAUAUUUUAAGGGAUGUGAGAAUUCCACUCCAUGGGUUCCACCCAUUUUUUGAGUUUAUUAUUUUAUAAAAUUUCAUUUAUUAAAAAGAACAAUAUCAAUCUCGUUUAAAUAAAAUAUUAUUAUAUUUAUUUGAGAUUAAUGAUUAAUAAUAAAUAGUUUAUUCUAAGAAAAUAUUAAUUUUCUACUAUGUUAGUAAUAAUAAUGUUUCAUUUCUAUUGCUCUCAUCAAUAGUUUUUAAUUUAGAUAAUUAAAUUAAAACUAACAAAAAAUUAUUAUUUACAUAAUUAAUAAUAUUAAUAAUUAUUGUUAAUUUAAAAAUAUAAUGAAAUAAAUAUUUUAUUUUUCAAAUAUAUUUUUUUAUUAAUUUUUAAUUAAAAACUAUAAUUUUUUAAAUAAGGAUAAAACUGUAAUCUGAAACUACUUACUCUUGAUCCGAGACAAAGUAAACAUGUAAAUUGAAUUUUAAUUCCAAUUCCAUACUCCUAUUCUAGUGUAAGUAAACAAUCUACUCUCAUUCUACACUCCCAAUCUCAGGAUUCACACUUCUCAGGAUUCUCACUCUAUUCGAAAAUGUAAACGCUAACAAAAUGUAGACCAGACAUAGGUGUAUAUAUAUAUAUAUUCUUAAUCAAACAUCAAAUAAAAUUCUUAAUUAAGUAAACCAUAAGGUGAUUGCGCAUAAAAAAUAAUAAUAAUAUUAAUUUUCAUAAGAAUUUAUGCUCGUAGUAUUUCAUUACUUUUUAUUAACCGUUGCUUCAACUUAUGGUGGGUAUUAAGAGAACAAUAAUAAUAGAGUUAUAAACGGUUGCAUACUAUCAAUUAAAUUAACACUAUAAUUUGGUUUACCAUACAAAUCCUUAAUAUCAUAAAUAAUUAAAUUAUUGGGGUUUUAAAAUGCAGACUUGCCAUGGCUCCUAUAAGUAAUAUCAGCCGCACUCUUUGUUAUUGGUAAAAAAAAUUUCUAGGUACAAUUUGUGAAUUUGUACAACGUGCGGUAUUAAACAUUUGAAGCAUGAACUGACAAUGUUGUGUCAAUAAUAAAGAAAAGAAAACGAAUUGUAUAAUACACAGGUGUUCUAGUGUAACUUGGAUUCUUUUUCUUUAUAAGUGCACCUAUUAUGUGAUUUUUUUUUGAAAAAAGAAAAAGAAAAAAAGAACUCUUGAGAUUUUAAAAUUUUGUAAUUGCACUAUCUUUAGAUUGUCAGGAGAUUUUCUCUCCUUAAAGAUGCCCUUAAUCCAUAAACGGUCCAAAAAAUAAUUCAUAAAAUGAAUUGAUUAUUUUAGAUAAGUUUCAAGAAUGCACACCUUUUAUAACUCCAUAUUGCAUAACUCCUCAUUUCACUCAAUGGAUGCAUUUGUUCACUUUUUCUUUCUUGUAAAUUUUUGAAUGGCCGUAAUUCUAUAGAUUAUUAGUUAAGUGUUAUUAUUAUCAUUUUUUUGUUGAUGCAUAUGUGGGGUGGGGCCGAUUGGGGGGCAUGGAUCUCAAUACAGCAGAGGGCCAAAAUAUUUAUUCUUUAAGAGGAACCACAACCAACAACAAUGCCUUAAGUUCCAUUCCAUGUUACUUCUGUGCACUAGAUUGCAUAAACAACAUUAUCCAAGGUCAAAGUCUCUCAAAGACUUUGGUUACAAGACAAAGCAUGGGAUUGCAGCCAAAAAUUUCUUGUAGUGAAAGGCUCAUAAACUGAUGACAAUUGUCGGAUUGUUUUGGGCCUCAAUAGUUUUAAUAUUAUUCUCUUAAAAAUAUAUAUAUUGAUUAGAGAUGAGAGGAAGAAGAUGAUAUGAUUUAGCCAGCUGUACAAGAAAGAGUACGCAGUGGAGUCUAGAUUUUGAUUUCUCUUGUUAAAUUAUUUUCAAUUUACUACAAGGUAGAAUAAAUUGCAUUCUUAAAAAAUACUUUGAACAUCAUAUUUUUGUAUUACAAAUAUACCAAAAAUUAAAUUACUUUUUUUUUUAUCAGUAUAAACUAAAAUUUGCCUGAAUCCUCAUCUUUGUAAGUGGAAUUCUAUUAUGAAACUAAUAGUCCUUCCUAGUGCUAACUGUCACUUUGAACAUGUGUCAUCUCUAACAACAACUUCCAGACCUGCAGCUAGCUGCUUUUUAGCAUUAGAAGUAGCAUCCACAUUGGCUUUCAACUAGCCAUAAUUCGGAGGAGGGGACCAUUGUUUCUGUUUGUCAGUUUUCUUCCUUGAAGCAUACGCCAUAAUUAGGAGGAGGGCAAGCUUCCAAAUAGCAUUUCGAAUGGUAUUUUGAAAAUCUUCCACCCUUUUGGUUAAAAAAAAUAAAAACCUUAUUUCUAGUUCUUUCUUAACAAUCUUAUCACUUUAAGUUUUCCUCUUAAGUAGGAACAUCAUAUAUAUUAAUUUGUUCUUAAUACAAAUAAAACUAAAUAUUUAUGACUUAAAAGAUAGGUAUUGAAUGGCAGGCGUCUCACUCAAUAUAUAUAUAUAUAUAUAUAUAUUUAAAAGCAAUGGUGAUAUCAUCAUUUUUUGUACUGAUAUGAAAAUAUCACACUAGAUUUUUUUCUCGCAUUACAAAAAGUUUGAAUUCAAGAAUAAAUAAGCAAUAUCAAGAACAAUUUUUACAAAACGCCUCCAGGACAUGCCAUAUGAAUUUGUGAUACGAAAAAUAGUAUACUAGUCACUGGAUCUUCUUUUCCUCAUUAGGAAAAAUUAGAAAUGCAAUCUAAAUUGAUAUCAAUAACUAAUUUUAUAGUGAAUGGGUCUUGCACGAAAACAAGAAAUUUUUUUAUAAUAUAAGAAAUUAUUAGUCAUUUAUCCUAAAUUUAUUUUGUCUCAAAAAAUACUACAAAAACUUUAACUUGCUUUGUUUUUUUACCUUAAUUUAUAAUUUGUAUCAGUCACUCUCUAAAACGAUAGAAUCACUUCAUAAAAUGACAAAAUAAAAAUAAAUACAAAUGACAAAACCGGUUCAUUUUAUAAGGAUAAUUCAAUCCGUUUGGCUUCAAAUUACAAAUUAAAUUAUUUCAAAUAUUAUAAAUUAUUUUUAUACUGGGUGAUGGACCUAAUCAUUUUAAUACUUAUGACAAUUUAAUCUAUCUAAAUAUAAAAUUUUGAGUAGACUUAUGUUUGAGUAGGAGGAUAAUGUAAGAAAAUUUGGCACUUUUAUUCAACUGAAGAAAUUUUACAAUUUAAAUUAAAAACGAUAAAAUUUAAUAAUUAACUAUUAUUUGAACUAAUUGAAUCGUGCGCCAUCAUUUGUGUAAUGUAUCCUAUUGCAAAAUAAACGGCAGGAUGCGGUUUGCGUUAAUGUAUCCUAUUUUGGUAAUUCUCUUCUUCUUCUUCAACCCCAAAUAAUCAAAAGCUCUCCAAUGGCUUUCGUAUCCUCAACUCGUUCAUUUCAUUUUACUACAAUUUCAAUAUCAGCUCUUAGUUGUAAUUUCUCCUCUUCGUUCCCUCAUACCAGAAAACUCACAUCUUCAAUUUCGGAAAAUGAACCCUCAUAUCCGACUACAACAGCUAAACUGAAGGAGUCGCUACGACUGACAGUCAAAGACCGAGCCUCACUAGAAAAUUUCCUCAGAGAAAGGUUCAAAUCAUCAGGUGAAGGUGAUAUUACUACUAUUACUCCUAAUGAAGCCUUUUGUAUCUUUGAUUACAUGCUCAAUAUGCGCCCUUCUCCGCCUCCUGUCUGUUCCUUCAAUAUUUUGUUUGGUUGUCUCGCUAAGAAUAAACAUUAUGAUACUGUCCUUUCACUCUUCAAGAGACUCAAUUCAACUGGGUUGUUUCCAGAUCUUUAUACUUACAAUAUCUUGAUUAACUGCUUUUGCAAAAUGGGUCGAGUUUCUCAUGGUUUUGUUGUUCUUGGGAGAAUCCUCAGGUCUUGUUUUACUCCAAAUGCUGUGACCUUUACUUCUUUGAUUAAAGGUUUGUGUGCGGAGAGUAGAAUCAUGGAGGCUGCCGCAUUGUUUACGAAACUUAGAGUGUUUGGUUGUGAGCCUAAUGUUUUUACAUACAAUACUUUGAUUAAUGGAUUGUGUCGAACUGGCCAUACAAUUGUUGCUCUAAAUUUAUUUGAAGAGAUGGCUAGUGGAAAUGGGGAAUUUGGUGUUGUUUGUAAGCCAGAUGCUAUUACAUACAGUACUAUUAUAGAUGGUCUUUGUAAGGAAGGUUUUGUGGACAAGGCCAAGGAACUGUUUCUGCAGAUGAAGUAUGAGAAUAUUAACCCGGAUGUGGUUACCUAUACCUCUGUGAUUCGUGGUUUUUGUUAUGCUAAUGAUUGGAAUGAGGCCAAGUGUUUGCUAAUUGAGAUGAUGGACCAAGGGGUACAGCCCAAUGUUGUGACUUUCAAUGUGAUCAUGGAUGAGCUCUGCAAGAAUGGAAAGAUGGAUGAGGCAAGUCGGUUGUUGGACCUGAUGAUUCAGAUUGGUGUGCGUCCAAAUGCUUUUGUCUAUAACACAUUAAUGGACGGGUUUUGCUUGACAGGUAGAGUUAAUCGUGCGAAGGAACUAUUUGUUUCUAUGGAGAGUAUGGGUUGCACACAUACUGUUUUUAGUUACAGUAUUUUGAUAAAUGGUUACUGCAAGAAUAAGGAAAUAGAGGGAGCGUUAAGCCUUUAUGGAGAAAUGCUCUCUAAAGGAAUUAAGCCAGAUGUUGUUAUAUAUAACACCUUGUUUGUUGUCCUUUUUGAAAUACACCAGGUUGAGCGUGCUUUCAAGCUGUUUGAUGAGAUGCAACGUGAUGGCGUGGCAGCUGAUACCUGGACAUAUAGAACCUUUAUUGAUGGGCUCUGCAAGAAUAGUUAUAUCGUAGAGGCAGUUGAACUAUUUCGCACUUUGAGAAUUCUCAAGUGUGAACUUGAUAUUCGAGCCUACAACUGCCUCAUUGAUGGAUUAUGUAAAUCCGGCAGACUCGAAAUUGCAUGGGAACUAUUUUGUAGUUUGCCUCGUGGAGUCCUAAUAGCAGAUGUUGUAACCUAUAACAUCAUGAUCCAUGGGCUUUGUAACGAUGGGAAAAUGGACAAGGCGCAUGAUUUGUUUCUUGAUAUGGAAGCAAAAGGUGUAGCACCCGAUUGUGUCACAUUUAAUACGCUGAUGCUAGGUUGCAUCCGCAAUAAUGAGACAUCAAAAGUUGUUGAACUCCUUCACAGAAUGGAUGAGAGAAAUGUAAUACCAGAUGCAUCUACACUUUCAAUUGUUGUGGACUUGCUUGUAAAGAAUGAAAUUAGCUUAAACUCCAUUCCACAAUUCAAGAGUCAAAGGUAAGUGAGUUUAAUAAUGAUUUAGUCGCAUGUUUCUUCUGCCUGAAAACUCAAUGUGGAGGAUCCUAUUCUUAUUACAACAUGUAAAGGAGUGUUGUCUAAUGUUGGCAUGUUCCUAGGUUCUGUCCAUGGAUUCUGUUUGCAGACAUGGCUAACUUCUUGUUCAACAGAUAAGUUUUAAAGUCUUUCAACUUUAUGUUGUAAAAUAACUUUCUUAUUAUUCAAUUCAUGAGUUUUCCUUCUGUAACACAUACUUCUCAUUAGAUGGAAGUGCAAAUUUUUUAGGCUUUUCCCGUAUGGCCUCUUUUUCUGCUCUAAAUAAAAUGGCAUUUUAUUUCCCUCCUGUGAGGGUACAAGGUUUAUGUAUAAACUUUCUGUUAGUUAAAUUGGUUGUCUUUGAUAUAGGGAACUUCCAGUUGAGCUGAUUUGUAAUUCGAGUAUAUGAGAUUACCAACUGUAUUGGGAAUUAAUGCCAAAUUAAUUAUGUCAUCAGGUUUUUCAAUCAUUGUUCAUCAUUUAUUUCUGUUAACAAUUAAUAGCACAGCUUGUCUUCUCAGCUUCAUUGGUUCCUCUAAAAAAUAAUCUUGUAAAGACAAUUUUUUUUUUUUGGCAUGGUAAAUGCUAGAUUGUUUGUGGUAAAUACAAAAUUGAUACAAUCAACUUGUAUGAUAAGUUUUAAAAGUUUAUUCAUAUUUAUAUUACAUAAUUAAAAGUUCAUUCAUAUUUAUAUGAGAUAUCUAUUUUAGGACACAGUUUAAUAAUCAUGGAAACUAACCAUUUAAUAACAAUUAUGGUCGUUUAACCUAUCUAAACAUGAAAUUGUCAGCUGGCUUAUCUUUGAGUAGGAGGAUAAUGUAAGAAAAUUAAUAUUUUAAUGUACAAUUUGUAUGCCAAGCGAAAAAUUUCACAAUUUAAAUUAGAAAAAAUAAAAUUUAAUAGUUAAAUAUUAUUUGAGCCAAUUGACUAGUGGGACAUUAUUUGUUACUGUCCAAAAAGCAUAACAUUAUUUUGAUAAAUGGUUACUGCAAGAAUAAGGAAAUAGAGGAAGCGUUAAGCCUUUAUAGCGAAAUGCUCUCUAAAGGAAUAAAGCCAACAGUUGUUACAUAUAACACCUUGUUUCUUGGUCUUUUUGAAAUACACCAAGUUGAGCGUGCUUUAAAACUGUUUGAUGAGAUGCAGCGCAAUGGUGUGGUUGCUGAUACCUCUACGUAUAAUACCUUUACUGACGGGCUCUGCAAGAAUGGUUAUAUCGUAGAGGCAGUUGAACUAUUUCGUACUUUGAGAAUUCUAAAGUAUGAACUGUGGUGUCCAAUUUCAUCACAUUUGGUACGCUUAUCCAUGGUUUUAUCCGAAUCAAUGAGCCAUCAGAAGUUAUUCAACUUCUUCACAUGAUGAAGGAGAAAAAAGUAAUGCCAGAUGCGUCUACAGUUUCAAUCGUUGUCGACUUACUUGUAAAGAAUGAAAUUAGUCUGAACUCACUUCCGUCAUUUCCUGUCCAAGAGCGACAGGGGGAAGUUGAUGAGUCAAAUGUCAAGUUGUAGCAGCAUGUCCUGUCCAUUGCUUCAAUCCUAAAUGCUUUGAUCUACCUGAAAAGUAUACAAAUAUCGGAGUUAAAACAGAGCAGAUUAAAUCGUAUUGAUGAACUCAACUGAGAUAAAUGACAAAAGAAAACUAACUUUUCCUGUUCAAAGCUCGCACACCUUCCUUUAAGAGCUGACUUUCCAAGAAGAGAUCACCACAAUCGUUCACAUCAACAGUCCACUUGAAAUUUUUUAUAACCACAAUAGUCAUUCCAUUCAAACCACAUCCUUGAGAUCAGUUCCUUCUUCAAGCAAGUGGGAUGGUCUUCCUCUUGAGGAGACUCAGCAGCAACCAAUCAAAGCACAAUAAAGGUAACAUCCAGAAUAAUGAUCCAAAUUUUUGUGGACUUACAUGCAAAGAAUGAAAUUGGUUUAAACUCGAUUCCACAAUUCAAGAGUUAAUGAGUUUAUCUUGAUUCAGUAGCGUGUCUCUUCUGCUUUAAAACCAGAUCUGGGGAAUCCCAUUCUUAUUACAACAUGUGAAGGAGUGUUUGUGUAUUGUUGGCAUGUUCCCAGGUUCUGUUCACGGAUUCUGUUUGCAGACAUGGCUAACUCCUCGUUUCAUCAGAUAAGUUUCAAAGUCUGGCAACUUUUUGUUGUAAAAAUAACUAUUUCAUUAUUCAAUUCAUGAGUUUUCCUUCUAUGGUGCAUCUUUCUCAUUAGCUGUAGUUUCAAAAUUUUUAGGCUCUUCCUGCAUGACCUCUUUUUCUUCUCUAAAUAGAUAAAAUUUGUUUUUCAUUUUUCUCUUGCGAGGGUACAGGUUCAUGUUGAAACUUUCUGUUAGUUAAAUUGAUUGUCUUUGAUAUUCGAACUUCUAGCUGAACUAGUUUGCACUUCGAAUAUAUGAGAUUACCAACUGUAACGGGAAUUGGUGCCAAAUUGAUUAUGUUAUCAGGUUUCCCAGUCUGUGUUCAUCUUGUCUUCUCUGCUUCUUUGGCUCCUGUCAAAUAUAAACUUGUAAAGACAUUUUGUUUUGGCAUGGCACAUGCUAGAUUUUGUUUUUGGUUUGAAUGAUAUUAGACAUCUAAGUAAUUGUCCAAAUUUUUUCGUUCCUAGUGACAAGGCAUUCAAUUGAAAUGGUGACUCAUGAAUCAUGAUUGUGUAUGUUGGUAUUUGUUAUACUACGCGUUAGACAAACUUUGUUGAAACUGACAUACUUUUCUCUAUGGAGAUUGAAGACAACAUAAUAAGAUAAAAUUUAUCCAAAACAUAUAUACUUGAAAGGGCUGGAACGUCUGUUAUUAGUCCUCGCCUUCCAUUCUUGUUUCGUAUUCUUCUGCUAACAAAUCUUGAUCAUGAUAGUCUUCUCUUUCUAUACAACCCACAUAUAAAGUCUUGGCCAUAAGCCUCGAGGCCUAUUCUCUUUUGCAGUGGUGAGUUCACUCUCAGGAAUCGGAUCCUUCAAAUUCGAGCGAAUUUGAAGAAACUGCAAAAGCCUACAAAGCAAAUGGUGUAGAGAACCUUUUACUUAUCACGGGCACAGGAUUACUGACUUUCUGCAUUUUACAGUUGGCUAUGGUUUGAUGCAUUAUUUAUUGUUCUCAAAUUAUAUUCUCGUUGGAAGUUCAAUCAUUACUGUUUCUUUUUUCCCCCUCUUUUUACUUGAAGUUACCUGAAGUUCCAUGCAUGCUCCAAUCGAACAAGUAACGUAGGUGCUGACCAACUCAAAAUAAGUAGUCAGUUGCCUAGUGGUUGCUUUGCAUGAAAUUUGUUUUUGGUAUGAAUAAUGUUGUCUUAAUUUUACAAGCUUCCAUGCAACUCCUAAUUUGUUGGAAGCAUUAACUCAACCCGUCAUUUAAGGUUAGAUUUAACCAUUGACUUAUGUUGACUAUUAAAAGUACUAUAAUAUUUUUAUAUUUUAUAAAUAUAACGAAACCUCACUUUAUUAACAAAUAUAAUUUAAAAUAUAAAAAAUCAAUAAUAAAAAAUAACUAAAGUUGAAAUCCAAGGAGCAACUUCUAUCCUCUAACCAAGUUAUUAAAUAUUAGAAUAGAUAGAGGCAUAUACUUUUCUUCAUGAUUCAGAAUCAUAUCUCAAAGUCAAAUAAAAUUCUCAAUGAUUGCAGGCCUCAAUACCAUUAAGAUGAACUAGACCAUCAUGAAUUUUUGUGCAUCUUGCAAGGUCCAAUUUCUCCAAGUUUAUGAUCAAGCCAAAAAAUGUCAUAAUUCCUUUUAUAGUAAUUUCAUAGUGUUUACUAAACAAUAAUAGAAAUGGACUGAAAGACAAAUAGGGAAUGCAAAUUAGAAUAGGGAUGGCAAUGGGGAGGGGGGAGGGGACCAACAUCCCUGUACCCAUUCCUGAUGUUUUGUAUAUAUCCUUAUCCCCUUCCCGUCCCCAUCAGAAUUGCUUAAGGGGAUUCUCGUCCCCUCUCUAAAUAAUAACAAGGAAUCCCCAAGGGUCCCCGAUCCCCAAAUAACUGAUAUAUUUGUUUAGUUUUCAAACUUAAUUUAAUCAUAUUAACCUAAAAAUAUAUAAAAUAAAAUGAAAAUGAUCAUGAAUGGGCCUUAUAUUUCAUUCUACUCUUUCAAACUUUUGAUAUAUAUAAUAUUCAAAUAAUGAUUUUCAAAACAAAAUUCAAAUAAUGUGAUUUUUAUACAAUAUUGACGUGAUUGUUGUCCAUGAGUAAUGAUACCUGCUGAUGACCGACUAUGAUGCAACAAAGCCGCAUAUGUGGCUGCUAGUUGGCGUUGCGAUGAGUUAGGCUACUCGGCCACUGACAACACAACGUGCUACUGAGUUAUGAUGAGAUGAAGACGAGUUGAGUGCUUACUACUGCAUGAAUAUUUUGGAAAUGAUGAGCAAGACUGUGAGAAAGUGAUUUAGAGUUUGAUUUGUGAGUUAUGAGCUUGUGGUUGUAAUUAAGUCUAAAUUAUAUUAAACAUUUUAUAUUAACUAAUAUUUAUAUUAUUUGUAUAAAUAUUUUGAUAUUUGUUAUUUACACCAAUAUUUUAUAUUUUACAAUUUAAAAUUUAUUAUUUAUUGACUAAUAAUUCUAGAAAAAUAAAAAAAAAUAUUAAAAUAGAGAAAUGGGGAGGGGACGGGGAUUACACCUCAUCCCCAUCCCUUCCAUGAAUAAGUAAUUGGGUAAAAAAUCAUCAUCGUCCCUUCCCCGAAUAAGAAGUUUGGUAUAAAAUCGUACAUGUACCCUCACCAAAUGGGAAAAAUCCCCAAGAGCCCCCAUCCCCAUCGGGAUUUCUGCUAUUCCUAAAUUAGAAUAAAUUAUUUAUUUGAACUGUAGGAAUCAGAAUCAAAAUAAGUUGGAUUAUCAUUUAUGUGUCUAUUUUGUCUUGGAAUUAAAAUCAAAAUGAUUUACAUUUUAACAACUUACUAAAAAGUGCUUAAUGAGCUAUUGUCAUAAUUAUUAUUUUAUAUUUUAAUUAUGGUAAUUAUUUAUUCAAAAAUUAUAAUAAUUAUUAUUGUUAAUAAUAUAUUCAUAUAUUAAUUAAUUGAAAAUUAUUUAAAUUAAUUAAUUAUUAAUAGAUUAAUUAUAAUAAUACAUUAAUUAAUUAUAACUGAGGAUAAAAUAUAUAUUUUUUAUUUUGUGAGGGGAUAAAAUGGUCAUUUCAAGGAAUGCGAGAGUCAUUCCUGCCUCCCUUGAGAAUUAAUCUUCCAUUUGUCAUUCCCAAAUUGCUGUGGACUCAACGAUUUUCAAUUCCGAUUCUUGACUCUAUUUUGUGAAGUAAAUGCUCUCAAUAAUUUCGAUUCCUCAAUCCGAAGAAGUAAAUGCACAGGUACUGUUUCUUCUAAAGCUCAAACUUGUCAGGUUUGAGAGACCUGAUAGAUACUUCAGUCAUGCAUCUAAUCCAUCAUAAGACAAACUGAAAGUUAGAAAUAAAAGGGACAACUCAAGGAAAAUGCACACAAGUGAGGUUUCAAAAUUAAAAUAGACACUUCAGCUGCAAAUCAGCAUACAUAUACAAUGGAGGUCAUACAAAUAUCAUUUCUACAACCGCCCUACUGUAUUCUUGAAUGAAGAUUGGUUUAGAGUCAAGUAAUAAGAUAUUUAAACUCAAGACAAAAAAAUACAAUAAAAUUUGCUGGAACUUAUAAGUAACUUACUCUCAUCUCUCCUCCUAAUUUAAUUGGACAUGCGUAAAUUUUCCAUGUUACUAUGGAUGAAAUAAAUUUUCUUUUUAUAAUAUAUGUAUGCAUUAAAAAAAAUUAAUAAUAAUAACUUUUACAAGCAUUUAUGCUUGUAUUAAUACUCUACUUUUUACCACACGAUUGCUUCAGUAAAUGGUGGAUGUUAAGAGAACAAUAAUAAUAGAAUUACAAACAAUUGCAUACUAUUAACUAACUUAACACUAUAAUAUUGUUUAUGGUGUAAGCACUCGAGGUAAUGUUAAUAUGCCAAAGAUUUAAAAAUAUUAGUUGUAGCUUUUGAAGAAAAAUAUACUUUCAGUUAGAAGGAAAAAAAAAAAAAGAAGAAGCUUUCUAACAAGAUAUCAAAAUGGUUAAUAAAAAGAGCAGUAGUAAUGUUACGAGGGGGUUCAAAUGGAGGGGCACGGGAAUUUCCAAAUUUGUAUCCAUUAAAUUUACCAAAAAAAAAAGAGAUUGGAUUGUUUUUUACAUAUUCUUAAUGUCACUUACUUGUUAUUUUUUUAAAUAUCAAACUUGUCAACUCUUAGGGGAAACAGGUAUUGGGGAAACAUGUAUUUAAGGGACUUUGUGCGGCUAAUUCUCAUCAUUCGCUACUCUAAACUUUAUUUUACAGAUUUGCGCAUCAUUUAUAACAUUUAAUUAAAUACACUUAAAUUAUAUAGAUUCAACGGUUCAACCUUCAUAUAUCACAUGAAGAGAAUACUGAAUUUUUAACAUCUCUCAUCAAGAGAUUGUACUGUGUUUACUCAAUUAGAUACUAAGUUUAUAUUCCAACUAAUGUCUUAAUAGUAUUUGAAUUAAAAAUGAUAAAACUUAAUAAUUAAUUAUUGCUUAAGUCAAUUAAAUAGUAUCAUAUCAUUUGUUUUAAAAAAAAAAAUCUUUGUUGUUUCAAGAUUAUUAAUCCUUUUUCAUUUAUUUAUUAUCAUUACUAUCUGCAACUAAUCAUAAUGAUUUGCAUCAACAUGUGAUUGUUUUUUUGACUCCAAGAACAGCUUGUCAAUAACAUGAAGUUUAUUUCUGACCGCCAAAGACCGAUACUCACUGGACAAAUUCCUAAAAGAAAGAUUCAAAUUCCAAUGUCUUAUACUUAUUUGAUUUGCAGUUCUUGUUAUGCUAAUGACUAGAAUGAGGCAAAGUGUUUUUUAAUUGAGAUGAUGGAUCUAAGGGUGCAGCAUGAUGUUGUGAUUUUCAAUGUUGACCAUAUAUGAGCUUUGUGAAAAUAGAAAGAUAGAAGAAGCAUGUAGGUUUUUAGAAUCGCAUCAAUGGAUGGGUUUUGCUUGACCUAGGGAACUAUUUGUUUCUGUGGAGAAUAAAGGGUGCAGAAAUGAUGUUGCUAAAUACAACAAGUUGAUAAAUGGGUAAUGCAAAAAGAAAGAAGUAGAGGAAGCGUUAGGCCUUUAUAGCGAAAAGCUUUCUAAAAGAAUUCUCCUAGAAUAUGUUGGGGGGAUGGAGCAGCUGCCCCCAUCGUACCCUAAGCCAACAGACUCAAAAUUGGAUGGGAACUUUUUUCAUUGAUUAUUUCACGAACGCCCGAUUCCAAAUAUGUAACAUACAACAUCAUGAUUCAUGGGCUUUGUAACAAUGGGCAAAUGGAUACGGAAGCAAGGCGUACGACGCCCAGUUGUGUCAUGUUUACUAAGCUUAUGCGAAAGAAUGACACAUCAAAAGCUAUUGAACUUCCUCACUCAAUGGAUAAGAGAAAUGUAAUGCGGGAUGCAUCUACACUUGCAACUGUUGUGGACUUUCUUUUAAAGAAUGAUAUCCGUUUAAACUCGAUUCCAGAAUUCAAAAGCCAAAAUUGAAUAUUGAUUUAGUAGCAUGUUUUUCUGCCUGCUGAAAAUCGGAUAUGGAGGAUCCGUUUCAUUAUACCAAAUGUGAACGAGUGUCACGUUGUGAGGGCAAUGUAAAAUCCUCGCCAUCUGGUUCGGUUCACCAAAGAAACUUCCCCAUUAAUUUCUUGAAAAAGUUAAGUUAAAACUGUAAAUGAAAGAAUCAUGAUGAUCUGUUUUGGUUUGUGAGAUGUUAGAAAGAGGCCAUUGUUAAAUAGACAUGAAUGCUGGAGAAAACUGUUAUGUUCUUUUAUUGAAUUAAGUUGAUCCUACUCGAUCUCUGCAUUUUAGAUUCCUACUUCAGAGUCGAAGAAGUGAAAGAUGGUGUGAAAAAAUUGUAUGCUUAAGUUAAUUUGAAUCCUUGUUAUUUAAUAAAAGCUAAGCUUCUUUCAAUCCGCACCUACGGUGGUCAUUUUUUUAUAUAUAUGGCGGCUAAUAAAUGGAUAAGAAAUAAUGUUUUUAAAAGACAUUUUUUUUUUCAAACACUAAAAAAGUUGCAGAAAAAAUAUUUAAAUAAUCUUGAUGUAUGUAUCUAAUAGCGUGUUUGUUAAGUGGAAAUAAAAAUGAGGGAACGAGAUACAUAAACUUAUUUACUUAUAAAGAGAGUAGGAGGAUUGAGAAUUAAAUUUGCUGGCCUCACAUCAAUUUAUGACUAACUCUUCGAUUUCUAAUUUCUAAGGGGGAUUUAGAAUCUAAAUCUCAUUUUCAAGACGGACUAUACUACCCCGCCCAAAUGUAAUAAUUUUCAUUUUGUCCUUCUUUUAAAUAUUUAAAAAAUAAAUAAAAAUCGCAUGAGUACUGUGCAAAGAUGGAUUGUUCUUGUUAUUGUUGAUGUUACUAUUACUAGCACCGCAUUACAUAUUAUUAAAUUAUUUUAAAUAUUACAAAUUAAAUUAUUUUUAAAUGAGUGAUAAAACCUGAUCAUUUAAUAACCAUGGCCAUUUAACAUAUUUAAACAUAAAAUUUCGUGUUAAAUUAUGUUUGAGUAUAAGGAUAAUGUAAGAUAAUUGGUACUUUAAUUUACAUUUAUGUGCCAACUGAAUAAAGUUCGCUAUUUAAAUUAAAUUAGAAACGGUGAAAUUCAAAAAUUAACUAUUAUUUAGCCAUUCAAACGCAGAGACAAUUUGUCACGGUUCCAAAAGCAUAGCAUCAUUGAAAGUACCGUAUCCCACUUGUAUUAAUAUUCGGAAGAAUGGAAGGAAAAGGGCAUAUGUUUCUCUUCUUCUAUUUUGGUAAUUCUUUUCUUCUUCUUCAACCCCAAAUAAUCAAAAGCUCUCCAAUGGCUUUCGUAUCCUCAACUCGUUCCUUUCAUUUUACUUCAAUUUCAAUAUCGGCUCUUAGAUGUAAUUUCUCCUCUUCGUUCCCUCAUACCGGAAAACCCAAAUCUUCAAUUUUGGAAAAUGAGCCUUCAGAUCCGACUACAACAGCUAAACUGAAGGAGUCGCUACGACUGACGGUCAAAGACCGAGCCUCACUCGAAAAAUUCCUCAAAGAAAGGUGCAAAUCAUCCGGUGAAGGUGAUAUUACUUCUAUUACUCCUAAUGAAGCCUUGUGUGUCUUUGAUUACAUGCUCAAUAUGCGCCCUUCUAGGCCUCCCGUCACUUCCUUCAAUAUUUUGUUUGGUUGUCUUGCUAAGACUAAACAUUAUGAUACUGUCCUUUCACUAUUCAAGAGACUCAAUUCCACUGGGUUGUUUCCGGAUCGUUAUACUUACAAUAUCUUGAUUAACUGCUUUUGCAAAAUGGGUCGAGUUUCUCAUGGUUUUGUUGUUCUUGGGAGAAUCCUCAGGUUUUGCUUUACUCCAGAUGCUGUGACCUUUACUUCUUUGAUUAAAGGUUUGUGUGCGGAGAGUAGAAUCAUGGAGGCCGCCGCAUUGUUUACGAAACUUAGAGUGUUUGGUUGUGAGCCUGAUGUCAUUACGUACAAUACUUUGAUUAAUGGAUUGUGUCGAACCGGCCAUACAAUUGUUGCUCUAAAUUUAUUUGAAGAGACGGCCAAUGGAAAUAGGAAAUUUGGUGUUAUUUGUAAGCCAGACGCUAUUACAUACAAUACUAUUAUAGAUGGUCUUUGUAAGGAAGGUUUUGUGGACAAGGCCAAGGAACUGUUUCUGCAGAUGAAGGAUAAGAAUAUUAACCCAGAUGUGGUUACUUAUAACUCUUUGAUUCACGGUUUUUGUUACGCUAAUGAUUGGAACGAGGCGAAUUGUUUGCUUAUUGAGAUGAUGGAUCAAGGGGUACAGCCUGAUGUUGUGACUUUCAAUGUGAUCAUGGAUGAGCUCUGCAAGAAUGGGAAGAUGGAUGAAGCAAGUAGGUUGUUGGACCUGAUGAUUCAGCGUGGUGUGCGUCCAAAUACUUUUGUCUAUAGCACAUUAAUGGACGGGUUUUGCUUGACUGGUAGAGUUAAUCAUGCGAAGGAACUAUUUGUUUCUAUGGAGAGUAUGGGUUGCAAACAUACUGUUUUUAGUUACAGUAUUUUGAUAAAUGGUUACUGCAAGAAUAAGGAAAUAGAGGGAGCGUUAACCCUUUAUAGCGAAAUGCUCUCUAAAGGAAUUAAGCCAGAUGUUGUUAUAUAUAACACCUUGUUUACUGGCCUUUUUGAAAUACACCAGGUUGAGCGUGCUUUCAAGCUGUUAGAUGAGAUGCAACGUGAUGGCGUGGCAGCUGAUACCUGGACAUAUAGAACCUUUAUUGAUGGGCUCUGCAAGAAUGGUUAUAUUGUAGAGGCAGUUGAACUAUUUCGUACUUUGAGAAUUCUCAAGUGUGAACUUGAUAUUCGAGCCUACAACUGCCUCAUUGAUGGAUUAUGUAAAUCCGGCAGACUCGAAAUUGCACGGGAACUAUUUCGUAGUUUGCCUUGUGGAGUCCUAAUAGCAGAUGUUGUAACAUAUAACAUCAUGAUCCAUGCGCUUUGUACUGAUGGGAAAAUGGACAAGGCACAUGAUUUGUUUCUUGAUAUGGAAGCAAAAGGUGUAGCACCCAAUUGUGUCACAUUUAACACGCUUAUGCUAGGUUGCAUCCGCAAUAAUGAGACAUCAAAAGUUGUUGAACUCCUUCACAGAAUGGAUGAGAGAAAUGUAAUACCAGAUGGAUCUACACUUUCAAUUGUUGUGGACUUACUUGUAAAGAAUGAAAUUAGCUUAAACUCGAUUCCACAAUUCAAGAGUCAAAGUUAAAGUGAGUUUAUAUUGAUUUAGUCUCAUGUUUCUUCUGCCUGAAAACCCGAUCUGGAGGAUCCCAUUCUUAUUACAACAUGUAAAGGAGUGUUGUCUAAUGUUGGCAUGUUCCUAGGUUCUGUCCAUGGAUUCUGUUUGCAGACAUGGCUAACUUCUUGUCCAACAGAUAAGUUUUAAAGUCUUUCAACUUUAUGUUGUAAAAUAACAUUUUUAUUAUUCAAUUCAUGAGUUUUCCUUCUGUAACACAUCCUUCUCAUUAGCUGGAAGUGCAAAUUUUUUAGGCUUUUCCUUAUGGCCUCUUUUUCUUCUCUAAAUAAAAUGGCAUUUUGUUUCCCUCCUGUGAGGUACAACGUUUAUGUUCAAACUUUCUGUUAGUUAAGUUGGUUGUCUUUGAUAUAGGGAACUUCCAGUUGAACUGAUUUGUAAUUCGAGUAUAUGAGAUUACCAACUGUAUUGGGAAUUGAUGCCAAAUUAAUUAUGUCAUCAGGUUUUUCAAUCAGCGUUCAUCAUUUAUUUCUAUUAACAGUUAAUAGCACAGCUUGUCUUCUCAGCUUCAUUGAUUCCUCUAAAAAAUAAUCUUGUAAAGACAAUUUUUUUUUUUUUUUUUGGCGUGGUAAAUGCUAGAUAGUUUGUGGUCUGAAUGAUACUAAUAAUUGCCCAAAUUGCCAUGUAACAAGGAGUGUUGCAUAGUGAUGUCAUGCUCACAGGUACCACUCAUCAACAUGGCCAACGCUUUCGAUGCAGUCAUUAUUAUGGAAAUUCAAGAGUUCUCCUCCUAAGAGGUCUCUCUCUCGUUCUCUUAAUUUCCUUAUUCUGUUUUGGAAGUAAUGUAAUGGGAAAAUAGCAUUUAAUUUCCUUGUGUGUGACAUUUUCUUCUAUAAAUGCUAUAAAAUAUCUUUUUUUUUCAUCAUUGAUAUGUAUUACACAAUCAGAAGACUACUCGUAUUUAUAUGAAACAUCUACUUUAUGGCACAGUUCAGAUUUUUAUCCUUAUAAAUAUUGGAGGGAUAUCUUUAUGUUUCUUCUGUGAUAACGUUUCUGCGUGCUGCAACCUUUUUAUUAGAUUGAUAGAAUGUGAAUACAAGGAAAUUCUGUUUGAUAAUCUCGGCAAACCAGGAUUAAUAUGAAAUGGAGCGUCAUCAACAAAUACUUAGCAUAUUGCUGACUAUGAUUUGUUCUCCUCCCCUCAUUCUUUUUGUGAGUAGAAUUGGAUUGUGAAACUUGUUAUGUCAGCACAAGUGUUCUUACAAGUUGACGUAAAAUACACUGACUUGAAAUAAUGGCAUGGUAAUUGGUAUAGAUAAGCUAGCAUGAGUAUAUUUUGUCACCAAUUUCGCCAACCGCGUCUGGGUGUGGAAAUUAUAUUGCAUUUCUAAUGUCAUUUGAAAGAAAAACUUGCAAAAUUUGUAAUUUGUUAAAUCUGAACCGUGGUUCACAUCUACUCUUCCCGAACUUGAGUCAUAUGAUUCAAUUUUUUAGUGGGCAUGGCGAGAUAGAUUUCUACCAAGCCCAACCCAUUUAUCUACCCUUUUGUAAUUUUCUAUCAUGCAUAUAUUUAUAUUUUUGUAUAGUUAAUAUCUAAUUAUUUAUGUAUUUUUAUCGAAUAACUACUAAUUAUAUUUUUCUAAAAAAUCGGCAUGAAAAGUUCAACUUAAUAUUGAAUUAAAUUUUGAUAAGUAUAUGUCAAAUGUUUGGAAUUCUUUUUCUAGUCUUCAUGAUUGAUUAAUUGGAAAAUAAAUGUGUAUGUAUUAAAAUGGUAUUGGAUAAACAUGCCCCUAUCACCCAAGUUUUCCUUUGGAUAAUUUCCUAACUUGCAAGUUGAUAUCGAUGUUUAAAAAGAACCAAAAAAAAAAAAAAAAAAAUACAUUGAAAUCUUUAUAAAUUACUUCUUGACCUAAUAGUUGACACUUUCUCACCUUAUUCUUGAGGUUGAAGGUUUGAAUUUUCUUAUGUGGAUUUUAGGUGAACUACAGAAAAACAGCUUAUAUGAGACAUUUUCAAAAUAAGUAUGAAUGUGGUACUUAUUCAUCAGAUGGACAUAUUAAUGACGUGAUAAAUUCGUGUUAUGUAAAUUUUCCAGACUGUAUAUUUAUAUUAUAAUAUUAAAUAAAUAAAUAAGAAGAAAGAAAGGAAAAUGCAGCUUCCAAAUUUUUUCAUAGAUUGGCUAUAUGCACAAACAGCAAAUCAAAACAAAAAGAAAGGAUGUGACAUGACCUUACUUCCUGUUAUCCCAGUUAUGGAAUUCAAGUCAAUCUUUGAAGUAAUGCACUUUUAUUACUCUAUGACAGAGACAGGUCCAAGUCUUUCUUCCAAAUUCAUAAUCUUCAACAUUUCUCCAACCAAUCAAGCAAGGCUAGAGAUAGGUAACAUACAUUUUGAUGUACAUUUGGCUUUUGUAUCAUCUACUUCACUAGUGAUCCAUUAAAUGGAUCCACCAUUAACGUAAAUGCUAGUUUAACUAUUGACAGUGGAGCAAGUAUGUAUGUGGUCCCUACGCACAAGCAUACACGCCCAUUAAAGCAUUUACUCUCCUCAUCAUUGGAUAUGAAUUUUGUGAACUAUAUAUCUUUUUGGGGGUUUCAUUUAUCUUUCCGGUCUCUUAUGAUCAUUCACGGCUCCUGCUGCUGCUUCUUAUUGGCUCUUUGACAUCCUCUGUCUUGUUCUUGCUGUGUGUGUCAGCCACUAGCAACUGCUUCAAGCAAUGUGAGUUUGUUGCGUGAGCUUCCGUUUUGGUUAUUUUCAAUUAUUAUUUUUGUUGAUGGGUUUGUGAUUUUGUGCUGUAUUAUUACAGGAUUACACUGUUUAUAUGGAAGAGAGAAGAUAUGAUGAGCCUUAGCUGGUUCAGGAUUCGGACCAUCAGAUUCUUUCGGAUAUUCUUGGAAGGUUUAUAUUUCAAUCUCUUUAGCCGAAUUUACCUAUUAUAUUUUUAUCAUAUAAACGCUAUGCAAAAUGUUUAUGUUAAUGUAUGGCGAAAAUUGAAAAAUGGAAAAUAAAAAUAUUUGUGCUGCUUUCACUAUUUAUCUAUGUUAAUCUGUUUGAUAAAAUGAAGUGGAUGUCAUUAUUUCCAUGCAUCAGUAAUUACAAUCCAUAUUAUGCUCUUGCUAGUCUGUGCUCCAUUUGAACAUCGCAACGAACUUAUUUACUUACAUAUAUUUUGUGCUUUCUGGUUGGAAAUUGGAAGUUUUAACCAAUUUCUGAUCAGAAACAGCCCUUUUGAGUGCUAUGGCAGAAACCGCAGACGCGGCCUAACCUUCAUUUUUAAUUUGUAUCAAUUGGUAGUUUUUUAUAACUCUCUCUUUUCCCCUCUAUCAAUAAUGAAUGGUAUUCGCUAGAGAAACCGUAAGGGGACUAAUCAUUGUGAAAAGCACUAGGUGAUAACUAGCAGUUUCAAUUUGACAGCAAAGAAGCUGCUAAGGAAUCAAUUCUCUGUACAGCCACAAGCAUGGUUUUUCUGGAUUUGCCGCAGUCUUAACAGUCUCAAGCCAAGUUAACUGCAGGUGUUAUAAUGUUGGUGAAUGAAAUCUGUUUUAGCUGUCCAAAUUUGUUUUAUUAACCAAUAUUUUCUGUUGAUACGUUUUGUAUGAUGCAUUUGUGCAGAUCACCCUGCCGUGGUCUGUAUUGUACCAAAUAGGACACUCAGUUUGCACACAACCAAAAUGUUGUGAAUGAAAUUCCUUCAAAAGGCCAUUCAGGCGCUGGAAGUUAUUUUCAGAUUCAUGGAAAUAACUAUAAUACUGGUGGCAUUUAGUUUCCAAGUGAUCUUGGUAGUUCAAUAAGUUCUAGUUCUACACUUGUUUCCAAAGGUUUUGGUUACAUGAUGGUCUGCCCGUUGAAUUACAAACUUGUGAUGAUUUGUACAAGAGGAAAAAAUGUAUUGGUUGGAAUUUUUGUUUCAUAUGAUAUAACUCUGUGAAACAGCUUUACAUUUUGUGUUCAAGUUGAACAACAUACAAUUUGAACGAAGAUUAUUCAAUCAAAUUGAAGAUUUCUGUUUGAAUAUUUUGAAUGACAAAAUUAAAUUUACUUUCAUGCAGAUGCAGUAGCAUUUAAUCAAGUUCCUUGUGCUGUUGAAACAAAAAUAUAACAUCCUUGCUUGCAUUUCAACAUGAUAUGAUGCUACUCUUUUACUGUUAACCAACACACAUACAUCAUGUAGGCCUAAUGGCAAAUGUUGUAAUAUAUAACAUCAUGAUCCAUGGGCUUUGUAAUGAUGGGCAAAUGGACAAGGCAUCAUGAUCCCCCCCCCCCUCCUUUUUUGCUAUGGAUUGUAUUUCUUUUUUUUUCUACUUUUACUUGCGUUGACAAUUUGAGCUUGCUGUCUUGUGGUCUUAGAACCUGCUAAAGUAAGCGUGUAAGCGACAGUGAAGAAGGGGAAGGGUUUACUCGUCAUUUUCUUUUUGAAAGCAAUGCGUUUUAUGCGGUGAUAUUUUUUUUAUCUACGUUGUGAAAAAAUUUGACUGAUUUUGAAGAUCCUUAAAGAUCGUCCAUCUUGGUUCUGGCAUUGUUGCAGCCUUGAAGUUUGCAAAAUGAUUCCUGCUGGAUAAAUUGAACAGCUGCCUCUUUGAUGGAUUAUGUAAAUCUGGCAGACUUGAGUUUGCAUGUGAAUUGUUUCGUAGUUUGCCUCGUCGAGUCCUCGUGGCAGAUGCUGUAACAUAUAACAUCAUGAUCCAUGGGCAUUGUGACGACGGCCGAAUGGAUAAGGCACAUGAUUUAUUUCUUGAAAUGGAAGAAAAUGCUGUGGCACCCAAUGUGAUCACAUUUGGUACGUUUAUCCAUGGUUUUAGCCAAAUCAAUGAGCCAUCAAAAGUUAUUGACCUUCUUCACAAGAUGAGGGAGAAAAAAGUAAUGCCAGAUGCAUCUAUAGUUUCAAUCGUUGUGGACUUACUUGUAAAGAAUGAAAUUAGUCUGAACUCACUUCCGUCAUUUCCUGUCCAAGAGCGACAGGGGGAAGUUGAUGAGUGAAAUGUCAAGUUGUAGCAGCAUGUGCUUUCAGCCCAAAAUCCUGAUCCGCAGCAUCUCAUUCAUGUUACAAAAUGACAUGUUGGCUGGUGACAGCAUGUUCUCUCCGGUGCUGUUAAUGGAUUCUGAUUGUUCUUGUGAUCUGGAGAGUUUCAUUCAUAUUACAGAUCCUUAUCAGGACGAGCUAGCAUAUGUGAUCACCAACUGUACAUGGUUGUUGAUGCCAAAUUAAAUUAUGGUAUCAUGUUUUUCAACUUGUUAUUUAAUAUAGUGCUUCCAUUGAACGGCCACAAGAAACUGUAGAAUCACCGUGUCUUGUUUAGAAGCUAAUGAAUUAGUUGCACCUUGUCACUUUAUUGAGACUUGAUUGUCAUUUGUGCUUUGAAUUUACAGCAUAUUUUAUCCUUGCUGUACUCUUUGCAUAAUCACUUUUGAGGGCUGCUAGUAUGUAUAAUUGAAAAACCUUAUAUAAAUUGUAAGCAUUUUUAUUUAACUUGUUGUAAACGUCCAGUAUAUGUCUCUCCUGUGAAAUGAUUCAUUCUCCAUGCUGCUAGGGCCUAGGCUUAUGACUCUCUGAAAUGAUUUACCCUCACCUGCGCACAGACAUUUAUCACAUUCGAGAAAUCUUCAAACAAUGUGAAAAAAAUGCCUCAAACACGACAUAAACUUAGUUGUUUACAUGAAAAGUGGCAGAAACUUGGUGAAAUUACCGAUUAAACUUCCAAAUAACAUUUCAAAUGGUAUUGUGAAAAAUUUCACUCUUUUGGUAAUAAAAAAGAACCUUAUUUCUAGUUCUCUAUUAACAAUCUUACCACUAAGUUCUCUCUUAAGUAAACACAUAUAUAUGUUAAUUUAUUGUUAAUAUAAACAAAACUAAAUAUUUAUAACUUAAAAGAUAAGUGUUGAAUAGAGGCGUUCUCACAGGGAAAAAAAAAAAGUAUUUAAAAAUAGUGGUGAUAUCAUAAUUUUUUAUAUUGAUACGAGAAUAUCACACUAAAUUUUUAUACCAUGUAUUGGCAAGACAAAGUUUCUUGAAACUGACAAACUUUUCUCUAUGAAGAUUGAAGACAAUAUGAUAAGAUAAAAUUUAUCAAAAGCAUAUAUGCUUGCCAGGGCUGGACCUUUGAUUUUUAGUCCUCGCCUUUCGUUCUUGUUUCAUAUUCUUCUGCUAACAAAUCUUGAUCAGGAUGAGUCUCCUUUUUUCUUUAAAAAAAACCCACACGUAAAGUCUUGGCCAUAAGCCUCAAGACCUAUUGGCUGUUGCAGUGGUGAGUUCACUCUCAGGAAUCAAAUCUUUCAAAUUCAAGCGAAUUUGAAGAAGCUCGAAUUUGAAGAAAUUUCAAAUGCCUCGUGCAGGCCUAAUGCCAAAUGUUGUAACAUAUAACAUCACGAUUCAUGGGCUUUGUAACGAUGGGCAAAUGGAUGAGGUACAUGAUAUAUUCACGCUUCUGUCUAUAACACAUUAAUGGAUGGGUUUUGCUCGACGGGUAGAGUUAACCAUGCGGAGGAACUAUUUGGUUCUGCCAUUGUUGCAGCCUUGAAGUUUGCUAAACGUUUCCUGCUGGAUAGAUUGAAAAAGUUUGUCUGGAUGGCCUGGUUUUGAAUUGAUUUUAAUAGAAAACGAGCUUCAAGCAUGUGCUCCAACUACUCUGGCAUGAGGUAAUACUAUAAUUUAUUUAUUUUUAAUGAGUGAGGCUAUAAAUCCUGAAUUCCAACUUGACAUGGCAUUAAUCUGGUGAGUGGCAGAAUAUUAAUUAAAACAAAAUCAUUUUCAACUUAACUUUCACAUCAAACAGAGGGGCUAAUAUGCUUUCCGGAUUAUGAUCCGCUGGCAAUCGGAAAGCCAAAAAAUUAAUUAUUCCAUUAUUAAUUCCAAUAGUAUCGCUGUAUCAGCUAAAAAGCACAAGAUUAAAUUGAUUUACGCACUUGCACCAUUUAUUUAAGCAUACUGUUGGUUUAGCGUUUGCUUAAAUUUGAAAGUAGAGUGUUUCCAUGCCACAGUGCCAUGACAUUGGUGAUUGGCCAACAGUUUUUUUUUUUUUUUUUUUUGUGUAAUCUUUUUUGGUUGCAGUAAUAAAAUGUUAAUCCUUUCUUCUCAUGAAUGUUUUCUUGAACUGAAAUGUUAAUCAUUUCUUCAUGUUGAGGCAUUAAACUACUACAGACCUAGGGUGGCAAUAUAUGGAAGUAAAUGGUCGUUUAGUAGGACCCUUUAAUUAGGGUAUUAGCUGCUCAAUUUGGAGAUCUCAUGGACCAACAAUUUAUCUGGAAUGUCACAUUCACAUAUUUGAUUGAAAAAGGAAUUAAGGAAUUUCAGGUGGCCCGGAAACGCAACCAACUAUACCCGACAAUGGCAGAAGACAUUAUAGAUUAUCGAUUAUUGAGUUAAAUAUGAAUGGUGGGAUUUCAGGUGGCCUAAAAAGUUAAACAUGAAUGUUCUACAUAAGGUUAUCUGUAACUUGAAGUUCAACAAAAAGUUUUAAAACUAGAUAUUACAAUGGUGGGAUUUUGCCUUUUAUCUCUUGUUUCUCUUCCCUUAAUCGUUUCUUGGCAUGUUUUAUCAGCUCUUCCUUUGGGUCAUUUUGUAGGACGGGUUACACCAGCUAAGCACAUGGAAAGGUUAUGUAGACUGGACUCUGGAGGAAUAAACCUGCCCUGAGAGGCCGUCAUGGUGGCAUGCUUUGCUGCUUGUUUUGUCUUGGGUCGGUCUAUUUUUCCUAUUACUAAGGCACAUUUGCACCGUUAUGUCUUGCGAACGAUUAAACAUUUACACUUUAUAGUAAAAAAAAUUACAUAUUAAGAGAAAUAUUAUAUUUGCAUGCUGAUAUGAAUUAGCACUAGAAACAUGAGGCUUGCUAAUUAGAAUUGUUAUAUUGUCAAACUCAGCUGUGGAGGUACUGGAGAAUCCAGUAUAUCUGGCCAAUGCAAGCAACCUUGUGCUGUAUCUUUCAAAGUUUAUGCGUUUUUCACCAUCCAGCUCUGCAAACAUAGUUACCAAUUUCAUGGGUUCCUCUUUGCUCUACUUGGUGGCUUUUUUACGGUUGCUUUCUUCAACACCGACAGCAGCUAUGUCAUAAGUGAGCAAUAGAAUUCAUGGUAAGUUUUUUGUUAGGAUCAAACUUUUUAACUUGUUAAAUUUUUGUAAUUUCUUACUAAUAAGGCAGAGUUGCCUAUUUUUAUCCGAUUAUCAUGCCUCAUACAAUUUUCUUGGGAUUUGCUUCGAUGCCUCUGUGACUCACCAUGAAACUCAAAAACUUUCUAAAACUAGCUCCAAAUACACAUUUCUUUGGAUUAAACUUCAUUUGGUACUCCCUCAGCAAACCAAAUGUUUCUUUCAAAUGCUGCACGUGGUCACUCGAGUUGUGAGACUUUGUGAUAAUGCCAUCCUUAUAUGCCUCCAUUAUGUUCCCAAUCAGCAGCUUGAAGAUCUUAUUCACGAAUCUCUAGUAUGUUGCUCAAACAUUUUUCAAGCCAAAGGACACGACAUUAUAACAAUACAGCCCUUGGUUAGUAACAAAAGAAGUAUGCUCCUCAUCCUGCUCGAACAUCGGUACAUGGUUGUAAUCCAAAAAGGCAUCUACAAAGCUGAGAAGUCCAUGUCUAGUUGUGGAAUCGACCAACUGAGCUAUUUUAGGCAAUGGAAAAAUAUCUUUGAGGCAUACCUUAUUGAGGUUCAUGAAAUCCAUGCACAUUCUCCACCUCCUGUUCACUUUCUUCACCUACAUCACGUUCGAAAGCCGCUACGAGUUGUUUACCUCCUUGAUGAAACCUGCAUGUAAAAUUUUAUCCACUUCACUACUAAUGCCGUCAUACCUAUCCUAGUUAAAGCAUCUUCUGUUUUGUUUCAUCGGUCUCGCAUCUCUGCUCACUGCUAACUUGUGACAAGCCGCCUUGGCAUCGACCCCUGGCAUAUCUUUGUCCUGCAAGCCAAACACAUUAAAAUGUGGUUGCAACAACUCCACCAGCUUUGCUUCCAAAUCUUCCCCAUGGGUGGCUUUAAGUAUAGGCGAACAAGGCCGUCGCCUAAGCUCUCAUAUUUUAAGAAGACCUCAUUUUUUAAGUAUUUCCUUAAUAAUUCUCUAAUUAAUAAAAUAUUUUAAUAUAUAUUUUAAGAAAUUAAAAAGUUUAUUAGAUAUCUCUCUAUUCUUAAUUAUUCUAUAAUUAAGAAUUAUUUUUUAUAAAAAAAUCUAUAUUUGGGAACCUUAAUUUUAAAGAAAUAAUUAAUACUAUUCUUUAACCAUUAGUUCAUUCCUUUUCAAUUAUUCAAUGUUAGCAUAUUUGACUUUUAAUAUUUCUUUUAAUUUCUAUUAAAAACCUCAUAAUCUCAAGAAUUAGUAAAUGAAAAAAAUUUAUUGUUCGCUUCUCUACAAAUAAAAUUUUUAUAUUCGUUGGUUCAUUUAAAAUAAUUAGUUUCUUAAAAUAUAAAGUCCAUUUUUAUUUUUGAACAUCAAUUCAUCAUUUUAAAAUUUUUAUAUUCUAUCUUUCUAAAUAUUCUAUUUGAAAAUAAAAUUGUUUUUAUUUAUUUGUUUGUUUAUUUUUUAACGGUUUUAAUGGAAUAAAAAAAUUAUCUUCUUGACUAUUUUUUAGGUUUUAUUUUUUAAAUUUUUGAUUUUUUUAUUAUUGUUGAAAUUCAAGAAUUAAAGAUGGAAUAAAUUUUGAUCCUUUGUAUAUAUCUUUGAGUAUUAAAAUUACAAAACAAUAGAGGUCUCAUAAACAAAUUUCGCCUAAGGCCUCUCAAACUCUAAAGCUGGUCCUGAUCUUCCCCCUAGGGGUAGCCAUAAAUUUUGGGUUCGAUUUAGUUUAACCUUUAAAAUCCGAACAUGUUUAAACUUAGAACCUAUUCGUUUUUAAUUGUUUUGUCAAACUUUUAGGAGAUUAAAGGGGUGUGAAAGGACAUAAGAAGUCUUGUUAUGGCUUGGCCCUUUAUAAUAGAUAUUGGUGCACAUGCUCUUUUCUUCUAUAUUUUUAGAGAAAGAAAAUUAGUAUAUGAUCUGUUUGAAGUCGCCUGGAAUUUCAAAAAUCCUAUGCUUCAAUAUAUUAUUAAUCAAAUCCCCUUAUAUCUUGAUAAAAUCUUUUUUACUCUUUCAUUCGCAAGGAGCUGGAUGAUGGCUGGAAAUAAGGAAAUUCCUUUUUUUUUGUUUCACCCCAAUUGUUCUUGUAUUUGUAUAUUGCCAUAUAUCAUAAAAUACAAAUUUAUGUAUGUCAAAAUGAAAUCGAUCUUAAAAAAAGAAAAAAAAGAUCUCGCGUUACUGCCGCUUACACACCCCCAUGCCACAGCUGCUAUUAAUUCCGUUUGGCGCACCAGCAUUACAGCUUCUAGCUGUUCUUUCUUCCUUGAGUUGAUUUGGUUCCUCGUUCUAGGCUUCAAGUUAAUGUCGUCUUCAGCCAUUCUAGAGUCGUUUACUUUUGAUCUAGCUGUUGCUGUCUCUACCUCCUUCUUCAUUAAUUGCCAUCAGCCGCAUAAAGGAAGGAUGUGAGUUUAUGUUUACGAUUCCUAAUGGUGAUGAAUAAGACAUGGUGUAAGAGAUGUUGUUAACUGAAUUUAGUAUGCUUUCUAGGAUCAUAUGCAAUACAUAUGUAUUUCUUGUAUAAUUGUUGUUUGUAUAUUGUAUUUCAAUCGGGCAUGGCUAUCUUUGUCUUACUCUUGUACAUUUCUAUUACUUUAGAUAACUAUUAAGGUGUAGAUGGCUUUCACGGAUAAAUAAUAAGCAAUUUUAGGAGCUUUUCGUGUAAAAAUAUAGAACCUAUAUUGUUGAAAUGUCGAGUAUACUUAGUAGUUGAUAUUUGUUUAUAUUUUUACAUUAAUCUGGGAUGGGAUUUGAACUUUAUAACCGAAAUUGAAUCUAAACCAAAAUUAAGAUAAGAAUAUUCAAACUAAAUCGAUCCAAAAUGCAAACCUAAACCAAAUUGAGCUAAAUUAAAUUUGAUUUAGUUUGGUUUGGGUUUACUCUCUAAACCUGAUUGGAUUGACUUCUCCAACCCAAUUAAGUUUUAGCCCAAAUUGAAACCUAAACAACCUGAAUCAAAACCCGAUUUGCCCACCCUUAUGAUACGAACCCAUCCAAAAACUAACGCAACCCUAAUCAAUUUAAUCUCUAAGAUUAAAUAGAAGCACUACCCAAUGUUCAAUGAAAGCAUGAACCUUAGUAUGUGAGGAUGCUACAAUCAAUUAUGGAUGAUUUGAUUAUAAGUUAAGAGUUUGAAUGACACAGAAAUUUGAUAAAUUCAAAUAGUUUGUUUAAGAAUAAAAAAGAAUUAACUCUCUCACUAAUUGCAUCAAAAUUUAUUUGUCUUUGUUUAUUAGAUGCGAGUACAUUAUAUAGGAUUGGUUACAAAAAUUUUUAGAAAUAAAUCCUAAACCGAAAUCAAAUCAGAAUCCUAAUCUAAUGCAAAUAAGAAAAGAAUUUUAGUCAAAUCAUAAUCCUAAUCAAAGCAAGUAGGAAAGAAUCUAAAUCGAGUCAAAAUUAUAAUCUAAGUAAAUAGGAAAGAAUCUAAAUAAAAUCAUAAUCCUAAUCGGUUUAAAUAAAUUACAUCAAUUAAAAUAAAAACUCAACAAUUAAAAGAGAAAUAACUUCUUGUUUCUCCACCAGCAUCAUCCAGAAACGGGAAAGUAUUCAAAAAGAAAAGUAGCAUAUUUUUCAAAUGGAAAAGUAUAUGAAAAAGAAAAAUAAGAUAUUUUCUCGCCGUAAUGUGCAAGCCAACUUCCUAUUUUAUGGAAGUGAUUAUUUGGAAACUUUAAGAGCCGUAAUCAUGUAUUUAUCACGUGCAAUUCCUUCAAUAGGCCUCUAUAAAUUUGAUCGAGCCUCAAUUACUUGAAUAAACCCAUUAAACGCUUCUUUAAAUUUGUUUGUUCGAGCUCUAGUGACAGGUCCAACGAUAACUUGAAUAGGAUUUGAAUAUAUCUCAUCCCACGUGCUUGUGAUAGUUUUGUCCUCAAUCUAAUCAUUUUACUUCCCUAAUCUCGACCCAAUCUUUAAAAUUUUUUCAUGCUAGCUUGACUUUACUAUGACUGCCUUGAGAUUUUCAACUGGUUUUUAUCUCUCUUUCUUGAAAUCUCUUCAAGUGUCAAGUUAUCUACGUGGCUUCUUUAGUCGCGGACACAUAAUCGCACCUAACAAUUCUCUAGUCACCCUUUACAACUUUUGCCACACUAUUUACUCAUUCUUUGAGUGCCAUGUAAUGGUUAGACAUCAUGGACUUGCUAAUCCUCAUAAAGGGUCUUCCAAAAAUUAUUUGAUAUGGGCUGUCUUCCUCGACUAUUAUAAAAAAAACUGGCAUGAUGGUCUUUUCAAAUGGUCCAGAGCCGAUCGUUACUAGCAGCUCUAGGCAUUAAUUUUCCUCUUCUAUAUCCUUUCAAAGAACUGUUGGUGUGCUUGUUGGGUAAAAAUUCAAAUACUAUGGGUGUCAAUGUGUAAGUAUACACAACAAGUAAUAUAAUGAUAAAUAUACAAGAUCAUCUCCACAGGGGUUGAUGUUACGAAAAUUACUACAGCAAGCUUAACAAUUUUGGUUGAAGUGAAAGUAGAUUGAUCAAUUAAACAAAUAAACUACCUAAUAAAAUGCAAUAAGUAAAUAUGCAGAAAAGCAAACUCUCAGGUCAAACACAAAAAUAAAAUCAAUAGGAAUGAAGUAGUUGAGUGACUAAACUCUUUUAAUGGAAUUGACUAUUUCUUGCAAAUUUCGAUUCAGUUGCUGCAGCAUCUGCUACAGUACUAGGCAUAAUCCUCAUGCAUCAUCAGCUGUCGCAUGUUGGAUGUCUUAUAUCUAUAUGCAACCUAACAAUGACCAAUUGUUAUGCCAACAUAAUAUAUAUCAUUACACAUUUAGGUUCUAUUUACCCUAUAAGGUGAAUCCCUAUAUCUAGUUCAUCACUAAUUUUAGAUUAAGUAUGACCUUUUUUGGAAUCAAGUUGAACUCAAUCUAGGAACCCAAUCUAAAACUAAAUAUUAUUCUAAUAUGUUCCACUAAGAUAAGCCAUUUUGUGGCUCUUUCCUAGCUUGUACCAUUAAAUGGGUAGUCAGCUAAAAUAAUGACUUUAAAUAAAUACUAUCACAACAAAAUGUUAUAGCAAACAUGCAGCCAGGGACGUAGCCAGGAUUUUGAUCGAGUUGGGGCACAUUUAAAAUAAAAAAUGACUUGAAUGCGCGAUUGCUCGUGUGGUAAGUGUGGGCCCCACAAACUCCAAAUGGGAGCUUGCCACAUGUACAAUCGUGCUCCUUAUAGAGUGUUUCUGACUGCAUCUAAUUAAAAUGCUAUUAAAAUAUAAUACACUUCUAAAAAUUUAGAUGGAAAUAUAUAACAUUAUGUUGAGUGUUAGAAAAUGGAUAUUUAUAAAGGAGAAAAUCGUCAUUUUACAUUUCAAGUCUUACUAACAACCCUUACUUUUAUGUAUUUAAGCUUCUUGUAAUUUAAUUAUGUGUGUUUGAUUUUAAUUAAGUAUUUUAUGUAUUUUAGGGGCAUCAUAGUCAAUUCACAAUAAAUGAGAGAUCAAACGAUAAAACGGACAUCACUUUUGAACUCAGGACGGUCGAAAACCUUAAGAGAAGCAUAAAAGGAAAAAUGGCACUGUUCACAUGUACGGUACUAUUCAUAUGUACGGUACUGUCUACGUUACUGUUCACGACACUGUUCAUAUAGACGGAUCGAUGACGUGGCAUUGACCGAUGAUGUGGCAUUCACUGAUGAGGUGUCAUGAUCCUGUUGGACUAAAAUUCUUAUGUACUGUUGAUGGUGACGUGGCAGCAUAUUAGUGGACUAAAAAACGUGUGUACGGUACAUGCAACACAUGGGAAUAUUUUCAACCAAACCGCAUUACUGUUCAAACCGUGUCACUGUUCAAACCGCGUGGUCAAACCGUGUUACUGUUCAAACUGCGUACUGUUCACUGAUGACGUGGCACAAUCCUGAGCAUCCAAACUGUUUUCAAUCCGAUGGCCAUGAUUUACUCAAUGUAUCUAUAAAAAUGGGACUUCUCCCCCCGAACGCAUGCGAUUGCUCAUGAGGAAUAACAUACCUGCUGAUAUCUUUUGGUUAAUCGAGGUGAAAGUACGAUUGGCAGGUGAGUUACCUCCAAAAUUUAUUGCAUACAUGCCUGGUUGUGGUAAAGAAAAUUAUGCAAGAAAACGAUGAGCUCGAAGAAUUUCUGUUGCUUGUCAUAAGUAUGCCAGAAUGAGUUGCGAUAAAAAUCCAUAUUCUUUAGGAAUGGCGUCUGAUAACAGGGAAUAUAAGAUUCAAUUCAUUAGGGAUGACUUGAAUAAGGAGUCAUUGGAUGAUAUCCUUUUAUCUCUUGAAACGCAUCCCAUUAGAUAUGUGCAAGGAACGAUUAUUCAGUUAUGACCAUUAUUCCAGAAAGAGCAUGCACGAUAUAGUCUCGGGAAUCUGACUAUAAACGACCAUGUUUGCCAGUUUAUAAAAAAAUUGGAUGGGAAGCCUAUCCUAGACCCAUAAAGGGCGUUCAAGCCGUUUCUGGACGUAAAACCAGAGGAAGAUGUGAGCCACAGUCGCAACUACCUGUAAAUAUCCUUUUACUUUACUGUUAUUUUAUUUUACUGUUGUUUUAUUGUUUGUAUUAUUGUCUUUAAUAAUUUUAUUGUUGUUUGCUUUUUCCUUUUUACUGUUUCCUUUUUUACUCGCGAACCAUGUGCUUUACGCGUUAUUUGACACUGACAUACUACCUCAUACACAGCUGUGACCCACUGUCCCCAAGAUUCUUAAAUAUGAAUUUUUGUCAAGCACUCACAAAUUAUUUUUGAGAAGUAUCCCAAUGACAGCUACUCCACAUAGACAAUUUAAGAACAUUUGUGUGCUUUCUGGAUUUAACUAUGGCAAACCUAAAGAGUUCGUUGAGGCAGCCAUAGAUCUUGGUCGAAGCAUAGCAGAGAGAAAAUUACACUUGGUGUAUAGAGGAGGUAACUGAGGGUUAUUAAAAUUGGUCUCAAAAGCUGCUUUUGUCAGAGGAAGCCAAGUGCUAGGCAUCAUCCCAAGCGUCCUAAAACCUUUGGGCAGUUUGUCUGACUCAUCGACUGGAGAAGAGUUAGUCGACUCAGGUAUGCAAGCAAGAAUAACUGAAAUGCUUAAUCAUGCUGAUGUUUUUAUUUUCCUUCCAGGAGAUCUUACAACACUAGAGGCACUUAUCACACUAGCAUCUUGGGCCCAUCUGCACAUUCACCAGAAACCCAUCGGUUUGCUAAAUGUCAAUAACUUUUAUGAUGGCUUUAUCGCAUUUCUUAACCAUGCAAUAAAAAAAUAUUUCAUUCCUUCAAAUGCGAAAAAACUUUUUAUUUGUGCUCACACUGCUACUUGAUCUGUUACAAGCUCAUAGACCGGAGCCAAACCCCUGGACCUUUGUGUUGGAGCGUCCAAAUAAUGAUGGUAACAGUAGCAGCAGUAAGAAGUACAAAUUAGAUUUAACUCUCCGCUUGUAAAUAUUUUCUUUUGUGUUGCACCACUCAGGUGAUGCCUUCUACACUCUACUUCUUUCCUUUAAAACAUUGAGGACAAUGUUUCAUUCUGGUUGGGGAGAGGGAAUAGUCGACAAUUGUGGAAUCUUGGUUAAGUUUUUACUGAUUUUUUGUUGUAGAAACUAACUGUUGCUAACUUUUUAUGUUGAAGAUGGCUGAAUAUGGAGUGUAGUGACUCUAGAAACGCAUCUUCAUUGUUUGAAAAAAAUUAAAAAAAAAAAUCAGACAUUUUCUUUUUCUUUAUUAAGUUUUGAUGUUCAUUUUUCUUCUUCUUUUUAAUUUCUCCUCUAUAAAUAUACAUUUUCAAAUUGUUGAGUCGAAGAUGGCUGAAUAUGGAGUGUAGUGCCUCUAGAAACGCAUCUUCUUAGUAAAAAAAAAAAUUUCUUUUUCUAUCAUAUUAAGUGUAACUUUUCUAAUUAGUUUUUAUACAUCCUUUUCACAUUUCUGCAUGCAUAUUUUCCUUUCAUGUUUAGGAUAGGUUGGGGGGUAUAACGUUGUUUAAAAAAAAACAAAAACAAAAAAAAAAAUUUGUGUGAUUUGUUUUAAUAUUGGAUGACAUGAUUAAUUUCAUAUUUUAGUAUUUGUAUUAUCUUUGGUCUUAAGUGAUGUUACACUAUGUUUGCUACUCUACAUGUUGAUGUCGGAGAUAAAUAUGAGUUGCUUGAAGGAAUGAACAUGUCAUAAUAAGUACCAAGUGAGUUUUUGAGCCUAUCAUUUUUCUUGGAGAGUAACCCUUUCCCACAUUUUUUAUACAGCUUAACAGUUUAUUAUUUUAUACACGAUCUCUAGAUUUCUUUUGAGUUAACCCUUAAAACAAAAUUUGUAAAAAAAAGAAGAAAAAAAUGUGUGUUGCUACAUUUGGAGGUCCAUCUAACUAGUAGAUAUGGAAGAUUAUUUAGAGCCCUAAAAGACGGUGGAAAGGUCAUCUUUGAUCCGUUUGAGUCUUUCUACCCAUCCCUUUUAUGAAAUAUCUAUUGUUAACCCUUUUGAGCCUUUUAAAAAAAAAUUAAAAAAAAAAAACCUUUUCUUUGUCAACUUAUCAUCUUGACCCACUCUGAUUUGGAGUAUUAUCCAAUAUCUUACAAGUUCCAUCACCUAUUUAUGUUUGAGAAAAAUGUAAAUAAAUAUUUUGUACAGUGAAGUUAUGCCCAACAAAAGCAAAAACAAAAAAACAAAAAAUUGUUAUUUAAAAAAAAAAAGAAAAAAAUAACAAUAAAAGGUGAAAUCCACCUUACAACUUCAAAAAAAAAAGUUCUCUAUAGUUUUCUCAAACAUACACUUUGUUUUCCUUAUUUCCCUUCUUUGUUAGUCAUGUCCCUAGCCUACGUUACGUCCUAAUAAAAAUCCUUCUUGAUUUUAGGGAACUAUAGUCUGAAGUAAAUUGGGUUGACUACCAUUUUUGUUUGACUUGAGAUCGUAUUAUUUCUAAACUGAGGGCAUAUUUCUUUCAUCUUGGUGAGAGCAUGUGAUAUCACUUCUUUAUUAUUUUCUCUCAAUUAUCAUUCAUUGGAAUAACUAUUUUUAUUGGGUUUAAUUUCUUUGUAAGAGUGUCACUACUUCCAGUGAGAUUUUGGGGUUUGACAUGUCAUUCUUGAAAGUAACUGUGACAAUCUACUAAGCUGAUUCAUGUGGAUGGUUGAUGUGGGCGUGAUGUUCCUUUAGACUGGAGAUAAUGCUUAUACUUUUAUUUGAUUACUAUCAUUAGUCUGAUUAAAUAAACACGAGUGUUUAAAAAAAAAUCAUUUUGAAUUUGAAUUUUAUUUUCGCUUUAUUUGCUAGGGACUAGCAAUAAGUUGGUUGGGGGGUGUGUUGAGUAUUAGAAAAUGUAUAUUUAUAAAGGAGAAAAUAGUCAUUUUACAUUUCAAGUCUUACUAACAACCCUUACUUUUAUGUAUUUAAGAUUCUUGUAAUUUAAUUAUGUGUGUUUGAUUUUAAUUAAGUAUUUUAUGUAUUUUAGGGGCAUCAUAGUCAUUUCACAAUAAACAAGAGAUCAAACGGCAAAACGGACAUCACUUUUGAACUCAGGACGGUCGAAAACCUUAGGAGGAGCAUAAAAGGAAAAAUGGCACUGUUCACAUGUACGAUACUAUUCACAUGUACGGUACUGUCUACGUUAUUGUUCACGACACUGUUUAUAUAGACGGAUCGAUGACGUGGCAUUGACCGAUGAUGUGGCAUUCACUAAUGAGGUGUCAUGAUCAUGUUGGACUAAAAUUCUUAUGUACUGUUGAUGGUGACGUGGCAGCAUAUUAGUGGACCAAAAAACGUGUAUAUGGUACAUGCAACACAUGGGAUUAUUUUCAAUCAAACCGCGUUACUGUUCAAACCGUGUUACUGUUCAAACCGCGUGGUCAAACCGCGUACUAUUCACGCAUAUUGUUGACUGAUGACAUGGCGCAAUCUUGAGCGUUCAAACUGUUUUCAAUCCGAUGGCCAUUAUUUACUCAAUGUAUCUAUAAAAAUAGGACCUCUCCCCCCUAAUUUGGAUCUCUGAAUCCAUUUUUGGACUCUAUUUUAUGUAAUUCCUUCUCCAUCUUGUAUUUUCUACGUAUUUUAAUAAAUUCUCAUUUUGCCCCUAGUUCAAUUAUGAGUGGCUAAUUUUCUUUCAAGUUUGGGUUGAAGGUGAAGUCUCAACAUGUGUCAUGGGCUUUAUUUGGUAAAUUUAUUUUCUCUUCCCCUCUUGUUUUUGUGGAUGUUUUGACUUUUCGUUGACAAAUAAUAAUAAUCUUGUCUAGUACCGCCCUGGUUUCACCGGCUCCCUAGUAUAAGAUUAUUAUUAUUUGGCACGAUAAGCCCUUAGCACCAUAUUGAUUAGAGCGUGGUUCAUGAGGUGUGGAUUCCCCCCUCAUGAUUUAAUUGGCAUUAAUAAGGAUUAUUUAGCCCAUGAUGCAUAUUGAUACGGAUCCAGAUACUCAAGUACGUCAUUUCAAUAGAUUUUCACUUCAAUUUAUUCUUGCCAUUUCAAUUCCAAUUUUAGGAUCAUUUAAGUCACUUUCACCACAAAAUCCAACCACUUCAUACAAAAUUAAUUCUACAUAUAACUAAAAUCCACCUCCUCGUGGGAUCGACACUCGUCACCAUUAGUCUAUUCUACAAUAGAUUCGUGCGCUUGCGAGUUCAAUAAAAUUUGCACAACACAUUACAACUAUAAUAUUCAUUGCUAAUAAAUUUACUUAGUAUAAUUGGUCUCAGUGAAAACUUCUCAAUGCGAUUUUAUGAGUUGCAAAUAAUGCAUUAUCAAUAUAAGCACAAAUAUAUUUUUCAAUAUACAAGACUAGGUUAUAGCUUAAUUUGCUCUUAAAAUCUUUUAAUAAUAACAAAAAAUAUUUAUAUAUUGUAACACACAAAACAAAAUGAAUGCUAGAUAAAAUUCUAGAUUUUAAAACUAGACAAAAGAUUAAUCAAAAAAUUAAAAAUUAGAAUUGGGUAGACUUACAACUUAUGGUUCAAUGUCGAAAUACCAACUAUUUGAUUUUGCUUGAAUAAAAAACAAAACGAUUAAAGACUGGUCCAUUAACCAUUUUACUAACAUUUUGUUGUGAUUGUUUUUCAUUUUAAUAUUUGUUCUUGUGUCUUUAAUCCAGUUUCAUGAAAUGUUAAUAACUAAUUAAAUUAUUUAUAAUUAGAAAUUUAAACUAUGGACAAUAUGAAAUAUUUUAAAAUUACUAGAGUCAGUUUCAAAUUUUACAAUUCAGCUGGGGUAUUUUUCAUAAAUAACAAAUAAAAUACAUUUUUUUAGUAUAAUUAUAAAAAAAAUUUAAAAGCCAGCAGGGGCAUGUGCCCCACUCGUCCCAUGCUGGCUCUGUCUCUGCAUGUAGCAACAUAUAAAUUCAGUUAAUGAGCCAUUAAAGUUGUUUAUCACUCAACCACAAGGAAUAUUAGUUCAUGAUUUUCAAAACGAAACUAAACAACAAAGUUUCAGCCGGCAAAUACAUUCUCAUGUCAAAGAAUAAAAAUAAAUCAAAAUAAGAAUAAGAAAGACUGAAUUCCAAUUGAUUCCGGCAAACUUCUCCACUGAUGCAGUCUUGAUUCUUGCUCUUGAAAUCUAUUUUUCCUUGUUUCUUUUCUAUUUAUGAUCUUGGUUGACGGCCGCCUUUUUUCUUUUGUACAUGUGCCUCUGUUAUAGUCCAAAAUUAGGGUAAACGGAAGUUCAGAGCGCGCAUCUUCCCAAUUAGGAAAUUGCAGAUUGCAAUCCGUUAAGUAUCUUGCGCGAAAUCUUCUCUGUCAUUGUUCCCGAAUUGCUACAUCACGGUUUUCUACAGCAAUAGCUACAGUAUAUGCACUGUUCCAAAUUUACUCCAAUUCUUCUAUAGUCGUAUUCUUUUGUCCUUUUUGCAAACCCAUUGCUACAACAUCCUUCCCAUGAAAAUUUAACUUCAGGUUACCUACAAUUAUGCAUAUGUUUUAAGGACACAAUUAUUAGAAAUCAAGCAAAUUUUAUUAAACUUAAACUAAAAUGAAUGUUAAUGUAAACUAUCAUUAAAUGCACUAAAACACAUCAAUUACCCUCUAAGUAAUCUUGAUUUUAAGUCUAAAAGUAUCAUGAUAAUCUUAUUUCAUAGAGUUUUCAAUACUCUAACUUCAAGUUGCACGAAUCUAUAAGGAUUCUUAUGAAUUCUUUGCUCGUUACAUUAGCUUUUAACACCAAAACAUCUUCAUGCAAGUAUAGUAUCCCUUCCUCAUCGUAUUAUGUCCAAAUGAUUGGAACUUGCUUGGUUCUUGCUCAUUUUGUCAAUGAAGCAUUGAAGAGAAUAUCAUGACUUGUUAUUGCAUACCUUUUGUAGUACUUCUAGGCUUUGUUAGAGUUAUUUACUAGAGUUGGCCCUCUUACAAUAACUCUAGCUACUGGCUCUUCAAAAAUCAUAUCACCAGUAUUCUUUUUUGCUGUAUGCACUGUUGAUCUGUCAUUGGAUAAGAACUGUCAAUAUACUUAUUCAAAUAAUAAUUUCUUACUAGAACUUCUACUUGUUUUUUUAAGUCGUGACACUGUGGUUUGGUGUGGCCAUGGGUGUUAUUCAUCAGCAUUAUCCUAUCUCUUAGGAAAUUUUGGCAAGUAAGGACUAAUGAAGGUAGGUUUUGGUUUUGGUUUAGUUGACCUUGUAUUUUGAGUUGGGUUAACUUGGAUCAUUAUAGUGAGGAUGGCUAUCAACUAGUUAUAUCAUUUCAAGUAGCUCUAUUUAGAGAGGGGUGGGGUUAAUUUCUUUUUACAUAGUAUGGGAGAUAAGAGUGGCCAAAAUCAAAUUUAGAUUGGAUUCGGAUCAAUUUGAUCAUAUAUUAAAUUUUUCGGAUUGACUAAAAAAACUCAUCUGAAUGUACUCGAACUUGAAUCUAAUAUGAAUAUAUUUGGAUAGGAUGAAUAAUUUGGCUUAAGUUAGAUUUGGAUCGGUUUGGUAAAUCUCAAAUUUAAUUUUAAUUUACAGGUCACUAUACUCAAUGGAUAAGACAUAAUUUGUAUAUCUCUGUAAUAAACAUUCAAUUUUGAUAUUCAACUACAUAGAUAGAAGAAAAAUAAGUCAUUUACAUUACAAUUGUGGUGCAUAUCACUGAAAAGUAUCAUAAUAAUUCAUAUUUUUCCAACCAAAAUGAAAAGAAACCAUAAUUUAAACAACAUAAUAAGCAAAUAGAAUUUCUAAAGAAAAGGAAAAAGAGUAGAUGUAAGCUAGAAAAAGAGAAAUCAUGUAUUAGAGAAGAAAAGAGCAUUUUUGCACAAAAACAACUAAUACCAAAACUAAUAAAAAAAUCUCAUAUUCAUUUUCCAAUUUUCUCAUAAGCUUACGCAAUUCUUCCUCUUCUACUCUUCAAAAUCAUUUGCCAAUUUUCUCAAUUUUCUCAUAAGGUGAUCUUUGGUCUUUUGAUGAGAAAAUUACUUGAGUAACUUACAACUGGUUAGGUUUGGGAUUUUGGGGAAAACAAGUUAGGUUUACACAUUACAAACUUCACUAGUCAAAUUGUCGAAUUACAUCCGAAUUAGAUUUGAUCCGAUUAUAAUCUCAUCGGAUUGGGUUGUUUCUAUUUAAUCAAAUUACAACAAUAAUCCAUAUUCAAUUUGAAUAUGUUUGGAUUGAAUCAAAUCCAAUCAAUCUAAAUCCAAUUCGAUGCUAACCCUUAUGGGAAUAAGUAGCCAUCCUUAUUAUGACCGCUCUACUCACUGAUGGUUUGUCAUGAAGCCUAACUAGUCCACUUAUUUUUUAGCUCUCCUUUCAUUUCGUUUUAACUCCACAAGUUACUCGUCUCUAACUCUUGCUGCUUUUUCCUCCUCGAUUUCAAUAUCCACCUUCACCUAGUCAUAAGCAGUUGAAUAAGAGUUUAUUAUUGGGUUCCUUAAGUUAUACCACAAUUGGCCUAUCUUUACUCCCUCUUUUAAUCCCUUCAAGGCCUGAAGAUGAUUGAAAGCUCCAUAGUCAAGGAUUGCUUGGUGAUAUCUCUUGAAAAAUCUCUUAGAGUUUGAUUUUCUUCCUACUCGAGCCUCAUUGGCUCUAUCAUGUCAUCCUCUGGUGUUAUUGCUCCUAAAAAAUGUUCAGCAAAGUCUCCAUGCAAUUGAUUAGAAGUUCUGAUGCUUCCCUAUGGCAAUUUGCGAUACCAAUCAUGUGCAUGCUAUUCUAAUGUCAAUGGAAACACUCGACACCACUGUAGUGGUGUCAAACCAUGUACUCUAGUCAUCUCAUUAAAUCGUUCUAUAUGCAUAAAGAGUCACUCUUUCUGGAAUAUUUGAGGUUUAAAACUAAUCCCUUGAUAUUGUUGUGCUCAUGAUUUUUGCUGAGAGUAAGAUUCAUUAUCCAUAAUUAUUCUCCAGCUCAGUGCUCUUUCAAUCCUAUACUUCUUCAAUAAUUCGUGCUAACCUAUGCAUCUUAUCUUCUAAUUUCCCAACGCGACUUGGGUUCUACACCCUUAUCUACUUGCAGUCAGCGUUCUGUUUAUUCCAUAGAUUUUCACCGAAGUACGUUUUGGUUGCUCUCCAAAAAAAUAAAAAAGAAAGAAAUCACCUAAUACUUUUGGGGCAAGGCAAGCUUCCAAAUAACAUUGCAAAUGAUUUGGUGAAAAAGCUUUCAUCUAUUCCGGUAAUUUAGAAGCACUUUAAUUCGAUUCUCUCUUAAGAGUCCUAUCACUUUAGGAUGAUUUUUAAGUAAAAUCCUUGUAUAUAUUAUAUUUUUGUUAAUAUAACAAACACUAAAUAUUUAUGAUCUGAAAGAUAGUUGUUGAAUGGAGAUCGUUUCACACAAAAAAAGUAUUUAAAAAGAAUGUGGUAUUGUAAUAUUAAAUAAUUUUUUGUAGUGAUAUAAGAGUAUCACACUAGUUUUUUUUUUGCAUUCCAAAAAAUUGAAAAUAAGAUCUAAGUAAUUUCAAGAAUAAAUUAGCAAUAUUAGGAACAAGUUUUACAAAAAGCUUCUGGGACAUGUUAUACAAAUUUGUUAUAUAAGAAAGUCUCUACUAGAUCUUCUUUCCACAUUACAAAAAUUAGAAAUGAGAUCUAAAUCGACCAAUUAUAAAUUUUAUAGUGAGUGGGUCCUAUAUGAAAACAAGGUUUUUUUUUAUUAUAGUGUAGUCAAUUAUCAGCCAUCUACCCUAAGUUUAUUUUAUAUUAAAAAAAUACUAGGAAGAAUUAAUUUGUUUAGUUUUUUACUUUAAUUUUAUAAUUUGUAUUAGUUGUCUAUUAAAAAGAUAGAAUUAUCCUUACUAAAUGACAAAAUAGAAACAAAUACAAAUAACAACUAUGGUCAUUUUGUAAGGGUAAUUCUAUCUUUUUGGCAUCGAAUUGCAUAUUAAACUAUUUUAAGUACUUAAAAUAAUAUAAGUUCUUUAUCAAAUAAAUAAAAUUUUAAACUAUGUAUUUACCAAACAUUUUAAAAUCACAGCUCCUCUACUACAUCUCCAAAUAAAUUCUUAAAAUCAUAAAUAACUAAAUUAAUGGGGUUUUAAAAGGACUCUCCGGAUUUUGCAUGAUUUCUUUAUAUAUAGGUGCUGGGUGAUCAUGUUGGUUCCUAUAGGUACCAUCAGCCACACUUUUUGUUAGUGGUGAAAAAACAAUUUUGGGUACAAUUUGUGAUUUGUAUAACGUGCGGUAUUAAACAUUUGAAACAUACACCGACAGUAAUCUAAUCAAUAAUUAAAAAAAAUUGUAUAAAAUACAUAUGUCGUAGGCAACUCAGAUCCUUUUCUUUAUAAUUCCAUAUCAUGUGAUUAUCAAAAAACUUCUUGAGAUUUUUAAAUUUUGUAAUUGCACUAUCCUUGAAUUAUCAAAAGACUCUUGAUAAUGUUCUUCUUCUUAAAGAUGCCCUUAAUCCGUAAAUGGUCCAAUAAUUAGUUCAUAAAACGAAUUUAUUACUUUAGACAAGUCUCAAAUAUGCAUACCUCUUAUAACUCCGUAUUGCAUAAUUCCUUACUUAAAUGCAUUUGUUUCCUUUCUCUAAAUUUUAGAAUGGCCUUGUCUACUAAAUUUCCUCUUUAAAUUUGACUGCCAACUAGGAAUUUCGCCAAAAUUUCCACCCCAUCUUACUCUCUGAAAUAUGUCUUCCACGUUACUAUAGCAAAUUUUACAUCUAGGAUACUGAAACAUUUUUUUUUUUUCAAUUUUCAAAUAUUUAGCUGUUGACAAUAGGUCUUUAGCUGCUCACCAAGAGAAAAUUUUCAUCUAAAACUUUUUUUGAUAAGGCAAGCCUCCAAAUAACAUCCAAAUGGUUUGGACAUUCAGUUCUACUCAAAAUUCAGAUUAAUUCACACAUAUUUAGAUUUUAGACAAGAAACAUAUGCCACCUAAAUAUUUAUGACUUAAAAUUAUUUAAUAAUCAUGGCACAUUUAACCUAUCUAAACAUGAAAUCUUGUGGAGACUUAUGUUUAAGCAGGAGGAUAACGUGAGAAAAUUGACACAUUAAUUUACAAUUUGUACGCCAACUGAAUAAUUUUUGUUUGUUUUUUGUUUUUGAUAAUAAAACAAGCCUCGCAAGAGCUUAGGUUUUUAGCCAACUGAAUAAAUUUCCCCACUCAAAUUAGAAACAAUAAAAUCUAAUAAUUAUGUUAUGAGCCCAUCAGACAAAUAGUGAGACAUCAUAUUGUUAAUACCUACUCGUAAAAUUAACGGGAUAACGCGGUUUAUACGGACAGAUUAUCAAGGUAUUGUUAAUACCUUCUGUACCGGUAAUUCUUUUUUUCUUCUUUUUCAACCCCAAAUAAUCAAAAGCUCUCCAAUGGCUUUUGUAUCCACAACUCGUCCAUUUCAUUUUACUUCAAUUUCAGUAUCAGCUCUUAGAUGUAAUUUCUCAUCUUCGUUCCCUCAUACCAGAAAACCCACAUCUUCAAUUUCGGAAAAUGAACCCUCAGAUCCGACUACAACAGCUAAACUGAAGGAGUCGCUACGACUGACAGUCAAAGACGGAGCCUCAAUCGAAAAAUUUCUUAAAGAAAGGUGAAAAUCAUCAGGUCAAGGUGAUAUUAAUCUUAUUACUCCUAAUGAAGCCUUGUGUAUCUUUGAUUACAUGCUCCGUAUGCACCCUUCUCCGCCUCCGGUUUCUUCCUUCAAUAUUUUGUUUGGUUGUCUUGCUAAGAAUAAACAUUAUGAUACUGUCCUUUCACUCUUCAAGAGACUCAAUUCAACUGGGUUGUUUCCAGAUCUUUAUACUCACAGUAUUUUGAUUAACUGGUAGAGUUUCUCAUGGUUUUGUUGUUCUUGGGAGAAUCAUCAGGUCUUGUUUUACUCCAGAUGCUGUGACCUUUACUUCUUUGAUUAAAGGUUUGUGUGCGGAUAGUAGAAUCAUGGAGGCCGCCGCAUUGUUUACAAAACUUAGAGUGUUUGGUUGUGAGCCUGAUGUUUUUACAUACAAUACGUUGAUUAAUGGAUUGUGUCGAACUGGCCAUACAAUUGUUGCUCUAAAUUUAUUUGAAGAGAUGGCUAAUGGAAAUGGGGAAUUUGGUGUCGUUUGUAAGCCAGACACUGUUACAUACAACACUAUCAUCGAUGGUGUUUGUAAGGAAGGUUUCGUGGACAAGGCCAUGGAACUGUUUCUGCAGAUGAAGGAUGAGAAUAUUAACCCCAAUGUGGUUACUUAUAACUCUUUGAUUCACUAUUUCUCUCAUGCUGAUGAUUGGAAUGAGGCUAAACGUUUGUUUAUUAAGAUGAUGGACCAAGGUGUGCACCCUAAUGUUGUGACUUUCAGUGUGAUCGUGGAUGAGCUCUGCAAGAAUGGGAAGAUGGAAGAAGCAAGUAGGUUGUUGGACCUGAUGAUUCAGAUUGGUGUGCAUCCAAACACUUUUGUCUAUAACACAUUAAUGGAUGGGUUUUGCUUGACGGGUAGAGUUAAUCGUGCAAAGGAACUAUUUGUUUCUAUGGAGAGUAACGGGUGCAUGCAUGAUGUUGUUAGUUACACCACAUUAAUAAAUGGGUACUGCAAGACUAAGGAUGUAGAGGAAGCUUUAAAUCUUUAUAGGAAAAUGCUGUCUAAAGGAAUUAGGCCAACAGUUGUUACAUAUAGCACCUUGUUUCUUGGCCUUUUUGAAGUACACCAGGUUGAGCAUGCUUUAAAACUGUUUGAUGAGAUGCAGCAUAAUGAUGUAGCAGCCGAUACAUAUAUAUACAAUACCUUUAUUGACGGGCUCUGCAAGAAUGGUUUUGUUCUAGAGGCACUGGAAUUAUUCUGUGCUAUAGGAAAUAGCAAGUAUGAACUUGAUAUCAUAUCCUACAGCUGCCUCAUUGAUGGAUUGUGUAAAAUAGGCAAACUGGAAACUGCUUGGGAACUGUUUCAAAGUUUGUCUCGUGUAGGCCUAUUGCCAAAUGUUGUAACAUAUAACAUCAUGAUCCAUGGGCUUUGUAAUGAUGGGCAAAUGGACAAGGCACAUGAUUUGUUUCUUGAUAUGGAAGCAAAAGGUGUGGAACCCGAUUGUGUCAUAUUUAAUACGAUUAUGCUGGGUUUCAUCCGCAAUAAUGAGACAUCAAAAGUUAUUGAACUCCUUCAGCGAAUGGAUAAUAGAAAUGUAAUGCCAGACGCAUCUAUACUUUCAAUUGUUGUGGACUUGCUUGUAAAGAAUGAAAUUAGCUUAAACUCGAUUCCACAAUUCAAGAGUCAAUGAGUUUAAUGCUGAUUACUUGCAUGUUUUUUUCUGCCUAAAAUCUGGAUCUGGAGAAUCCCAUUCUUAUUACAACAUGUAAAGGAGUGUUGUCUAAUGUUGGCAUGUUCCUAGGUUCUGUCCAUGGAUUCUGUUUGCAGACAUGGCUAACUUCUUGUUCAACAGAUAAGUUUUAAAGUCUUUGAACUUAAUGUUGUAAAAUAACUUUUUUAUUAUUCAAUUCAUGAGUUUUUCUUCUAUAGCACAUCCUUCUCAUUAGCUGGAAGUGCAAAUUUUUUAGGCUUUUCCUGUAUGGCCUCUUUUUCUGUUCUAAAUAAAAUGGCAUUUUAUUUCCCUCCUGUGAGGGUACAACGUUUAUGUUUAAACUUUCUGUUAGUUAAAUUGGUUGUCUUUGAUAUAGGGAACUUCCAGUUGAACUGAUUUGUAAUUCGAGUAUAUGAGAUUACCAACUGUAAUGGGAAUUGAUGCCAAAUUAAUUAUGUCAUCAGGUUUUCCAAUCAGUGUUCAUCAUUUAUUUCUGUUAACAAUUAAUAGCACAGCUUGUCUUCGCAGCUUCAUUGGUUCCUCUCAAAAAAGUAAUGCCAGAUGCAUCUAUAGUUUCAAUCGUUGUGGACUUGUAAAGAAUGAAAUUAGUCUGAACUCACUUCCGUCAUUUCCUGUUCAAGAGCAGCAGGGGGAAGUUGAUGAGUCAAAUGUCAAGUUGUUGGAGCAUGUGCUUUCAGCCUAAAACCCUGAUCUGCAGCAUCUCAAUCAUGUUACAAAAGGACAUGUCGCCUGGUGACACCAUGUUCUCUACAGCGCUGUUAAUGGAUCCUGAUUGUUCUUGUGAUCUGGAGAGUCUCAUUCAUAAUACAGAUCUUGAUCAGGACGAGCUAGCAUAUGUGAUCACCAACUCUACAUGGUUGUUGAUGCCAAAUUAAAUAUGGUAUCAUGUUUUUCAACUUGUUAUUUUCUAUAGUCCUUCCUUUGAAUGGCCACAAGAAACUGUAAAAUCACCCUUUGUCUUGUUCCCUCUUAAUGAUCGAUCACUUUGGGAGCUAAUGAAUUAGUUGCACCUUGUCACUUUAUUGGUGCUUGAUUGUCAUUUGUACUUUGAAUUCACAGCAUAUUUUACCCUUGAUGUACUCUUUCCAUAAUCACCUUUGAGGGCUGCUAGUAUGUAUAAUUGAAAAACCUUAUAUAAAUUCUAAGCAUUUUUAUUUAACUUGUUGUAAACCUCCAGUGUAUGUCUCUUCUGUGAAAUGAUUCAUACUCUAUGCUGCUAGGACCUAGGCUUAUGACUCUUCUGUGAAAUGAUUUACCCUCACCUGCACACAGACAUUUAUCCCAAUCAAGAAAUCUUCAAACAAUGUGAAAAAAAUUGCUUGAAACACGACGCAGACUUAACCGAUUAAAAUGUCCCUACUGUGAGGAAGGAUGCUAUACAACUGACUCGGAAAAUGUAAAAUGGAUAACGUACGCCCAAGAUGAUCAACUAGAAACACAAUUCAAAACUCGGGCUGCUUUUGGCUGCCCGGCCUUCAGAAGUCAAUAUUUAUAUGAACUUUUGAGGAGAAAUUAUAUGAACUUUUGAGGAGAAAUUAUACUAAGGGUUCAGAAGUCAAUAUUUAUAUGAACUUCAGAAGUCAAUAUUUGGCUGCCCGGCCUUCAGAAGUCAAUAUUUAAAAACUUGGUGAAAUUACCGAUUAAAAUGUCCCUACUGUGAGGAAGGAUGCUAUACAACUGACUCGGAAAAUGUAAAAUGGAUAACGUACGCCCAAGAUGAUCAACCAGAAAGUGAGAGAUUAGGAUCACCAGUCAGUCAGAUUUGGAUAGAAAGUGAGAGAUUGCUAUGCCGUGCCAUUGCUUCAAUCCUAAAUGCUUUCAUCUCCCUGAAAAGUAUACAAAUGUAGGGGUUAAAACAGAAUAGAUGAAACCGUAUUGAGGAACUCAACUGAGACAGAUGAUAAAUGAAAACUAACCAACCUUCACGCAAAACUCGUACAUCUCCCUUUAAGAGCUGACUUUCUGAGAAGAGAUCACCACAAUCGUUCACAUCAAAAGUCUCCACUUGAAAAUUUUAUAACCAUAGUACUCAUUCCAUUCAAACCAGAUCCUUGAGAUCAGUUCCUUCUUCAGGCAAGUGGCAUGAUCUUCCUCUUUAGGAGACUCAGCAGCAACCAGUCUAUAUGCACAAACUUUCUUUGUUUGGCCUGGCCGGAAAGCCCUGCUGAUUGCCUGGCGGCUCACUGAUGGAUUAAAGAGAACAUCCAGAAUAAUGAUUCAAAUUUUUGUGGAAUUACUUGUAAAGAAUGAAAUUGGUUUAAACUCGAUUCCACAAUUCAAGAGACAAAACUAAGCAGACGGGUUGAAUCUUUGAUUGAGUAGCAUGUCUCUUCUGCUUUAAAAGCAGAUCUGGAGAAUCCCAUUCUUAUUACAACGUGUGAAGGAGUGUUGUGUAUUGUUGGCAUGUUCCCAGGUUCUGUUCAUGGAUUCUGUUUGCAGACAUGGCCGACUCUUUGUUUCAUCGGAUAAGUUUCAAAUAAUUCUGGCAAAUUUUUGUUGUAAAAUUACUUUUUUAUCAUUUAAUCCAUAUGCCUCUUUCUCAUUACCUGCAAGUGCAAAAUUUUUAGGCUCGUCCUAUUAGACCUCUUUUUCUUCUCUAAAUAGAUAAAACGGCAUUUCAUUUUUCUCUUGCGAGGGUGCAGGUUUAUGCUGAAACUUUCGGUUAGUUAAAUUGAUUGUCUUUGAUAUUGGAACUUGUAGUUGAACUAGUUUGCAUUUAGAAUAUAUGAGAUUACCAACUGUAACGGGAAUUGGUGCCGAAUUGAUUAUGUUAUCAGGUUUUUCAGUCUGUGCUCAUCUUUUAUUUCUGUUAAUAAUUAAUAGCACAGCUUGUCUUCUCUGCUUCUUUGGUUCCUGUCUAUUGUCAAAUAUAAACUUGUAGAGACAUUUUGUUUUGGCAUGGCACAUGCUAGAUUUUGUUUUUGGUUUGAAUGAUACUACACAUCUAAGUGAUUGUCCAGAUUUUUUUUCAUUCCUAGUGACAUGGCACUCAAUUGAAUGGUGACUCGUGAAUCAUGAUUGUGUGUGUUGGUCUUUGUUAUACUACGUGUUGGCAAGACAAAGUCUUUUGAAACUGCCAAACUUUUCUAUAUGAAUAUUGAAGACAAUAUGAUAAGAUAAAAUUAAUCAAAAACAUAUAUACUUGACAGGGCUGGAACGUCUGUUAUUAGUCCUCGCCUUCCAUUCUUGUUUCAUAUUCUUCUGCUAACAAAUCUUGAUCAUGAUAGUCUUCUCUGUUAUUAAUCCUUUUUUUUUUUUUUUUGGCUUUUGGAUUUUGUUUCCUUUAUAUAUAUAUAUAUAUAUAUAUAUAUAUAUAUAUUGUAUACAGUUAUUAGCAUCGACAACUUGAGCUUGCAGUCUUGUGAGUUUAGAGCCUACCAAAGUAAGCAUACACAUGACAAUGAAGAAUUGAAGAUUGUGAACGGUUUACUUGUGCGGCUAUGUUAGAAAAAUUUGACUGAUCGUGAAGAUAUUUAGAGAUCGUCCAUCUUGGUACUGCUAUUGUUGGAGCCUUGAAGUGUCAACUUCUCAUCGUUGCCUACAGUUGCCUCAUUGAUGAAUUGUAGGCAAACUGAAAAUUGCUUGGGAACUGUUUCAAAGUUUGCCCCGUACAGGCCUAAUGCAAAAUGUUGUAACAUAUAACAUCAUGAUUCAUGGGCUUUGUGAUGAUGGGGCAAAUGGAUAAGACACAUGAUUUAUUUCUUGAUAGACCAUUCUCAGGGCACAAAGGGUGUGGUGCCCAAUUGUGCCAUAUUUACUAUGCUUAUGCGAAAGAAUGAGACAUCAAAAUUUUCAUCACUCAAUGGAUAAAAGAAAUGUAAUGCCAGCUGCAUCUAUAGUUUCAAUUGGUGUGCGCUUACUGGUUAAGAAUGAAAUUAGUUUAAACUUGAUGCCAGAAUUCAAGAGACGGUUAAUUAGAUGAGUUGAAUGUUGAUUUAGUAGCCUUGAAGUUUUGCAAAUGUUUCCUGAUGGAUAAAUUGAACUUGUAUGCACACAUGUAAACUAAAAGAAAAAUUAUUUUAAUAGAAAACGUGCUUUAAGCAUGUCCUUCGGCAUGAGGUAAUACUAUAAAGUUUUUUUUUAAGUAAGGUUAUAAAUUCUAGCAAUUGAGUCUCAAUUUGAUAUUAUAUUCAUCUGGUAUAGGGUAGAAUAUUAAUUUUUUCAAUUAUAAAAUUUACUAUCUAAUAGAUGAACAACACUUAACAGUUGAGAAUGAAAUGGAGACUCAAUUGUUGGGAGUCCAAUCACUUUUUUCUCUUUUAACUUGCUAUUUUUGUUGUCCGAAAUUAUCUGAAGUUCCAUGCUUGCUCCAAUAGAACAAAUAAGAUAGGUUAUGAUCAACUUUUUUUUUUUCCAAAUAAAGGAACCACCUGCAUCGAUACUCCAUAAGCAAGUUUUUUCUUUUGACUGCCCCUUAUAUUUGUCACACUCCUUGUACUAGUGCCCAAUGAAACCACAACAGAAGCAAAAAUAUGGCAAUCUCUCAUAUACUACUGUAAUUGGAACAUCGUCUUCACCUUCAAGUUCUAAAUAACCAAUUUUCUUUAGUGGUUGUGUGAUAUCAAUUGAGAUACUUACUCUGGCAUACUAACCAAUGCACUCUCCUUCCACGUCCACAUCAACUUCUUCAACUAUACCAAUUGCCUCUCCCAAUGCUUUGAUUAUUUGCUGGUCUAUACACCCAACUGGGACAUUAUGAAGUUGUACCCAAAGGCAGCAUGAGUAAAUGAUUGUUUUGUUAUUUCCCCAAUUCCACUUGCCUCUUUUAGAACUAUUAGAGCUCGUUCAAAAUGCCACUGCCCACUUGAUAAAAUUCUCAUCUUAUCAACUUCAAAGGCAAAUUUAACUUAAAAAUCUUACUCCCCAGAUUUUCAAUUUCACCUAUUCUACUAUUCUGCAUACUUGUUGUAAUGCUCACUUGAGACCCUCUCUAGUAACUCCUCUUAGAUGUAAGACUUUGCCCAGAAAACAGCCCUCAACUAGCUCUCUCUCAUUCCCUUUCAUGACAUUACCAACAACUUCUUUACUCUAUUUUCCUUCUUCUAAUAUAAUAACUUUACACUUGCAAAUUAGUUCUUCUGUUUUCAUUAGGCACUAAAAUAUAAAUCCAUUGUGAUAACUCUUGAGUAUCUACCACUUCCUCUGUAAUUAAGACUCAACAACUCAAAUGAAAAACUUAAAAGUAAAAGAGACACCCAACUCGUGAGCAACUUUCGCAAUCUUAUGGGCUACUACCAUUUCAUUCUAGAUUCUCGCUCAUAGGGGGAGAACCUGUGAAGAAAGACUUCUACAGGUAGGAGACCGCUUACACAGUAGAUUAUUUAUAUUUCUUUGGACUAACUUUUUACUUUAUCAAAGACAAAAACAACAUAAACAAAGACAGAAGAUUAACAAAAGCAUCAAUUGCCAAAGAGUAGAGAGUAUUAUUAUAUUUUAGGAACAUAGGUUAUGACCAACUUAAAAGAAGCAGUUAGGGCUUGUUCAGUACUGUUUUAAAAGCCUUAUUUUCAUUUUUGUUUUGGGAGUACAAAUAUAAUACAUAUUUAGUGGGUUGAAUCCAAAAAUUAAAUCAUAAAAAAGAAUUGAUAUUCACUUUUACAGUUAUAAAAUUAAGAACCUAUUGAACAUGUUCUCAAACAAAUUACAAAUUAAAUUAAAACAUAAACCCCAAAAUAAAAUCUAAAAAGUUAUCUUCCUCUCCUAAAAUCUUAUCUCCUCCCUCUCGUUAUCUCUUCACAACUCUUCCUUCUUCAUGGUAGAUACUUCUCCUCUAACCACAACCCACCUGAACUGUGCACCGAUCUCUCUCUCCCCAUCCCCUUUAUCUAGGUCUACUUCACAGUUCUCUUCCUCUCAGUGGCUGUUACUUGUUCAUCAACCGCAAUCCAUCGUCGUAAGGUACUACGUCGGAAUAUUUUACCAAAAACAUGUCAAGACAAAGUGAUGUCUAUCAUGGUUUAUUACUGCAAGUGCAUUAUUUUCUUUGUACUAAAGUGAAUCUUUGAUGUAUUUAUUAAAUUUGGUGGAGCAAUCUUAGUUAAUUUUGAUGAUUUAUAUAUGCAUUUAAUUUCAUUUUUAAUAAUUCAUGUGCAGGAAAUAUGGAUUCUUGGCUUUGCUUGGACUGAUGGUUUGGGCAAUUUCAUUUGGAAUCAAUCAACUUCGAGGAUAAACACUUGUAGUUCAUCCUUUGUUCUCUAAUUUUGUUCAUGGGACUUGCUUUUCUUCCAUCCAACUUUUUUGUUCUCUAUUUCUAUGGUAGCAGUUUUAUGUUUUGUGUUGGUGGGAAACUUCAUGCUGCAAUUUUGUCAAAUUCUGUUGACAUACCCUAAUCAGUAAUGACUUUGCUGCAUGGCGAAAGCAUAAGCUCAUAGUUGACAUUGUUGUCAUUAGAGCUUGUUUCCAUAAAAAAAAAGUGUAAUUUGAAAGUACAUUGUACACUAUUGAAUUUGAAUUAUCUCCAACAAGUGUUGAUGCAUGAUGUCCAUCAUGUAAUUUUUUUAUAAUUAUUUUGUUUAACUUAUAUGUGUUGUAAUAUAUAGCUUAAUUAUAGUGUAAAAACAAUGGCAAUGUAAUUUUUUUAUUAAUGCUAAUACUAAAACUUUAUCAUCAUGCAAUGUUUUAUAAUUAUUUUGAUUAAAUUAUUUAUGGUAUAUUUUUGUAUUAAUUAAAUAAACAAUUAGUUUUUAUUAAAAAAAUUAUGACUUACAUGUUUAGUAAAAAUUGUUCAUGAAAAUAGUAUUACCGAACACAUUUUCUCUGUGUUUAUCUUUUUCAAUUGUGUUUACGGAACACAUGUUACUGUUUUCAAUUUAGAAAAUACAAGAUAUAGAAAAUGAUAUUAGAUGUCUAUUUAAUUCAAAAUGCAGCAACUGCAAAACACUAUUUUUACUCUCAUUUUUCUUUUUAGAAAAUACUAAUUUAGAAACAAUACCAAACAAGAACUUAGUUUUAGUACGAAUAAUGUUGUGUUAGUUUUAUAGGUUUACAUGCACCCUUAGAUUUAUUAGAAGUAUCAGCCCAACCCCCUAGUUACUGUUGACUAAUAUCGAACCCGCUGCCCGAUGUUGACUCUUGAAAGUAACUAUAACAUCUAUAUUGUAAUCUCACUUUAUUAACUAAUAAAUUUUAAAAAUAUAAACAGAUCAAUAAUAACAAAAUAAUUAAAGUUGAAAUCCAAGAAAUUACACAAAAAACCACACCUAAACCAAACCUGAAAACCAAAAUGCAUAAAAUUUCAUUAAUUUAGGUUGUGACAAUGAGUCGUCUACAUUAUAUGAUGAAGGAACAACUUCUAUCAUUUUACCAAGUUAUUAAUACUAUGUUUACGUACUAGAGUGGGCCUGAGAAGUAUAGAUUCCUCACACACUAGAGUUUACUUGCAUAUUCUAAGAGGUGUGGGAAUCUCACUCCGUUGAUCCCACCCAAUUUUGAAGUAGGGAGUGUGAUUUCCACUCCCACAAGGGAAGGUCCACUCCCACAACUUUAUUUUUUACCUUUCUUUUAUUAAAUUUAAUACAAUCAUAUUUAGUAAAAUAAAACAAAUAACAUCAUAUUUAUUUAAUAAAUAUUAUUAUAUUAUUUUAUAAAAUUCUAUUUAUUAAAAAGAAUAAUAUUAAUCUUAUUUAGAUAAAGUUAUUAUUAUAUUUAUUUAAAAAUAAUAGCAUUAUAUUUAUUUAAUAUUAAUAAUUAAUAUUAAUAAAUAGUUUAUUCUAAGAAAAUAUUUAUUUUGCACUAUAUUAUUAAUAAGAGAUAUUAUCAUUUUUCCACCAAAAUUAUUCUGAUACAUCAUGUUAGUAGCACGGUUUGGUAAAAACAUCAUUUUACCACCAAACGUUUAAAUUGUUAGUAUUUUUCCACAAUUCCGUUAAAACUCAGUUAAUAUUUAAUGGAAAAUGCAUAAAAAGUCAAUUUUACCCCUGGAGCAUAAAAGAUAAUUUUACCCUUUAAAAAGGAAGAACGACAAAAGAUGAUUUAAUUACAAAAUUACCCCCAAAAGACGACAAGACAAUUUUACCCUUUAAAAAGGGAGAACAACAAAAGACGAUUUAAUUACAAAAUUACCCCCAAAAGACGACACUGCUGCGAGAGUGAGAGAGAUAUGGGUCAGUGACAGUAAGCGAGAGAGGACGAAGAUGGAACAAGAAACGAGAGAGAGGGGGGUUGAUUUCGAUUUUUAGGGCUUCCAUAUCCAAAUUGCUUGUUUUUUUACAAUUGCAAAACACAACGUUUUGCCUUCGCAUGAGAUGUCCAAAAUGCCCUUAUGAUGUCAACAUAAUUUUUAUUUAGUUAACGGAAUGGUGGGAAAAUACUAACAGUAUAAAUGUUUGGUGGUAAAAUGAUGUUUUUAUAAAAUCGUAGUACUGAAAUGAUGUAUCAGAAUAACUUUGGUGGGAAAAUGAUAAUAUCCCUAUUAAUAAUAAUGUUUUAUUUGUGUUGCUCUUAUCAAUAAUUUUUAAUUUAAAUAAUUAAAAUUAAAACUAAUAAAAAUUUAUGAUUUACAUAAUUAAUAAUAUUAAUAAUUAUUGUUAAUUUACAAAUAUAGUGAAAUAAUAUAUUUUAUUUCAAAUAUAUUUUUUUAUUAAUUUUGUAAUUAAAAGGUACAAUUCUUUAAAUAAGUGUAAAACCGUAAUUUGAAACCAUUUACUCCCUUCUCAUUCUAGUGAGAGGAAACAACUUGCUCCCACUCCACACUCUUAAUCACAAGAUUCUCACUUCUCAAUAUUCCCACUAUAAUUUAAAAUGUAAACACCGUUUAAAACAUCAAAUAAAAUUCUCAAUUAAGUAAACCAUAAUGUGAUUGCAUAUAAAAAAAAAUUAAUAAUAUUAAUUUUCAUAAGAAUUUAUGCUCGUAGUAUUACUUUACUUUUUAUUAACCGUUGCUUCAACUUAUGGUAGAUUGUAACAUAUGCACUUUAAUUUUCUUAAUUAAGUGUAUUAUUUAAUUUUUCUCAUUCGAUGUUAAUUUUAAAUUUGUUUUGACAUAAAAUUGAGACAAUUCGAAUACGAUUCAAUGGCCGUGUAGCUGGAUUUUAUUUCAACAUGGGUCAGGCAUUAGCUUAGUUAGUAGUAAUCUUUAAAAAAAAAAGCUAGUUUAUAUAAAUGGAAAAGGGGGAGCUGAUUUCCAAAAGAGGAAAGAAAGAGGGGCACGCGAGAGAAAAUGAGAGAGAGAGAGAGAGAAGUUGACCCGUUUAGCCCGACCCGACCCGACCCACAAGACCGACCCGGCUCCAACUCCCGUUUCUGGCCACCAUUCCAAUCAAGCUUGGUACCAAUCUGAAGCUUGAGCGACGCUGGCCAUAUCCCCGCUGUCAUCGUCACCGAAAAACAGCCACAACGCCGGUGAUCAUCGUCAAUCUCGCUGGAAUUAGGUUGCACCACCGGCUGGGUUCGACUCCUCACAUCACCAGCUUUCAUUUCCGACUAACCCCGCCACCUGAAACCUCUGUUUUGGCCCUGAAUGACCACCGGAAAGCUCACGGCUUUGGGAGCACGAUCCGCCGCCAUCUCCGCGUGUGGGAGGUCACCGUCGACGCCAUUGGGCUCACCGAGGUUAGAACUAUCAUACUUGAGCUUUCCGUCGCCGUUGACUGAAGUCCGGUCACCGUUGAGCAGUGGGGGCAAUUUGGUAAUUUCACAAGACUUUAAGGUGGAUUUUUAAUUUGGUAAUUUUAGGUUAGGGCAGUGAGGUAAUUUAAGACUUUGAGGGUAAUUCGGUAAUUUAAGUUAUUAAGAGCAUUUUGGUAAUUUCGCACUUUGAGGGUAAUUUCUUAAAUUCAAAACUUGUGAUUAAUUUUGUUAUCCGAAUUGAGGACAAUUUGGUAGUUUAAGAUAUUGAAGAUGAUUCGAUAAAUUAUGAUUCCGAUGGUACUUCGGUAAAUUUCGGUGUCAGGGGCAUUUUGGUAAUUUUUGGACAUAAGGGUAAUUUUGAAAUUUUAUGUAUCCGGGAGUUUGGUUUUGAGCUUUAUUUCAUACUGUUAGUCGUAUUUCAUGAUACAGAUAAUAAUUAUGUCGUUUAUUUAAUUAGGAGGACUCGCGAGCAAAAAUCAACCAGCGGACGUUAGUGAUACCGAGUCUGGACAUCGUCACUGUGAGUGGAAUAUACAAAACUUAUUUUCAUGGUAUAUUCUGAUUUUACCAUACAGUACAACAUGUUUUGAUAAUAAGUAUUUGAUGCUUUGAUUUAAUGAUUUUCUAGAAAUUUGAUUUUCAUUCUACGUGCUGAUAUUUAUUAUUAUUGAAAAUGAGUUUGAUUAAUGAUUUUAUUAUCAUUUUUUUUGAGUAAAUGCAUGAUAUUAGAAUUGAGUGGAUUUGAGAUAUGUUGAAUAAAAAGGAAAUGGGAUUUUAUAUGUGAUUAUAUGUUUGCGUGCAUGUGCAUAAAAGAUUGUUUGGAAAAUCAUUGGAAGUACCUUUCCCCUUUUAGAUACAGAGAUACAUAUAAUAUGAGAUGAAUACAGUGAUACAGAUGAUAUGAGAUGAGAGGUUUUUGGGGCCCGUCUGAACACACACAAAGACUUUGGGCCGUGUGUUUGGGCGCUUUUGCCUUUUGGGGGCUUAUGCAUACAGUAUGAUGAUUACAUAAAUACAGAUGUUGAGAUACAUGAGAUAUGAGAUGACAUUUUCCUAUAUAUCCAUUGUAACUCCAGGGCAUGAUGGUUCCCUGAUUGUCCGUCCGUUGAGGUCCGAAUAUGAUGAGAUUAUUCCGCUGGAUACUUGUUUGAUGAUAGUUUUUUGUAUCUAGUAUUUGAUAUUAUAAGUAUUAUGAUUUCAUUGAUUUUAUGCAGAUUUAUGUAAUAUUGUUAUUUCAGUGCAUGAAUUAAAUUAAAUAAGUUUAUGUAAGUUCUUAUGAUAUUUUGAUGAAAUUAACUUGGAAAAGAUUAAAUCAUUUUAAAUAAAUUUAUUUUUCCAAAAACUACUAUCCACUCACUGAGCUCACUGAGUUUUAUAUUCACCCCGUUUUUAUUAUAUUUUUCCUCCUAUAGGAAAUUUGCAGGUACAUCAGUCGACCCAGCAACGAUAGUUAGAUUGAAAUUAUGGCCACGUGAUGGUGUUAGAAAUCAUAGAUGUUUUGUUGGGACAUGUUGAAUUGUAUAAUUUAUUACUUAUUUGUGAUUAAGGAUAAAUCAUUAUAUUCUUGACAUUAUAUGAUUGAAGGAUACUGAUAUUUAAAUUGAGGAAGUUGGUUGUGGAUGUUGAUUAAAUAUUGUAUUAUUUUUUGGAGUAUUAAUUGUAUAAAUUGUAGGUUUGGGGAUGUCAUAAUUAUAUAGAAAACUGUCGAAUUUUUUGUAAAAUUCUUAGAUAUCAGAAUUAUUAUUAGUUUGAUUAGGCGAGAUUAGAUAGACUCGUCCUGGGGAUUCGGGGCGGGUCGUUUCAUAGAUAUUAAGAGAACAAUAAUAAUAUAGCUAUAAAUGGUUGCAUACUAUCAAUCAACUUAACACUAUAAUUACCAACAAAUCCUUAAUACUAUAAAUAAUUAAAUUAUUGGGGUUUUAAAAUAACUCUCCAAACUUUGCAUGAUUUCUUUAUAUGUAGGUGCCAUGGUUCCUAUAAGUAAUAUCAGCCACACUUUUUGUUAUUGUUAAAACAAAUUUAUAAGUACAAUUUGUGAAUUUGUACAAAAUGUGGUAUUAUACAUUUGAAGCAUGAACCGAGAAGACAAUGUUGUGUCACUAAUAAAGAAAAAAAAAUUGUAUAAAAUACAGAUGUUGUAGUGUAACUUGUAUUCUUUUUAUUUAUAAUUGUACCUAUCAUGUGAUUAUAAAAAAAACUGAGAUUUUAAAAUUUUGUAAUUGCACUAUUUUUGGAUUAUCAGAAGGCUUCCUCUCCUUAGUGAUGCCCUUAAUCCAUAAAUGGUCCAAAAAAUAAUUCAUGAAAUGAAUUUAUUAUUUUAGAUAAGUUUCAAGUACGCAUACCUUUACUAGCUCCAUAUUGCAUAACUCCUCAUUUCAAUCAAUGGAUACAUUUGUUUACUUUUUCUUUCUUGUAAAUUUUUGAAUGGCCACAAUUCUAUAGAUAAUUAAUUAAGUGUUAUUGUUAUCAUUAUUUUGUAGAUUUAUAUGUGAGGUGGGGACGUUGGGGGGCAUGUAUCUCAAUAUAGCAGAGGGCCAUAAUAUUUAUUCUUUAAGAGGAACCACAACCAACAUCAAUGCUUUAAGUUCCAUUCCAUGUUCCUUCUAUGCACCAGAUUGCAUAAACAACAUUGAUUAUCCAAGGUCAAAGUCUCUCAAAGACUCUAGUUACAAUACAAAGCAUGGGUUAGCGGCCAAAAUUUUCUUGCAAUGAAAGGCUCGUAAACUGAUGAUAGCUGUUGGAUGGUUUUGGGCCCCAAUGGUUUUAAUAUUAUUCUCUUAAAAACAUAUAUGUUGAUUAGAGACGAGAGGAAAAAUAUAAUCUGAUUCAGCAAGCUGCAGAGGAAAGAGCACGCAGUGGAGUUCAGAUUUUGAAUUCUCUUGUUAAAUUGUUUUUAAUUUACUACAAGGUAGAAUACGUUGCAGUGUUAAAAAAACACUUUGAACAUCCUAUUUUUGUAUUACAAAUAUACCAAGAUUUAAAUUAUUAUUUUUCUUUAUUAGUAUAAACUAAAUUUUGCCUGAAUUCUCAUCCUUGUAAGUGGAAUUUUAUUGUGAAACUAAUAGUCAUUCCUAGUUGAACUAUCACUUUGAACAUAUGUGUCCUCUCUAAUAACAGCUUCCAAACCUGCAGCUACCUGCUUCUCAGCAUUAGAAGUAGCCAUAAUUAGGAGGAGGGCAAACUUCCAAAUAACAUUCCAAAUGGUAUUGUGAAAAAAUUUCACCCUUUUGGUAAUAAAAAAUAACCUUAUUUCUAACUUUCUAUUAACAAUCUUACCACAAAGUUCUCUCUCAAGUAGAAACAUUAUAUAUAUAUAUUAAUUUUUUGUUAAAAUAAACAAAACCAGUGGCGGAUCUACAGCUGGGCUAGGUCUAGAAAAAAUCAUUUAAACCCCUUGUCUUUUGAUUCAUUUUACAUAAGGAUAGACUUUUUAUUUUAUUUUUAUAUAAGUCCCCAAUUCAGUUACAAUUAUGUUUUUGUCAAAUUUCAUAGAAUAAUAGAGUUUUUACUUUAUUUUCAAAUAUUUCCUUAACUCAAUUAUAUUUUUUUCCCAACUGAAAUUAAUGACUUAUUUUAUAAAAUAAUUAAAUUAUAUAUUUAUUGAAUAGAUUGAAAACAUUAGGGGUUUAAAAUGUUAUUUUUAAUUUGUUUUUAAAAAAUUUAAUUUAACAAAGUAUGUGAAUGUAAUAUAACAUCGUCACUAUUAUUAAAAAUACUAAAAACAUAUAUAAUAAAAAUUAUUCAUAAAUUCAUAAAUUUUUUAUGUAAAUGUUAACAUUUUAUUUAUUAUUUACAUUAACUUAGAGGAUAAGUUAGAAAGUAAAAUUUGAGUAUUUUAAUCUGAUUUUUUAAAGAGAGUCAGAGUGUCUGGCAAAGAAAUAACGGCACGCAAGUACCUUUUUGCUAGGUUAGAGUUUAGUUUAUUAUUGAAACUCUUGACGACUAAUAUUUUUAUAAUUUAAAAAGAUGAAUAGAUUUUAAUUGUUUAAUUUAUUUAAGCUUGGUAACUAAGGUGGCAUUUGUUUUUUAACUUAAUGACUUAAAGUGACUUAACUUAAUUAAUUAAGUUAAUUAGAAGUGUUUGUUUUUAUAACUUAGACUUUUUAGAUAAUUUUGACUUAAUAAAAUAAGUCAAUUUUUUUGGCUUUUUACUUAAUGGAGAAAUUUGAAUUAAGUCAAUUACUUACUAAUGUCAAAAAUAUCCAUGUUUUAUAAUUUAUUUUUCAUAUCUAUCCCAAAACUCACCCAUAGAACAUUUACCCCACAUAAAAAUAUCCUUAUUUUUUAUUUCUUAUAUUAUAUACGAUAAAAUUUGAAAUUUAUGGUAUUUUAUAUAUUGAAAUUCUAAAAUAAUUAUGUAUUCACUUGAAUAUAGUUUUACUUAUAAAUGUUAAAAUAUUGUGGUAUUUAAUAUAUUAUUUAUUUGACAUUCAAAUUUAAUAAGGAUACGAAUGUAAAAGUACAUAUUUUUAGCUUUUUCAGUUGAAAAAAACAAACAACUCAAUACUUAUUUUCCGAGAUUCAAACGAAAAAACAAACAUAUUAUUCAGAUUCAGACAUACAGAUCUAUUCAGAAUUCAGACUAAUUCAGGUCUAUUCAGAUUUCAGACAAAAAAACAAACGCCACCUAAGUAUUUUUCAAACAUAAAGUUGUACUUGCACUUUUUAAAUGAUUAUAAUUACAUUUAUUGACUUAUUCUAAUUUAAAAUUCUUAAUAGAUUUAUUAAUUCUUAUAUAAUUAGAUGUUAUUAUAGGUUGCAAUGUUAGAUUUAAUAAUUAAAAAUAGUAUUUUUAUAUUUGAAUUAUCUUUUGUUUUUUAGUAUUUUUGUACAAUUAUUUUUGUUUAGAGUAUAUAUUCGUAGAGUUUUUCGUGUCCCCAUUAUUUGAUGUACUUCUUUUUACUUAUGAAUAUUUAUGUUCACUUCAAAAUAUAAAAUUUUAAAUUUAGCCCGGGGUAAUAUAAAUUCUUAGGUCCGCCCCUAAGCAAAACUAAAUAUUUAUGACUUAAAAGAUAGGUGUUGAACAGAGGCAGUCUCACAGAAAAAAAAAAAAAAAGUAUUUGAAAGCAGUGGUGAUAUCAUAAUUUUUUGUAUUGAUAUGAGAGUAUCAUACUAGAUUUUUUUCCGCAAUACAAAAAGUUUGUAUUCAAGAAUAAAUAAGCAAUUUCGGGAACAAAUUUUACAAAAAGCCUCGAGGCCAUGUCGUAUGAAUUUGUGAUACCAAAAAUAGUAUACUAGUCAAUAUAUCUUCUUUCCACAUUACAAAAAAUUAGAAAUGCAAUCUAAAUCGAUAUCAAUUAAUAAUUUUAUAGUACACGAAAUCAAGGUAUUUUUUCAUAAUUUAAGAAAUUAUUAGUCAUUUACCCUAAAUUUACUUUGUCUCCAAAAAUACUACGAAAACUUUAACUUGUUUAGUUUUUUACCUUAAUUUAUAAUUUAUAUCAAUCGCUCACUAAAAAGAUAAAAUUAGCUCAUAAAAUGACAAAAUAAAAACAAACACAAAUGACAAUACCAGUAAUUUUAUAAGGAUAAUAAAGUCCUUUUGGCACCAAAUUACGUAUUAAAAUAAUUUAAAUAUUAUAAAUUAUUUUCAGAUUGAGUGAGGAACCCUGGUCAUUUUAACAAUUAUGGUCAUUUAAUCUAUCUAAACAUGAUAUUUCAAGUAGACUUAUGUUUGCGUGGGAGGAUAAUGUAAAAAAAGUGGCACUUUUAUUCAACUGAAUAAAUUUCACAAUUUAAAUUAGAAAAGGAUAAAAUUUAAUAAUUAACUAUUUUUUUAACUAAUUCAAUCGGGAGCCAUUAUUUGUAGGCUGUAGCGGUCCCAAAAGCAUGACAUUAUUGUGAGUAAUGUAUCCUACUUGCAAAAUAAACGGCAGAAUGCGGUUUGGGGACGGAUUAUCGAGGUAUUUGUUAAUAUUCGGAAAUGAGAAGAAAAGGUCAAAUAAAAUUUUAACUUAUUAUUAUUAUUAUUAAAGAUUGUAACUCAGAUGAUUAGACAAAUAAAGGAACUUAAGGCCACUUGGCGGCUUCACUAGGAGCUGUUUGAGUUUAAUUCUAUUGGUAAAAUUCUAUUUUGGUAAUUCUAUUCUUCUUCUUUUCAACCCCAAAUAAUCAAAAGCUCUCCAAUGGCUUUCGUAUCCACAACUCGUCCAUUUCAUUUUACUUCAAUUUCAGUAUCAGCUCUUAGAUGUAAUUUCUCAUCUUCGUUCCCUCAUACCAGAAAACCCACAUCUUCAAUUUCGGAAAAUGAACCCUCAUAUCCGACUACAACAGCUAAACUGAAGGAGUCGCUACGACUGACAGUCAAAGACGGAGCCUCACUCGAAAAAUUUCUUAAAGAAAGGUGCAAAUCAUCAGGUCAAGGUGAUAUUAAUCUUAUUACUCCUAAUGAAGCCUUGUGUAUCUUUGAUUACAUGCUCCGUAUGCACCCUUCUCCGCCUCCUGUCUCUUCCUUCAAUAUUUUGUUUGGUUGUCUUGCUAAGAAUAAACAUUAUGAUACUGUCCUUUCACUCUUCAAGAGACUCAAUUCAAUUGGGUUGUUUCCAGAUCUUUAUACUUAUAGUAUCUUGAUUAACUGCUUUUGCAAAAUGGGUCGAGUUUCUCCUGGUUUUGUUGUUCUUGGGAGAAUCCUCAGGUCUUGUUUUACUCCAAAUGCUGUGACCUUUACUUCUUUGAUUAAAGGUUUGUGUGCGGAGGGUAGAAUCAUGGAGGCCGCUGCAUUGUUUAUGAAACUUAGAGUGUUUGGUUGUGAGCCUAAUGUUUUUACAUACAAUACUUUGAUUAAUGGAUUGUGUCGAACUGGCCAUACAAUUGUUGCUCUAAAUUUAUUUGAAGAGAUGGCUAAUGGAAAUGGGGAAUUUGGUGUUGUUUGUAAGCCAAACACUGUUACAUACACUACUAUUAUCGAUGGUCUUUGUAAGGAAGGUUUUGUGGACAAGGCCAAGGAACUGUUUCUGAAGAUGAAGGAUGAGAAUAUUAACCCCAAUGUGGUUACUUAUAACUCUUUGAUUCACGGUUUUUGUUACGCUAAUGAUUGGAAUGAGGCGAAGUGUUUGUUUAUUGAGAUGAUGGACCAAGGGGUACAGCCGAAUGUUGUGUCUUUUAAUGUGAUCAUGAAUGAGCUUUGUAAAAAUGGGAAGAUGGACGAAGCAAGUAGGCUGUUAGAAUUGAUGAUUCAGAUUGGUGUGCGUCCAAAUGCUUUUGUCUAUAACACAUUAAUGGACGGGUUUUGUUUGACAGGUAGAGUUAAUCGUGCGAAGGAACUAUUUGUUUCUAUGGAGAGUAUGGGUUGCAAACAUAAUGUUUUUAGUUACAGUAUUUUGAUAAAUGGUUACUGCAAGAAUAAGGAAAUAGAGGGAGCGUUAAGCCUUUAUAGCGAAAUGCUCUCUAAAGGUAUUAAGCCAGAUGUUGUUAUAUAUAACACCUUGUUUAUUGGCCUUUUUGAAAUACACCAGGUUGAGCGUGCUUUCAAGCUGUUUGAUGAGAUGCAACGUCAUGGCGUGGCAGCUGAUACCUGGGCGUAUAGAACCUUUAUUGAUGGGCUCUGCAAGAAUGGUUAUAUUGUAGAGGCAGUUGAACUAUUUCGUACUUUGAGAAUUCUCAAGUAUGAACUUGAUAUUCGAGCCUACAACUGCCUCAUUGAUGGAUUAUGUAAAUCCGGCAGACUCAAAAUUGCAUGGGAACUAUUUCGUAGUUUGCCUCGUGGAGUCCUAAUAGCAGAUGUUGUAACAUAUAACAUCAUGAUCCACGCGCUUUGUGCUGAUGGAAAAAUGGACAAGGCACGUGAUUUGUUUCUGGAUAUGGAAGCAAAAGGUGUAGCACCCAAUUGUGUCACAUUUAACACGCUGAUGCUAAGUUGCAUCCGCAAUAAUGAGACAUCAAAAGUUGUUGAACUCCUUCACAGAAUGGAUGAGAGAAAUGUAAUACCAGAUGCAUCUACACUUUCAAUUGUUGUGGACUUACUUGUAAAGAAUGAAAUUAGCUUAAACUCGAUUCCACAAUUCAAGAGUCAAAGGUAAGUGAGUUUAAUAUUGAUUUAGUCGCAUGUUUCUUCUGCCUGAAAACCCGAUCUGGAGGAUCCCAUUCUUAUUAACACAUGUAAAGGAGUGUUGUCUAAUGUUGGCAUGUUCCUAGGUUCUGUCCAUGGAUUCUGUUUGCGGACAUGGCUAACUUCUUGUCCAACAGAUAAGUUUUAAAGUCUUUCAACUUUAUGUUGUAAAAUAACAUUUUUAUUAUUCAAUUCAUGAGUUUUCCUUCUGUAUCACAUACUUCUCAUUAGCUGGAAGCGCAAAUUUUUUAGGCUUUUCCUGUAUGGCCUCUUUUUCUGCUCUAAAUAAAAUGGCAUUUUAUUUCUCUCUUGUGAGGGUACAAGGUUUAUGUUUAAACUUUCUGUUAGUUAAUUUGGUUGUCUUUGAUAUAGGGAACUUCCAGUUGAACUGAUUUGUAAUUCGAGUAUAUGAGAUUACCAACUGUAUUGGGAAUUGAUGCCAAAUUAAUUAUGUCAUCAGGUUUUUCAAUCAGUGUUCAUCAUUUAUUUCUGUUAACAAUUAAUAGCACAGCUUGACUUCUCAGCUUCAUUGGUUCCUCUCAAAAAUAAUCUUGUAAAGACAAUCUUUCUUGGGCAUGGAAAAUGCUAGAUUGUUACAUGGCAUUCAAUUGAAUGAGGACUCAUGAUUGUGUGUAUUGGUAUUUGUUAUACUAUGUAUUGGCAAGACAAAGUUUCUUGAAACUGACAAACUUUUCUCUAUGAAGAUUGAAGAAAAUAUGAUAAGAUAAAAUUUAUCAAAAGCAUAUAUGCUUGCCAGGGAUGGACCUUUGAUUAUUAGUCCUCGCCUUUCGUGCUUGUCUGUUCUGUGAAAUAAUUCAUUCUCCAUGCUGCUAGGGCCUAGGCUUAUGACUCUUCUUUGAAAUAAUUCAUUCCCCACAAUGUGAAAAAAAUGCUUGAAACACGACACAGACUUAACUGUUUACAGGAAAAGCGGCAGAAACUUGUGAAAUUACCGAUUAAAAAGUACCUACCAUGAGGAAGAUGCUAUACAACUCACUCGGAAAAUGUAAAAUGGUUAACAGACAUCCAAGAUGAUCAACCAGAAACACAAUUCAGAACAUGGGCUGCUUUUGGUUACCCGGCUUUCAGAUUAGGAGAUUAGGAUCCUAAAUGCUUUGAUCUACCUGAAAAGUAUACAAAUAUCAGAGUUAAAACAGAGCAGAUGAAAACGUAUUGAUGAACUCAACUGAGAUAAAUGACAAGAAAACUAACUUUUCCUGUACAAAACUCGCACACCUUCCUUUAAGAGCUGACUUUCCAAGAAGAGAUCACCACAAUCGUUCACAUCAACAGUCUCCACUUGAAAAUUUUUAUAACCACAAUAGUCAUUCCAUUCAAACCACAUCCUUGAGAUCAGUUCCUUCUUCAAGCAAGUAGGAUGGUCUUCCUCUUGAGGAGGCUCAGCAGCAACCAAUCUAUAUGCAUAAACUUUCUUUGUUUGGCCUGGCCGGAAAGGCCUGCCGAUUGCUUGGCGGGUUUCUGAUGGAGUAAAGGUAACAUCCAGAAUAAUGAUCCAAAUUUUUGUGGACUUACAUGCAAAGAAUGAAAUUGGUUUAAACUCGAUUCCACAAUUCAAGAGUUAAUGAGUUUAUCUUGAUUCUGUAGCAUGUCUCUUCUGCUUUAAAACCAGAUCUGGGGAAUCCCAUUCUCAUUACAACAUGUGAAGGAGUGUUUGUGUAUUGUUGGCAUGUUCCCAGGUUCUGUUCACGGAUUCUGUUUGCAGACAUGGCUAACUCCUCGUUUCAUCAGAUAAGUUUCAAAGUCUGGCAACUUUUUGUUGUAAAAAUAACUAUUUCAUUAUUCAAUUCAUGAGUUUUCCUUCUAUGGUGCAUUUUUCUCAUUAGCUGUAGUUUCAAAAUUCGAGCGAAUUUGAAGAAACUGCAAAAGACUACAAAGCAAAUGGUGUAGAGCACCUUUCACUUAUCACGGGCACAGGAUUACUCUGACUUUCUGCAUUUUACUGUUGGCUAUGGUUUGAUGCAUUAUUUAUUGUUCUGAAAUACCAUUCUCGUUGGAAGUUCAAUCAUUACUGUUUCUUUUUUCCCCCCUUUUUACUUGAAGUUACCUGAAGCUCCAAUCGAACGAGUAAUGUAAUGUAGGUGUUGACCAACUCCAAAUAAGUAGUUAGUUGCCUAGUAGUUGCUUUGCAUGAAAUAUGUUUUUGGUAUGAAUAAUGUUGUCUUAAUUUUACAAGCUUCCAUGGAACUCCUAAUUUGUUGGAAGUAUUAACUCAACCCGUCAUUUAAGGUUAGAUUUAACCAUUGACUUAUGUUGACUAUUAAAAGUAUUAUAAUAUUCUAUAAAUAUAACGAAACCCCCCUUUAUUAACAAAUAUAAUUUAAAAUAUAAAAAAUUAAUAAUAAAAAAUAACAAAGUUGAAAUCCAAGGAGCAACUUCUAUCCCCUAACCAAGUUAUUAAAUAUUAGAGUAGAUAGAGGCAUAUACUUUUCUUCAUGAUUCAGAAUCAUAUCUCAAAUAAAAUUCUCAAUGAUUGCAGGCCUCAAUACCAUUAAGAUGAACUAGACUAUCAUGAAAUUUUGUGCAUCUUGCAAGGUCCAAUUUCUCCAAGUUUAUCAUCAAGCCAAAAAAUGUCAUAAUUCCUUUUAUAGUAAUUUCAUAGUGUUUACUAAACGGUAAUAGAAAUGGACUGAAACACAAAUAGGGAAUGCAAGUUAGAAUAAGGAUGGCAAUGGUGAGGGGGGAGGGGACCAACAUCCUUGUACCCAUCCCUGAUGUUCUGUAUAUGUCCCCAUCCCCUUCCCGUCCCCAUCAAAAUUACUUAAGGGAAUUCACGUCCUCCCUCUGAAUAAUAACAGGGAAUCCCCAAAGGUCCCCGAUCCCCAAAUAACUGAUAUAUUUGUUUAGUUUUCAAACUUAAUUUAAUCAUAUUAAGCUAAAAAUAUAUAAAAUAAAAUGAAAAUGAUCAUGAAUGCGCCUUAUAUUUCAUUCAACUUGGUAUAUAUAAUAUUCAAAUAAUGAUUUUCAAAAAAAAAUUCAAAUAAUGUGAUUUUUAUACAAUAUUGACGUGAUUGUUGUCCAUGAGUAACGAUACCUACUGAUCACCGACUAUGAUGCAACAAAGCCGCAUGUGUGGCUGCUAGUUGACAUUGCGAUGAGUUAGUGUAACCCCCACUUUUAUUUAUUUAUUUUUUUCCUCUUUUGCCCUUAUUAAACUGAGUAGGAUAGUUAUUAUUGAGUGUUUGUGUGUGAGUAAAAUUUAUCGGAUUGUUUUAAAUAAGUUACGUAAGUUAUUUUUUUUAAAAAAAAAUAUUUAUUAAUUACCAAGUAUUUAAGAGAAAACCAUAUUUUUAAGAAGCCGUUUUUUAUUUUUCUUACACCGUUACAAACCCUAGAAAGAAAAGAAAGAAAUAUAAGUCUUUGCAAAAGGAAAAGAAAGUUUUAUCACUUCUUUUCUUAGUGUUUGCUUUAAGGUAUUAAGUAUUUCUUCGACUUAUAUGAUUUAUUUUUAUGAAAUUGUUUGCAUUUAAUUACUUGUAGUAUGAAUUGGGUAAUAUAUGUGUUUGUAAUGUUGUGAUGAUAUGAACAGUCUCUAUUCCUUGCUUGAAAUCGUUUUCUUUAUUUAGAAUCACGUGAAUAUCUUACAUAUCAUGGAACUAGACAUCCUAGGCUUUCCAUUGAUAGGUUUUGUGUUGAAAUCGCCUGAGAAUGCAAAUUCUUAUGGGUUUUCGAAGUUGGGUUACUGGUGCUGGAAAAUUCCGAUUUUCAGCAGCGGUUCUCAACUCUGGAAAUUUUUCUAUAAGGUUACACAUCCUUAAAAAUUAUGCUGAUUUUUGUGCCAACAGAUCUAUGUCUCCUAUGCUUGCAUGUUUAAUUUCGUAGUUUUAUUCUUUAUGGUUGAAUUAUUAAAAAUCGUAACAUAUGGCUGCUGCAAAUCUGGAGACUGUUAUCCAGAAUUUCAGAAGCUGAAACGUGUAACAGUUGAGCUAGUUUAUGAAUAUUACAUGCCAUGUUAGGAUUUUAUAAUGAAAUUUCAAUCUUUCCUCUGUCUUUAAAAACUGGAAUCGCGAUUUUUGGGGAUGUAAAAUAAAAGAUACGAAUUUUUGAAAUUCUGUUUUCAAAUCUGGAAUUUUCUGGACGGGUUAGAUGUUCUCGGAAAUAAAACGUUUUAAAAUAGUCUCAGGAGUCCAAAAAUUAUGAAUUUUAAUUAUAUGCUUUUUGAAUGUGUCUUCUGUAAUUAGAAAAAAAGAUAGCAUAUUACUUCGAGUACCAAAGAAUAUUUUAUGAAUUUUCUAAGUGGAAAAGGUCUGUUUUGGUCAGUGCUGGACAGUUUUGUUACUUUGGUGAAAGGUCAAUAUUCUGACUCGAUUUUGACUUGUGCUGAUUUUUGUGAAAUAUUGUAUGCAAUGCUAUACAUGUUCACAGUGCCUCUGUAAAUUUUCAUGGUUUUCCGACAUGUGUAUAGGUUAUUAAAAAUCAUCAUGUGCAGGAUACUCAUAAGUAUAGGAUAUGUUUAGAAUAUGUAUAAGUAUUAAGCUAGUAUUAGUGUCUAUGAUUUAAGGAUGAUUGGGAUUAUAUUUAAGGUUAGAGAUGAUAUUGAUAAGAAUAUUUUUAUGAUGAUUAUAGGACGUGGGUGAGCUCGUUGGUUGUUCUUGAGGUUUUGAAUUGAUUGCUACGGAUCGAGAUAAGUAGAUUCAUGCAUGAUGUGCUUUAUAAUAAAUGCAAUUUAUGUUACAAAAAUUAUGUUUAAAUGGAAAUUUUUACAAAACUGAUUUCUAAAAUAUUUAAAUGAAUUUUGUAAAAUAAAAACACUUUUAAAUGAAUUUAUAUAAAUGAAUUUUAAAAUGAAUUUUUCUUAAGAAAUGAGUUUUCUUAAACAAAAUAUUUUCUUAAAGAAUUUUCUAAAAGAAUUAAAUGAUCAAAGAAAGGUUCUUAAAUGUUUUAGAAAACUUUAAAAGCUAUUUAUGAAAGGAUGUAAGGUGGAUUCAAAAUGUUUUGGCUUAUAGUCCGUAGUAAUGUAUACAAUGGAAAUGUUAUGAUGUUAUGUAAUAUUAUGGUCAGCUUGCUGGUACGAUGAUGGUCUUGUGCACAAGGAUGUUAUGAACAAUGUGGGACAUAGUACCCUAAAUGAGGAACAAUGCGGGGUAUAACACCCUAAAUGAUGAAUGAUGAUGAUUAUGAGGCAUGAGCUACCAAUGUUUACGCUUUAAUGUUUUCAUAAAUGUUUUAAUGUUUUUAUAUGAAUCCACCCCUUAUGUUAAAUGAAGAUGUUGUUAUAAAAUGUUUAAAGGUAUAUGACAAAGGUUUUCAAAUAUUGUGCAUGGAUUUGAUUACCGAGUUGACGGCUCACCCCUCGUCUCCAAUAUUUUACAGAUUGAUUAGAGAUAUGGCUUGGGUUCUUAGACGGAGAAUUUUUCUUAGUGGAUCUUUAGAGUUGUUUUAAAGAUUAAAUUUGGCUAGACUUCCUAUUUUGCAUUAGAGACUUUUCUUUGGAGACCUUAUUUCAUAUGUUUUAUGUAAGGAUUCAGUUGGAGUAUGAAUAAUUAUUGUUUAUCUUGAGAUUUAUUAAUAAGAAUAAAUGAUGUGAGGUUUCAUUCCAAUUUUACCCUUGUGUUUUCAUGAGUAAUUUUUGGGGUGUUACAGUUAGGCUACUCGGACACCGACAACGCAAUGUGCUACUGGGCUAUGAUGAGAUGAAGACGAGUUGCGUGCUUACUACUGCAUGAAUAAUUUGGAAAUUAUGAGCAAGACUGUGAGAAAGUGAUUUAGAGUUUGAUUUGUGAGUUAUGAGCUUGUGGGAUUGUGUGCUUUUGGUUGUAAUUAAGUCUAAAUUAUAUUAAACAUUUUAUAUUAACUAAUAUUUGUAUUAUUUGUAUAAAUAUUUUGAUAUUUGUUAUUUACACCAAUAUUUUAUAUUUUACAAUUUAAAAUUUAUUAUUUAUUGACUAAUAAUUCUAAAAAAAUAAAAAUAAAAUAAAAUAUUAAAAUAGGGAAAUGGGGAGGGGACGGGGAUUCCACCUCAUCCCCAUCCCUUCCCUGAAUAAGUAAUUGGGUAAAAAAUCGUCUUCGUCCCUUCCCCGAAUAAGAAGUUUGGCAUAAAAUCGUCCAUGUACCCUCCCCAAAUAGGAAAAAUCCCCAAGGGCCCCCAUCCCCAUGGGGAUUCCUGCCAUUUCUAAAUUAGAAUAAAUUAUUUACUUGAACUGUAGGAAUCAGAAUAAAAAUAAGCUGGAUUGUCAUUGAUGUGUCUAUUUUGUCUUGGAAUUGAAAUCAAAAUGAGUUACAUUUUAACAACUUACUAAAAAGUGCUUAAUGAGCUAUUGUCAUAAUUAUUAUUUUAUAUUUUAAUUAUGGUAAUUAUUUAUUCAAAAAUUAUAAUAAUUAUUAUUGUUAAUAAUAUAUUCAUAUAUUAAUUAAUUGAAAAUUAUUUAAAUUAAUUAAUUAUUAAUAUAUUAAUUGAUUAAUUAUAAUAAUACAUUAAUUAAUUAUAACUGAGGACAAAAUAAAUAUUUUUUAUUUUGUGAGGGGGCAAAAUGGUCAUUCCAAGGAAUGGGAGACUAAUUCCCGCCUCCCUUGGGAAUUAAUCUUCCAUUUGCCAUUCCCAAAUUGCGGUGGACUCAACGAUUUCAAUUCCGAUUCUUGACUCUAUUUUGUGAAGUAAAUGCUCUCAAUAAUUUCGAUUCCUCAAUCCGAAGAAGUAAACGCACAGUUACUGUUUCUUCUAAAGCUCAAACUUGUCAGGUUUGAGAGACCUGAUAGAUACUUCAGUCAUGCAUCUACUUCAUCAUAAGACAAACUGAAAGUUAGAAAUAAAAGGGACAACUCAAGGAAAAUGCACACAAGUGAGGUUUCAAAAUUAAAAUAGACACUUCAGCUGCAAAUCAGCAUACACAUACAAUGGAGGUCAUACAAAUAUCAUUUCUACAACCGCCCUACUGUAUUCUUGAAUGAAGAUGGUUUAAAGUCAAGUAAUAAGAUAUUUAAACUUAAGACAGAACAAUACAAUUAAAUUUGCUGGAACUUAUGAGUAACUUACUCUCAUCUCUCCUCCUAAUUUAAUUGGACAGGCGUAAAUUUUCCAUGUUAAUAUGGAUGAAGUAAAUUUUCUUUUUGUAAUAUAUCUAUGCAUUAAAAAAAAUUAAUAAUAAUAACUUUUACAAGCAUUUAUGCUUGUAUUAAUACUCUACUUUUUACUACACGAUUGCUUCAGUAUAUGGUGGAUGUUAAGAUAACAAUAAUAAUAGAAUUACAAAUACUUGCAUACUAUUAACUAACUUAACACUAUAAUAUUGUUUACGGUGUAAGCACUCGAGGUGAUGUUAAUAUGCCAAAGAUUUAAAAAUAUUAGUUCUAGCUUUUGAAGAAAAAUAUACUUUUAGUCAGAAGGGAAAAAAAAGCUUUCUAACAAGAUAUCAAAAUGGUUAAUAAGAAGAGCAGUAGUAAUGGGGUAAAAGCUCGUUUAGUCCCUAUAUUUUGAGGUUAGUACUUGUUUAGUCCCUAUAUUUUUAAAAAUGCUUUAAAACAUCUUUGUCGUUAAAUUAUUGACACCCCUGUCUUUACUUUGUAUUCCUUUUAGCUUACUUUUACAAUAUUACCAUUUUUGCAAUAUUGUUUAAUUUUUUGGACAUUAAUAAUAAAUAAAAUUACCAAUUUAACCCCAAAAAUAAAAUAAAGACAAAGAAAAUAUAUAUUAAUCUUUGUCGAAACUAUGUCAAAAAAAUAAAUAUUGUAAAAAAAAUUUAACUACUAAUUUUUUAGACAUUAAUAAAAAAAUUAAUAUAUUAAUUCCUCGUGGAGUAUUCAAAAAAAUUAAUAUAGAUUUUUUUUUGUUUCUAUUUUACUUUUUUGGGUUAAAUUGAUAAUUUGAUUUUUCUUGUUAUUAAUGUGCAAUAAAGAAUAAAUAUUAUUGUACGGGGGUAAUAUUGUAAAAGUAAGUUAAAAAGAACAAAAAAUAACGGUAAGGGUGUCAAUAUUUAACGAUAAGGAUGUUUUAAGGCAUUUUUAAAAAUAUAGAGACUAAAUAGGUAUUAAUCUCAAAAUAUAAGGAUUAAACGAGAUUUUACCCUUAAUAAUGUUACGAGGGGGUUCAAAUGGAGGGGGAUGGGUAUUUCCAAAUUUGUAUCCAUUAAUUUUUUUAAAACUCAUAUCUGUCACUUGUUAUUAUUUUAAAGGAAAUUAUCAGUCAUAUACCUUAAGUUGACAAAACACUUCUACCGUCCACCAUUCCUUUAACUUCCAUUUGCAAGCGUUGACAUCAUAAGGGUAAUUUAGUCUUUUAAGACUGACGAAACUUUGAUAAAAAAAACGGCAUGUCAUCCCAUUUACCGAAUAAAAAAUGACAUGUCAUAUGAUAUAUAUUGAUAAAAAUAACAUGUCAUUCCACUUAUCGGUUAAUUGUUAAUAAUUGCUAAAAAAAACUAUUUUACAACUGAAUCUACUCCUCCAAAAUUUAACUUAAAUUUUUGAAGAUCUACUCCUCCAAGCUCCAACUUGAAAUUUUUAUGGUAUAAUAUGUAUAAUUGUAAAUAAUAUGUUGUUAAUAAUUUUUUAUGGUAUAAUAUGGAUAUUUUUUAUGGAUAAUUGUUAAUACUAUGUACCAUUAAUAAUUCAUUUUUUAAUCAAAAAAUGUAUUGGUAAUAACAAAAUAAAAAAAAUUAUGUAUUGAAAAUUUACGUUAAUUUUUGGGAUAAAUUUAUUUUUUUACCUCAUUUUGAGUUUUAAGGGCAAAAUAGUCAAUUUACCACAAUUCUGUUAACUUUCUAACAGAAGUUAAUAGAAUGGUGGACGGCAGAAGUAUUUUGUCAACUUAGGGUAUACGAGUAAUACACUUGAAAAGUAUUCACACACGUUUGAUACGGGUAUCAUUUAAGGGUAUAUAGCUGAUAAUUUCCCUUAUUUUAAAUAUCAAACUUGUCAACCCUUAGGGGAAACAAGUAUUUAACGGACUUUGUGCGGCUAAUUCUCAUCAUUCGCUACUCUAAAUUUUAUUUUACAGAUUUGUGCAUCAUUUAUAACAUUUAAUUAAAUACACUUAAAUUAUAUAGAUUCAACGGUUCAACCUUCAUAUAUCACAUGAAAAGAAUACUGAAUUUUUAACAUCUCUCAUCAAGAGAUUGUACUGUGCUUACUCAAUUAGAUACUAAGGUGGCGUUUUUUUUUUAACUUAAUGACUUAAAGUGACUUAACUUAAUUAAUUAAGUUAAUUAGAGGUGUUUGUUUUUAUAACUUAAUGAGACUUUGUAGAUAAUUUUGACUUAAUAAAAUAAGCUAAUUUUUUUUGCUUUUUACUUAAUGGAGAAAUUUGAAUUAAGUCAAUUACUUACUAAUGUAAAAAAUAUUCAUGUUUUAUAAUUUAUUUUUCAUGUCUAUCCCAAAACUCACCUAUAGACAUUUACUCCACAUAAAAAUAUCCAUGUUUUUUCUUUCUUAUAUUAUAUACGAUAAAAUUUAAAAUUUAUGGUAUUUUAUAUAUUAAAAUUCUAAAAUAAUUAUGUAUUCACUUCAAUAUAGUUUUACUUAUAAAUGUUAAAAUAUUGUGGUAUUUAAUAUAUUAUUUAUUUGACAUUCAAAUUUGAUAUGGAUACAAAUGUAAAAGUACAUAUUUUCAGUUUUUUCAGUUGAAAAAAACAAACAACUUAAUACUUAUUUUCCGAGAUUCAGAUGAAAAAAUAAACAUAUUAUUUAGAUUCAGACAUUCAAAUCUAUUCAGAAUUCAGACUAAUUCAGGUCUAUUCAGAUUUCAGAUAAAAAAACAAACGACACCUAAGUUUAUACUCCAACUAAUGUGUUAAUAGUAUUUGAAUAAAAAAUGAUAAAACUUAAUAAUUAAUUAUUGCUUAAGUCAAUUAAAUAGUAUCAUAUCAUUUGUUAAAAAAAAAAAAAAAUCUUUGUUGUUUCAAGAUUAUUAAUCCUUUUUCAUUUACUUAUUAUCAUUACUAUCUGCAACAAUCAUAAUGAUUUGCAUCAACAUGUGAUUGUUUUUUUGACUCCAAGAACAGCUUGUAAAUGUAAUUUCUCUUCUUCCCCACUCACCCUUGAAAACCCACUAUUUGUGUACUUCCAAAACGAUUUAUUGCUGACCGCCAAAGACCGAUACUCACUGGACAAAUUCCUAAAAGAAAGAUUCAAAUUCCAAUGUCUUAUACCUAUUUGAUUUGCAGUUCUUGUUAUGCUAAUGACUAGAAUGAGGCAAAGUGUUUUUUAAUUGAGAUGAUGGAUCUAAGGGUGCAGCAUGAUGUUGUGAUUUUCCAUGUUGGUCAUAUAUGAGCUUUGUGAAAAUAGAAAGAUAGAAGAAGCAUGUAGGUUUUUAGAAUCGCAUCAAUGGAUGGGUUUUGCUUGACCGAGGGAACUAUUUGUUUCUGUGGAGAAUAAAGGGUGCAGAAAUGAUGUUGCUAAAUACAACAAGUUGAUAAAUGGGUAAUGCAAGAAUAAGGAAGUAGAGGAAGCGUUAGGCCUUUGUAGCGAAAAGCUUUCUAAAAGAAUUCUCCUAGAAUAUGUUGGGGGGAUGGAGCAGCUGCCCCCAUCGCACCCUAAGCCAACAGACUCAAAAUUGGAUGGGAACUUUUUUCAUAGAUUAUUUCACGAACGCCCGAUUCCAAAUAUGUAACAUAUAACAUCAUGAUUCAUGGGCUUUGUAACAAUGGGCAAAUGGAUACGGAAGCAAGGCGUACGACGCCCAGUUGUGUCAUGUUUACUAAGCUUAUGCGAAAGAAUGAGACAUCAAAAGUUAUUGAACUUCCUCACUCAAUGGAUAAGAGAAAUGUAAUGCGGGAUGCAUCUAUACUUGCAACUGUUGUGGACUUUCUUUUAAAGAAUGAUAUCCGUUUAAACUCGAUUCCAGAAUUCAAAAGCCAAAAUUGAAUAUUGAUUUAGUAGCAUGUUUUUCUACCUGCUGAAAUUCGGAUAUGGAGGGUCCGUUUCAUUAUCCCAAAUGUGAAGGAGUGUCACGUUGUGAGGGCAAUGUAAAAUCCUCGCCAUCUGGUUCGGUUCACCAAAGAAACUUCCCCAUUAAUUUCUUGAAAAAGUUGAGUUAAAACUGUGAAUGAAAGAAUCAUGAUGAUCUGUUUUGGUUUGUGAGAUGUUAGAAAGUGGUCAUUGUUUAUUAAGUGGAAAUAAAAAUGAGGGAAUGAGAUUCAUUAAUUUGUUUACUUAUAAAUAGAGGAGGAGAAUUGAGAAUUAAAUUUGUUGGCCUCACAUCAAUUUAUGAAUAACUCUUGGAUUUCUAAUUUCUAAGGGAGAUUUGGAAUCUACAUCUCAUUUACAAUCUACCCAAUUGUAAUAAUUUUCAUUUUGUCAUUCUUUUAAAUAUUUAAAAAAUAAAUAAAAAUCGCAUGAGUACUGUGCAAAGAUGGAUUGUUCUUGUUAUUGUUGAUGUUAUUAUUACUAGCACCGAAUUACAUAUUAUUAAAUUAAUUUAAAUAUUACAAAUUAAAUUAUUUUUAAAUGAGUGAUAAAACCUGAUCAUUUAAUAACCAUGGCCAUUUAACAGAUUUAAACAUAAAAUUUCGUGUCAAAUUAUGUUUGAGUAUAAGGAUAAUGUAAGAUAAUUGGUACUUUAAUUUACAUUUAUGUGCUAACUGAAUAAAGUUCGCUAUUUAAAUUAAAUUAGAAACGGUGAAAUUUAAAAAUUAACUAUUAUUUAGCCAUUUAAACGCAGAGACACAAUUUGUCACGGUUCCAAAAGCAUAGCAUCAUUGAAAGUACCGUAUCCCACUUGUAUUAAUAUUCGGAAGAAUGGAAGGUUCUAUUUUGGUAAUUCUUUUCUUCUUCUUUUUCAACCCCAAACAAUCAAAAGCUCUCCAAUGGCUUUCGUAUCCACAACUCGUCCAUUUCAUUUUACUUCAAUUUCAAUAUCAGCUCUUAGAUGUAAUUUCUCCUCUUCGUUCCCUCAUACCGGAAAACCCAAAUCUUCCAUUUCGAAAAAUGAGCCCUCAGAUCCGACUACAACAGCUAAACUGAAGGAGUCGCUGCGACUGACAGUCAAAGACCGAGCCUCACUCGAAAAAUUCCUCAAAGAAAGGUGCAAAUCAUCCGGUGAAGGUGAUAUUACUUCCAUUACUCCUAAUGAAGCCUUGUGUAUCUUUGAUUACAUGCUCAAUAUGCGCCCUUCUCCGCCUCCUGUCACUUCCUUCAAUCUUUUGUUUGGUUGUCUUUGCUAAGACUAAACAUUAUGAUACUGACCUUUCACUCUUCAAGAGACUCAAUUCCACUUGGUUGUUUCCGGAUCUUUAUACUUGCAACAUAUUGAUUAAUUGCUUUUGCAAAAUGGGUCGAGUUUCUCAUGGUUUUGUUGUUCUUGGGAGAAUCCUCAGGUCUUGUUUUACUCCAGAUGCUGUGACCUUUACUUCUUUGAUUAAAGGUUUGUGUGCGGAGAGUAGAAUCAUGGAGGCCGCCGCAUUGUUUACGAAACUUAGAGUGUUUGGUUGUAAGCCUAAUGUUUUUACAUACAAUACUUUGAUUAAUGGAUUGUGUCGAACUGGCCAUACAAUUGUUGCUCUAAAUUUAUUUGAAGAGAUGGCCAAUGGAAAUGGGGAAUUUGGUGUUGUUUGUAAGCCAGACGCUGUUACAUACACUACUAUUAUAGAUGGUCUUUGUAAGGAAGGUUUUGUGGACAAGGCCAAGGAACUGUUUCUGCAGAUGAAGGAUGAGAAUAUUAACCCAGAUGUGGUUACCUAUAACUCUUUGAUUCACGGUUUUUGUUACGCUAAUGAUUGGAACGAGGCGAAUUGUUUGCUAAUUGAGAUGAUGGACCAAGGGGUACAGCCUAAUGUUGUGACUUUCAAUGUGAUCAUGGAUGAGCUCUGCAAGAAUGGGAAGAUGGAUGAAGCAAGUAGGUUGUUGGACCUGAUGAUUCAGCGUGGUGUGCGUCCAAAUGCUUUUGUCUAUAGCACAUUAAUUGAUGGUUUUUGCUUGACAGGUGAAAUAGAUCGUGCGAGGGAAUUAUUUGUUUCUAUGGAUAUUAACGGGUGCAUGCAUAAUGUUGUUACUUACAACACGUUAAUAAAUGGGUACUGCAAGACUAAGGAUGUAGAGGAAUCUUUAAAUCUAUAUAGUGAAAUGCUUUCUAAAGGAAUUAGGCCAACAGUUGUUACAUAUAACACCUUGUUUCAUGGCCUUUUUGAAAUACACCAGGUUGAGCAUGCUUUAAAAUUGUUUGAUGAGAUGCAGCAUAGUGAUGUGGCAGCUGAGACCUCUACGUAUAAUACCUUUAUUGACGGGCUCUGCAAGAAUGGUUAUAUUGUAGAGGCAGCUGAACUAUUUCGUACUUUGAGAGUACUCAAGUGUGAACUUGGUAUUGAAGCAUACAGCUGCCUCAUUGAUGGAUUGUGUAAAAUAGGCAAACUGGAAACUGCUUGGGAACUGUUUCAAAGUUUGCCUCGUGUAGGCCUAAUGCCAAAUGUUGUAACAUAUAACAUCAUGAUCCAUGGGUUUUGUAAUGAUGGGCAAAUGGACAAGGCACAUGAUUUGUUUCUUGAUAUGGAAGCAAAAGGUGUAGCACCCAAUUGUGUCACAUUUAACACGCUUAUGCUAGGUUGCAUCCGCAAUAAUGAGACAUCAAAAGUUGUUGAACUCCUUCACAGAAUGGAUGAGAGAAAUGUAAUACCAGAUGCAUCUACACUUUCAAUUGUUGUGGACUUACUUGUAAAGAAUGAAAUUAGCUUAAACUCGAUUCCACAAUUCAAGAGUCAAAGUUAAAGUGAGUUUUAUAUUGAUUUAGUCACAUGUUUCUUCUGCCUGAAAACCCGAUCUGGAGGAUCCCAUUCUUAUUACAACAUGUAAAGGAGCGUUGUCUAAUGUUGGCAUGUUCCUAGGUUCUGUCCAUGGAUUCUGUUUGCAGACAUGGCUAACUUCUUGUCCAACAGAUAAGUUUUAAAGUCUUUCAACUUUAUGUUGUAAAAUAACUUUUUUAUUAUUCAAUUCAUGAGUUUUCCUUCUGUAACACAUCCUUCUCAUUAGCUGGAAGUGCAAAUUUUUUAGGCUUUUCCUGUAUGGCCUCUUUUUCUUCUCUAAAUAAAAUGGCAUUUUGUUUCCCUCCUGUGAGGGUACAACGUUUAUGUUCAAACUUUCUGUUAGUUAAGUUGGUUGUCUUUGAUAUAGGGAACUUCCAGUUGAACUGAUUUGUAAUUCGAGUAUAUGAGAUUACCAACUGUAUUGGGAAUUGAUGCCAAAUUAAUUAUGUCAUCAGGUUUUUCAAUCAGCGUUCAUCAUUUAUUUCUAUUAACAAUUAAUAGCACAGCUUGUCUUCUCAGCUUCAUUGCUUCCUCUAAAAAAUAAUCUUGUAAAGACAAUUUUUUUUUUUUUUUUUUUGGCAUGGUAAAUGCUAGAUAGUUUGUGGUCUGAAUGAUACUACACAUCUAAGUAAUUGCCCAAAUUGCCAUGUAACAAGGAGUGUUGCAUAGUGAUGUCAUGCUCACAGGUACCACUCAUCAACAUGGCCAACGCUUUCGAUGCAGUCAUUAUUAUGGAAAUUCAAGAGUUCUCCUCCUAAGAGGUCUCUCUCUCGUUCUCUUAAUUUCCUUAUUCUGUUUUGGAAGUAAUGUAAUGGGAAAAUAGCAUUUAAUUUCCUUGUGUCUGACAUUUUCUUCUAUAAAUGCUAUAAAAUAUCAUUUUUUUUUUCAUCAUUGAUAUGUAUUACACAAUCAGAAGACUAAUAUUUAUAUGAAACAUCUACUUUAUGGCACAAUUCAGAUUUUUAUCCUUAUAAAUAUUGGAAGGAUAUCUUUAUGUUUCUUCUGUGAUAACUUUUCUGGGUGCUGCAACCUUUUUAUUAGAUUGAUAGAAUGUGAAUACAAGGAAAUUCUGUUUGAUAAUCUUGGCAAACCAGGAUUAAUAUGAAAUGGAGCAUCAUCAACAAAUACUUAGCAUAUUGCUGACUAUGAUUUGUUCUUUCCUCGCCUCAUUCUUUUUGUGAGUAGAAUUGGAUCGUGAAACUUGUUAUGUCAGCACAAGUGUCCUUUCAAGUUGAUGUAAAAUACACUGACUUGAAAUAAUGGCAUGGUAAUUUGGGGGUAUAGAUAAGCUAGCAUGAGUAUAUUUUGUCACCAAUUUCGCCAACCGCGUAUGGGUGUGGAAAUUAUAUUGCAUUUCUAAUGUCAUUUGAAAGAAAAACUUGCAAAAUUUGUAAUUUGUUAAAUCUGAACCGUGGUUCACAUCUACUCUUCCCCAACUUGAGUCAUAUGAUUCAAUUUUUUAGUGGGCAUGACGAGAUAGAUUUCUACCAAGCCCAACCCAUUUAUCUACCCUUUUGUAAUUUUCUAUCAUGCAUAUAUUUAUAUUUUUGUAUAGUUAAUAUCUAAUUAUUUAUAUAUUUUUAUUGAAUAACUAUUAAUUAUAUUUUUCUAAAAAAUCGGCAUGAAAAGUUCAACUUAAUAUUGAAUUUAAAUACUUUGAUAAGUAUAUGUCAAAUGUUUGGAAUUCUUUUUCUUAGUCUUCAUGAUUGAUUAAUUGAAAAAUAAAUGUGUACGUAUUAAAAUGGUAUUGGAUAAACAUGCCCCUAUCACCCAAGUUUUCCUUUGGAUAAUUUCCUAACUUGCAAGUUGAUAUCGAUGUUUAAAAAGAACCAAAAAAAAAAAGUACAUAGAAAUCUUCGUCAAUUACUUCUUGACCUAGUAGUUGACACUUUCUUAUCUUAUUCUUGAGGUUAAAGGUUUGAAUCUUCUUAUGUGGAUUUUAGGUGAACUAUAGAAAAACAAAUUAUAUGAGACAUUUUCAAAAUAAGUAUAAAUGUGGUACUUAUUCAUCAGACGAACAUAUUAAUGACGUGAUAAAUCCGUGUUAUGUAAAUUUUCCAGACUGUAUAAUUAUAUUAUAAUAUUAAAUAAAUAAGAAGAAAGAAUGGAAAAUGCAUCUUCCAAAAGUUUUCAUAGAUUGGCUAUAUGCACAAACAGCAAAUCGAAACAAAAAGAAAGGAUGUGACGUGACCUUACUACCUGUUAUCCCAGUUAUGGAAUUCAAGUCAAUCUUUGAAGUAAUGCACUUUUAUUUCUCUAUGACAGAGACAGGUCCAAGUCUUUCAUCCGAGGCAAAUGCUAAGCUCCAAUUACUUAGCAGGGGUGUUCAUAAUCUAAUCCGAUCCACUUAAUUUAUCUGAUCCGUGAAAAUUCGAUUCGUAUAAAUUCAAUCCGUGGAUUUGUGAAUUGGAUAUGGAUUGAAAAUUUAAAAAUCCGCAGUCGAUGGAUUGGAUAUGGAUUUACUUUUGUAAAUCCGUAAAAAUCCGUGAAUUCACAAAAAAAAAUAUAUAUAUAUAUAGUUAAAAAAUUAUUAUAAAUUUAAUUAAAGAAUAUUAUAAUUGUGACAUUACAUAGUUACAUAAGAACUAUAACAUAUCUUAACCAUUACCCAACAAUAAUAUAAAAUAAUUAAAUAAUCAAAUAUACAAAUAUAACUUGUAAAAAUUAUAAAACAAAAUAAAAGGAAAGUCACACGCACUAACAAAAGCAAAGUAACAUAACGCAAAGUCACCAACAAUUUACAAACAAAAAACCCUAAGCUUCCCCGCUGUCACAUGCACUAGCAACCAAUAUUGGUUUGAUACACUCUCGACACCGAUUUGAAGGACGUCGGUCGCACGAUUCUAGCGAGAGCAAGCCAUCUUCUUCCCCGAGUCCAUCGAGCCACUUCACAAUCACUAGUUCCAGCCAAACAAUUGCACUAUCACAACCUUCAAGAUCGCCACCCGUACUUCUCCUGGUUCCCAUCGUUGACGGCUACGUAAUCACCACUUUUCGACAAAUACAACAGCCCUGGUGAAGGAUCAGACUGUGUUUGGUUUCGGAAACUUCACCAUUUCAAUUAAUUAUGGCUUUAUUUGAAUAAUUAAUUUCGGUGUUAUAUUAAUGUAUUAUUGUAACUUUAUUUGAACAAUUAAUCUCGAUGUGCUAUAUUUUGAAACUUUGAAUGUAUUAUUUUAGUUUUAUUUAAAUAAUUAAUUUGUUUAAAUUUUAUUCAAUUUUAAAUUUAAUUGGUAGUAAAAUUAUUUUUAUAUUAGAUUUUUUUUUUUAAAUUUCAUUAGUUCAUGGAUUGGGGAGAACAAAAAAUUUUUAAUUCGGAAGCUAAUGUGUAAAAUGGUGGAUUGGAUAUGGAUUAAGUUAAAUCCACAUCUGAUCCGCAGACGUAUGGAUUGGAUAUGGAUUUAGUCAAAUCCGCAUCCGAUCCGCAGAUAUAGGAUUGGAUUUGGAUUGAGUUUAAUCAAUCCGUGGAUUGGAUUGGAUUGAAAAAUUAUAAUCCGCAAAAUUGUGGAUCAGAUAUAAAUUAAUGUCCAAUCCCUAAAAUCCGAUCCGCGAACACCUCUAUUACUUAGAGGCUCCCUUCUUCCAAAUUCAUAAUCUUCAACAUUUCUCCAACCAAUCAAGCAAGGCUAGAGAUAGGUAACAUACAUUUUGAUGUACAUUUGUCUUUUGUAUCAUUUACUUCACUAGUGAUCCAUUAAAUGGAUCCACCAUUAACGUAAAUGCUAGUUUAACUAUUGACAGUGGAGCAAGUAUGUAUGUGGUCCCUACGCACAAGCAUACACGCCCAUUAAAGCAUUACUCUCCUCAUCAUUGGAUAUGAAUUUUGUGAACUAUAUAUCUUUUUGGGGGUUUCAUUUAUCUUUCCGGUCUCUUAUGAUCAUUCACGGCUCCUGCUGCUGCUUCUUAUUGGCUCUUUGACAUCCUCUGUCUUGUUCUUGCUGUGUGUGUCGGCCACUAGCAACUGCUUCAAGCAAUGUGAGUUUGUUGCGUGAGCUUCCGUUUUGGUUAUUUUCAAUUAUUAUUUUUGUUGAUGGGUUUGUGAUUUUGUGCUGUAUUAUUACAGGAUUACACUGUUUAUAUGUAAGAUAGAAGAUAUGAUGAGCCUCAGCUGGUUCAGGAUUCGCACCAUCAGAUUCUUUCGGAUAUUCUUGGAAGGUUUAUAUUUCAAUCUCUUUAGCCGAAUUUACCUAUUAUAUUUUUAUCAUAUAAACGUUAUGCAAAACGUUUAUGUUAAUGUAUGGUGAAAAUUGAAAAAUGGAAAAUAAAAAUAUUUGUACUGCUUUCACUAUUUAUCUAUGUUAAUCUCUUUGAUAAAAUGAAGUGGAUGUCAUUAUUUCCAUGCAUCAGUAAUUACAAUCCAUAUUGUGCUCUUGCUAGUCUGUGCUCCAUUUGAACAUCGCAACGAACUUAUUUACUUACAUAUUUUUUGUGCUUUCUGGUUGGAAAUUGGAAGUUUUAACCAAUUUCUGAUCAGAAACAGCCCUUUUGAGUGCUAUGGCAGAAACCGCAGACGUGACCUAACCUUCAUUUUUAAUUUGUAUCAAUUGGUAGUUUUUUAUAACUCUCUCUUUUCCCCUCUAUCAAUAAUGAAUGGUAUUCGCUAGAGAAACCGUAAGGGGACUAAUCAUUGUGAAAAGCACUAGGUGAUAACUAGCAGUUUCAAUUUGACAGCAAAGAAGCUGCUAAGGAAUCAAUUCUCUGUACAGCCACAAGCAUGGUUUUUCUGGAUUUGCCGCAGUCUUAACAGUCUCAAGCCAAGUUAACUGCAGGUGUUAUAAUGUUCGUGAAUGAAAUCUGUUUUAGCUGUCCAAAUUUGUUUUAUUAACCAAUAUUUUCUGUUGAUACGUUUUGUAUGAUGCAUUUGUGCAGAUCACCCUGCCGUGGUCUGUAUUGUACCAAAUAGGACACUCAGUUUGCACACAACCAAAAUGUUGUGAAUGAAAUUCCUUCAAAAGGCCAUUCAGGCGCUGGAAGUUAUUUUCAGAUUCAUGGAAAUAACUAUAAUACUGGUGGCAUUUAGUUUCCAAGUGAUCUUGGUAGUUCAAUAAGUUCUAGUUCUACACUUGUUUCCAAAGGUUUUGGUUACAUGAUGGUCUGCCCGUUGAAUUACAAACUUGUGAUGAUUUGUACAAGAGGAAAAAAUGUAUUGGUUGGAAUUUUUGUUCCAUAUGAUAUAACUCUGUGAAACAGCUUUACAUUUUGUGUUCAAGUUGAACAACAUACAAUUUGAACGAAGAUUAUUCAAUCAAAUUGAAGAUUUCUGUUUGAAUAUUUUGAAUGACAAAAUUAAAUUUACUUUCAUGCAGAUGCAGUAGCAUUUAAUCAAGUUCCUUGUGCUGUUGAAACAAAAAUAUAACAUCCUUGCUUGCAUUUCAACAUGAUAUGAUGCCACUCUUUUACUGUUAACCAACACACAUACAUCAUGUAGGCCUAAUGGCAAAUGUUGUAACAUAUAACAUCAUGAUCCGUGGGCUUUGUAAUGAUGGGCAAAUGGGCAUCUAGUUUUUCGUUUGUGAGGCUACUAGGUCUAUGCUGAAACUUUAUGUUAGUUAAAUUGAUUGUCUUUGAUAUCUAGAACUUCUAGUUGAACUAAUUUGUACUUUGAGUAUAUGAGAUUGCCGGCUGUAAUGGGAAUUGAUGCCAAAUUAAUUAUGCAUCAGGUUUUUCAACGUGUUCAUCUUUUAUUUCUGUUAACAUUUUGGCUCUGGACAUGCUGGAUUGUUUUUGGUUUCAGUGAUACAAAACAUCUAACUAAUUGUCCAAAGUUUUUCAUUCCUUGCGACAUAGCAUUCAAUUGAAUGGUGACUCAUGAAUCAUGAUUGUGUGUUUUGGUAUUUGUAUACUAUGUAUUGGCAAGACAAAGUCUGUUGAAACUGAGAAACUUUUUUCCGCCUUCCAUUCUUGUUUCAUAUUCUUAUGCUAACAAAUCUUGAUCAUGAUGAGUCUCCUCUUUUCUUUUCAACCCACAUAUAAAGUCUUGGCCAUAAGCCUCAAGGCCUAUUGGCUAUUGCAGCAGUGAGUUCACUCUCUGGAAUCAAAUCUUUCAAAUACGAGGAAAUUUGAAAAAAUUGCAAAUGUCUACAAAGCAAAUGAUCCAAAGGUCCUUUUUGUUAUCACACACACACAACAUUACUCAGACAUUGUCAGAGUAUCCAUGUUUUACAGUUGGUCCUGUUGUGCAAACAGCAUUUCUGAUUUUUCCAGAAGACAAUUCUUCGAAGCAUGUAUUUGAGAUGCGCGUAGAGCGUUGGAAUUAUAUGAUUAAUUCUCUUUAAUUUCCAGCCAUAGUUCUAUGCAGGCCAGUUAAUCCCCUUUUUUGUAACACCCCCCCCCCCCCCCCCCCCUCUUCCUUUUUUGCUAUGGAUUGUAUUUCCUUUUUUUUCUACUUUUACUUGCGUUGACAAUUUGAGCUUGCUGUCUUGUGGUUUUAGAACCUGCUAAAGUAAGCGUGCAAGUGACAAUGAAGAAGGGGAAGGGUUUACUCGUCAUUUUCUUUUUGAAAGCAAUGCGUUUUAUGCGGUGAUAUUUUUUUUUUAUCUAUGUUGUGAAAAAAAUUUGACUGAUUUUGAAGAUCCUUAAAGAUCGUCCAUCUUGGUUCUGGCAUUGUUGCAGCCUUGAAGUUUGCAAAACGAUUCCUGCUGGAUAAAUGGAACAGCUGCCUCUUUGAUGGAUUAUGUAAAUCUGGCAGACUUGAGUUUGCAUGUGAAUUGUUUCGUAGUUUGCCUCGUCGAGUCCUAAUGGCAGAUGCUGUAACAUAUAACAUCAUGAUCCAUGGGCAUUGUGACAACGGCCGAAUGGAUAAGGCACAUUAUUUCUUUCUUGAAAUGGAAGAAAAUGCUAUGGCACCCAAUGUGAUCACAUUUGGUACGUUUAUCCAUGGUUUUAGCCAAAUCAAUGAGCCAUCAAAAGUUAUUGACCUUCUUCACAAGAUGAGGGAGAAAAAAGUAAUGCCAGAUGCAUCUAUAGUUUCAAUCGUUGUGGACUUACUUGUAAAGAAUGAAAUUAGUCUGAACCCACUUCCGUCAUUUCCUGUCCAAGAGCGACAGGGGGAAGUUGAUGAGUGAAAUGUCAAGUUGUAGCAGCAUGUGCUUUCAGCCCAAACUCCUGAUCUGCAGCAUCUCAUUCAUGUUACAAAAUGACAUGUCGCCUGGUGACAGCAUGUUCUCUCCGGUGCUGUUAAUGGAUUCUGAUUGUUCUUGUGAUCUGGAGAGUUUCAUUCAUAUUACAGAUCCUGAUCAGGACGAGCUAGCAUAUGUGAUCACCAACUGUACAUGGUUGUUGAUGCCAAAUUAAAUUAUGGUAUCAUGUUUUUCAACUUGUUAUUUAAUAUAGUGCUUCCAUUGAACGGCCACAAGAAACUGUAGAAUCACCGUGUCUUGUUCCCUCUUAAUGAUCCAUCACUUUGGAAGCUAAUGAAUUAGUUGCACCUUGUCACUUUCUUGGUACUUGAUUGUCAUUCGUGCUUUGAAUUUACAGCAUAUUUUAUCCCUGCUUUACUCUUUGCAUAAUCACCUUUGAGGGCUGCUAGUAUGUAUAAUUGAAAAACCUUAUAUAAAUUGUAAGCUUUUUUAUUUAACUUGUUGUAAACUUCCAGUGUAUGUCUCUUCUGUGAAAUGAUUCAUUCUCCAUGCUGCUAGGGCCUAGGCUUAUGACUCUUCUGUGAAAUGAUUUACCCUCACCUGCGCACAGACAUUUAUCACGUUCGAGAAACCUUCAAACAAUGUGAAAAAAUGCCUCAAGCAUGACAUAAACUUAACUGUUUACAUGAAAAGUGGUAGAAACUUGGUGAAAUUACCGAUUAAAUUGUACCUACUGUGAGGAAGGAUGCUAUAUAACUAAGUCGGAAAAUGUAAAUGCCCGGCUUUCAGAAGUCAAUAAUUAGAUGAACUUUGAGGAGAUUAGGAUCACCAGUCAGUCAGAUUUAGAUAGAAAGUGAGAGAUUGCUAUUGCCGAGCCAUUGCUUCUAUCCUAAAUGCUUUGAUGUACCUGAAAAGUAUACAAAUAUCGGGGUUAAAACAGAGCAGAUGAAAUCGUAUUGAUGAAUUCAACUGUGAUAAGUGGUAAAAGAAAACCAACCGACCUUCUGUACAAAACUCGCACGUCUUCCUUUAAGAGCUGACUUUCCAAGAAGAGAUCACCACAAUCGUUCACAUCAACAGUCUCCACUUGAAAAUUUUAUAACCAUAAUACUCAUUCCAUUCAAACCAGAUCCUUGAGAUCAGUUCCUCAGGCAAGUGGCAUGAUCAUCCUCUUCAGGAGACUCAGCAGCAACCAGUCUAUAUGCAUAAGCUUUCUUUGUUUGGCCUCGCCGGAAAGCCCUGCCGAUUGCCUGGCGGGUCACUGAUGUAUUAAAGCUUUCUGUAAUUUCAUUUUUUCAUUUUUCCCUUGCGAGGGUACAGGUUUAUGUUGAAACUUUCUGUUAGUUUGCACUUUGAAUAUAUGAGAUUACCAACUGUGACAUGGCAUUCAAUUGAAUGGUGACUCAUGAAUCAUGAUUGCGUGUGUUGGUAUUUAUUGUACUACGUGUUGGCACGACAAAGUUUGUUGAAACUGACAUACUUUUCUCUAUGAAGAUUGAAGACAACAUAAUAAGAUAAAAUUUGUCAAAAACAUGUAUACUUGACACUUGACAGGGCUGGAACGUCUGUUAUUAGUCCUCGCCUUCCAUUCUUGUUUCAUAUUCUUCUGCUAACAAAUCUUGAUCAUGAUGAGACUUCUUUAUUUUCAAAAAAAAAAAAAUAUCCACAUGUAAAGUCUUGGCCAUAAGCCUCAAGACCUAUUGGCUGUUGCAGUGGUGAGUUCACUCUCAGGAAUCAUAUCUUUCAAAUUCGAGCGAAUUUGAAGAAGCUCGAAUUCGAAGAAAUUGCAAAUGCCUACAAAGCAAAUUGUGUGUAGGUCCUUUCACUUAUUAUUGGAGAAGACCAUUUGUUGAAGCAUGUAUUUGAGAUGCGCAGAGAACCUUUGGAAUUAUAUGAUUAAUUCACUUUAAUCUCCAGCCAUAGUUCCAUACAGCCCAGUUAAUCUUUUUUUUUUUUUGGCUUUUGGAUUUUGUUUCCUUUAUAUAUAAAGGAAAUCGGGACUCAAUUGUUGGGAGUCCAAUCACUUUUUUCUCUUUUAACUUGCUAUUUUUGUUGUCCGAAAUUAUCUGAAGUUCCAUGCAUGCUCCAAUAGAACAAAUAAUACAGGUUAUGAUCGUCAUACUCCAUAAGCAAGUUUUUUUUUUGGCUGCCCCUUAUAUUUGUCACACUCCUUGUACUAGUGCCCAAUGAAACCACAAUAGAAGCAAAAAUCUGACAAUCACUCAUAUACUACUGUAAUUGGAACAUCAUCUUCACCUUCAAGUUCUAAAUAAAUAAUUUUCUUCAAUGGUUGUGUGAUAUCAAUUGAGAUACUUACUCUGGCAUACUGACCAAUGCACUCUUCUUCCUCGUCCGCAUUAACUUCUUCAAUUAUACCAAUUGCCUCUCCCAACGCUCUGAUUAUUUGCUGGUCUAUACACCCAACUGGGAUACUAUGAAGUUGUACCCAAAGGCAGCAUGAGUAAAUGAUUGUUUUGUUAUUUCCCCAAUUCCAUUUGCCUCUUUUAGAUAGGGUUGGGCAAAUAACCCGACCCGACCCGACCCGACCCGACCCGACCCGAUCAGAUCCGAAAACAAUCGGGUUCGGAUCAGAUCGGGUUUUUAACAUAACCCGAUCGGAUUUAAUUUCGUCAACCCGAUCGGAUCGUCAUCGGAUCGGGUUUCACCCGAUCCGAUCCGAAAAUCCGAUCGGAUUUGGCUAUUGAAAAAAAAAAUAAAAUAAAACACCCACACACAAAGGGGUGAAAAACACAACACUGCCACACUCAAACUCACUGACACACACCCACUCCCCAUCCACACACACACACACACUGAUACACCCACCACCCACCCCCCAUCCACAAAAAAUCGCAAUAGAUAGCCUUUUACUCACAUUUCAGAUUUCAUAGCUAGGGGUGGGCAAAUCGGGUUUCGGUUCAGGUUUCGGUUUGGGUUUCAACCCGUUCGGGUUGGAGAAUUGAACCCAAUCGGAUUGAAAAUGCCAACCCGAACCAAACCGAACCGAAUUUAAUUCGGUUCGGUUCGGUUUGGGUUGACAAUUCGGAUCGGAUUGGGUUGAUAAUUCGGGUUAAUUCGGGUUAGUUCGGGUUAGAAUAAUUCGGGUUAGUUCGGGUUAGAAUAAUUCAAGUUAGUUCGGGUUAGAAUGGAUUGAAACAAUUUAAUCUAAAAAUUCUAACAACUAAUAUCAAGUACAAUCAAACUACAAAAAUUACAAAUCUAAAAAUUAAAAUGGCAAAUGACAACCAUGAUUAAACAUCUCCAUUCUCCACAUGACAAUUAAUCAAUCAAUUAAUUAACAUUUGGUCGUCUGACAUGAACAGAAUAAAUCAAUAGCAAGCAUGUAGUUCUUUGAAAAGAACAAAAAACAUAAAACGAAAAUGCAUAUGAGAGUGCCAACAAACAUGAUAGCGACAUUUAAACAAAGCAAAAUUGGAGGUACUGGCAUGAUUUAUAGGCCAAGUAUCAAGAUGGAGACUUUUAAUUAAUUUUUGGAAUCUUUAAAAUAAGAAAACAUAUUAGCAUAAAAGAUAUUAGAAUUGUAUAAUGAAAACAACAGAUGCCAGCAAAACGCACACUGACCAUUUUCCCUGAGAGAUCGUGUACUAGUAACAAAAUUAAGAACUGAAUCAUCAGCAGUUGUUCUUCAACAAAUAUUAACAGAAGCCCAAACUGAAUACCUUUUUCGGUUCCUUUGAGCAGCGGAUCUCGCUUUACGCUUCCUCUUCUCCUGACUGCUCUCAAAAAAUCUUCUUCUCUUGCACUCUUGUAUAAUACCAGCUCUCAGCACCGCACUCCUAAACCGCCUCGCUAUCUUCUCCUCGGGCUAGUCGUCGGCGACUUCUAUCUGCACGUUGAAGAAAUAUAUGGUGUCUGUUGGAGCUGGACGGGGCUGCUGGCUGCUGCUGUGAGUGCUGUCGUCGUGGGCCACAAAACUCAAAAAGUGAGAAGAGGGAGCAAGGAGGGGGAGGGAGUUAGACGGUGAGACCGGCUGGUGUCUGUUGGAGCUGAACGGGGCUGCUGUGGCUGCUGCUGAAGUGCUGAUGUCGUCGGCCACAGUUCUCAGAAAGUGAGAACUGAGAAGAGGGAGCAAGGAGGGGGAGGCCGGGAGGUAGACAGGGAGUGAGAGAUUUUUGUUUAGGGAUUUUUAGGGAUUUUUUGGUUUAAUUAAUGUAUAUAUAUUUUUUAUUUAAAAGCUAAAUCUAAAAAAAAAAAAAAAGCUUCAACCCGAACGGGUUGAAAAUUCGGUUCGGGUUGAACCCGAACCGAAAUUUAACCCGAACGGGUUGAAGCUUUGAAUCCGUUCGGGUUUCACUGGUUAAUCCAAACCGAACCGAACCCGAAAUAAAUUUCGGGUUCGGUUUGGUUCGGGUUAACCCGAACCGAACGCCCACCCUCACGCUUCACUCUCUUCUUUGGUUCUUCUCCAAUUUUCACCCUUAAAUCUUCACAGCUUUCUUCUUUUUAAGUCUUCACUCUUCAGUUUUCACAAAUCGAUUUCUCACACAAUCGGGUUUCACAGAUCGAGUUUCAGUCACAAAAGCAAACCGAUGGUCACUCAAAGACGCAGCGCAAGAACCGAAGAUCAUUUGCAGACACAGCCACCGGAUCCGUGGUUCCGUCCAUCACCAAGUUUCUCACCUCCAAGCUCCACUUCAACCCAGCAACCUGACUUCUCCAACCUGCAACCUGAGCCUUGUGUUUUGAAAUUUUGAUGGUUUUUCUUGAUGUUGUGAUUAUUAUCAUAUAUAAAUUGUAAAAUUUUAAUGUUCACCAGCUAAUGAUAAAGAAAAUCAGUGAUAAAGAAAGUUGUAAUGUAUUUUUUUUCCAAUGAUGGGCAUAAAUUUUUUCAUUUUUCAGUCCAAACUGAUUUUAAUCCGAAUCCGAUCCGAACCGAACUCAACCCGAUUUUUUGACCCGGAUCGGAUUGGAUCGGAUUACAAGUUCGGAUUGAAUUCGGAUGGAUUUCUGCCCAACCCGACUAACCCGAAAUCCGAUCGGGUCGAACCAAACCCGAUCCGAAUCCGAUUUUGCCCAGCUCUACUUUUAGAACUAUCAGAGCUCGUUCAAAAUGUCACGGCCCACUUGAUAAAAUUCUCAUCUUAUCAACUUCAAAGGCAAAUUUAACAUAAAAAUCUUACUCCCCAAAUUUUCAAUUUCACCUAUUCUGCAUACUUGUUGUAAUGCUCACUUAAGACCCUCUCUAGUAACUCCUCUUAGAUGUAAGACUUUGCCCAGCAGACAACCCUCAACUAACUCUCUCGCAUUCCCUUCCAUGACAUUACCAACAACUACUUUACUUUCUUUUCCUUCUUCUAAUGUAAUAACUUUACACUUGCGGAUUAGUUCUUCUGUUUCCAUGAGGCACUAAAAUAUAAAUCCACUAUGAUAACUCUUGAGUAUCUACCACUUCCUCUGUAAUUAAGACUCAACAACUUAGAUGAAAAACUUAAAACUAAAAGAGACACCCAACUCGUGAGCGACUUUCGCAAUCUUAUAGGCUACUACCCUUUCAUUCUAGAUUCUCACUCAAAGAGAGAGAACCUGUGAAGAAAGACUUCUACAGGUAGGAGAGCACUUACACAGUAGAUUAUUUAUAUUUCUUUGGACUGACUUUUUUACUUUAUUAAAGACAAAAACAACAUAAACAAAGACAGAAGAUUAACAAAAGCAUCAAUUGCCAAAGAGUAGAGAGUAUUAUUAUAUUUUAGGAACUUAGGUUAUGACCAACUUAAAAGAAGCAGUUAGGGCUUGUUCGGUACCGUUUUAAAAGCCUUAUUUUCAUUUUUGUUUUGGGAGUAUAAAUAUAAUACAUAUUCAGCGGGUUGAAUCCAAAAAAAUAAAUUAUAAAACAAAUAAUUGAUAUUCACUUUUACAGUUAUAAAAUUAAGAACCUGUUGAACAUGUUCUCAAACAAAUUACAAAUUAAAUUAAAAAAAAAACCCCAAAACAAAAUCUAAAAAGUUAUCUUUCUCUCCCAAAAUCUUAUCCCCUCCCUCUCGUUAUCUCUUCACAACUCUUCCUUCUUCAUGGUUGAUACUUCUCCUUUAACCACAACCCACCUGAACUGUGCACCGAUCUCUCUCUCCCCUUCCCCUUUAUCUAGGUCUACUUCAAUGCUCUCUUCCUCUCGGUGGCUGUUACUUGUUCAUCAACCGCAAUCCAUCGUCGCAAGGUACUACGUCGGAAUAUUUGACCAAAAACAUGUCAGGACAAAGUGAUGUCUAUCAUGGUUUAUUGCUGCAAGUGCAUUAUUUUCUUUGUACUAAAGUGAAUCUUUGAUGUAUUUAUUAAAUUUGGUGGAGCAAUCUUUGUUAAUUUUGAUGAUCUAUAUAUGCAUUUAAUUUCAUUUUUAAUAAUUCAUGUGCAGGAAAUAUGGAUUCUUGGCUUUGCUUGGACUGAUGGUUUGCGCAAUUUCAUUUGGAAUCAAUCAGCUUCGAGGAUAAACACUUGAAGUUCAUCCUUUCUUGUGCAUGGGACUUGCUUUUCUUCCAUCCAACUUUUUUGUUCUCUUUUUCUAUGGUAGCAGUUUUAUGUUUUGUGUUGGUGGGAAACUUCAUGCUGCAAUUUUGUCAAACUCUGUUGACAUACCCUAAUCAGUAAUGACUUUGCUGCAUGGCGAAAGCAUAAAUCUUGUCAUUAGAGCUUGUUUCCAUAAAAUAAGUGUAAUUUGAAAGUACAUUGUACACUAUUGAAUUUAAAUUAUCCCCAACAAGUGUUGAUGCAUGAUGUCUAUCGUGUAAUUUUUUUUAUAAUUAUUUUGUUUAAAUUAUAUGUGUUGUAAUAUAUAACUUAAUUAUAGUGUAAAAACAAUGGCAAUGUAAUUUUUUGUAUUAAUGCUAAUACUAAAACUUUAUCAUCAUGCAAUUUUUUAUAAUUAUUUUAUUUAAAUUAUUUAUGAUAUGUUUGCGUAUUAAUUAAAUAAACAAUUAGUUUUUACUAAAAACUAUGACUUACAUGUUUAGUAAAAACUGUUCAUGAAAAUAGUACUACAGAACACAUUUUCUCUGAUUUUAUCUUUUUCAAUUGUUUUUAUCAAACACAUGUUACUGUUUUCAAUUUUAAAAUACAAGAUAUAGAAAAUGAUAUCAGAUGCCUAUUUAAUUCAAAAUGCUGCAACUGCAAAACACUAUUUUUAUUCUCAUUUUUGUUUUCAGAAAAUACUAAUUCAGAAACAAUAACAAACAAGAACUUAGUUUUAGUACGAAUAAUGUUGUGUUAGUUUUACAGGCUUACAUGCACCCUUAGAUUUAUUAGAAGUAUCAACCCAACCCCCUAGUUACCGUUGACUGAUAUCUAACCCGUUGACUGAUGUUAACUCUUGAAAGUAACUAUAACAUCUAUAUUGUAAUCUCACUUUAUUAACUAAUAAAUUUUAAAAAUAUAAACAGAUCAAUAACAACAAAAUAAUUAAAGUUGAAAUCCAAGAAAUUACCUAAAAAUCAUACCUGAAAACCAAAAUGCAUAAAAUUUCAUUAAUUUAAGUUGUGACAAUGAGUAGUCCACAUUAUAUGAUGAAUGAACAACUUCUAUCAUUUUACCAAGUUAUUAAUGUUAUGUUUACUUACUGGAGUGGACAUGAGAAGUAUAGAUUCCUCUCACUCUAAAGUUUACUUGCAUAUUCUAAGAGGUGUGGGAAUCCCACUCCGUUGAUCCCACCCAAUUUUGAAGUAGUGAGUGUAAUUCCCACUCCCACAACUUUCUUUUUUACUUUUCUUUUAUUAAAUUUAAUACAAUCAUAUUUAGUAAAAUAAAACAAAUAACAUCAUAUUUAUUUAAUAAAUAUUAUUAUUUUAUUUUAUAAAAUUCUAUUUAUUAAAAAGAAUAAUAUUAAUCUUAUUUAGAUAAAAUUAUUAUUAUAUUUAUUUAAAAAUAAUAGUAUUAUAUUUAUUUAAUAUUAAUAAUAAAUAGUUUAUUGUAAGAAACUAUUAAUUUUUCACUAUAUUAUUAAUAAUAAUGUUUCAUUUGUGUUGCUCUUAUCAAUAAUUUUUAUUUCACAUAAUUAAAAUUAAAACUAAUACAAAAUUUUGAUUUACAUAAUUAAUAAUAUUAAUAAUUAUUGUUAAUUUACAAAUAUAGUGAAAUAAAUAUUUUAUUUCAAAUAGAUUUUUUAUUAAUUUUGUAAUUAAAAACUACAAUUCUUUAAAUAAGGGUAAAACCGUAAUUUGAAACCAUUUACUCCCCUUCUCAUUCUAGUGAGCAAAAACAACUUGCUCCCACUCCACACUCUCAAUCACAAGGUUCCCACUUCUUAAGAUUUCCACUAUAAUCUAAAAUGUAAACACCGUCUAAAACGUCAAAUAAAAUUCUUAAUUAAGUAAACCAUAAGGUGAUUACGUAUAAAAAAAAUUAAUAAUAUUAAUUUUCAUAAGAAUUUAUGCUUGUAGUAUUACUUUACUUUUUUAUUGACUGUUGCUUCAACUUAUGGUAGAUAUUAAGAGAACAAUAAUAAUAGAGCUAUAAAUGUUUGCGUACUAUCAAUCAACUUAACAGUAUAAUUACCAACAAAUCCUUAAUACCAUAAAUAAUUAAAUUAUUGGGGUUUUAAAAUGACUCUCUAGACUUUGCAUGAUUUCUUUAUAUGUAGGUGCCAUGGUUCCCAUAAGUAAUAUCAGCCACACUUUUUGUUAUUGUUAAAAAAAUUUUAUAGGUACAAUUUGUGAAUUUGUACAAAAUGUGGUAUUAUACAUUUGAAGCAUGAACUGACAAGACAAUGUUGUGUCAAUAAUAAAGAAACAAAAAAAAAAUUGUAUAAAAUACAGAUGUUGUAGUGUAACUUGGAUUCUUUUUCUUUAUAAUUGCACCUAUCAUGUGAUUAUCAAAAAAAAAAAAAGAACUCCUGAGAUUUUAAAAUUUUGUAAUUGCACUAUUUUUGGAUUAUCAGAAGACUUCCUCUCCUUAAAGAUGCUCUUAAUCCAUAAAUGGUGCAAAACAUAAUUCAUGAAAUGAAUUUAUUAUUUUAGAUAAGUUUCAAGUAUACAUACCUUUUAUAGCUCCAUAUUGCAUAACUCCUCAUUUCAAUCAAUGGAUGCAUUUGUUUACUUUUUCUUUCUUGUAAAUUUUUGAAUGGCCGUAAUUCUAUAAAUAAUUAAUUAAGUGUUAUUGUUAUCAUUAUUUUGUAGAUGCAUAUGUGGGGUGGGGACGUUGGGGGGCAUGGAUCUCAAUAUAGCAGAGGGCCUGAAUAUUUAUUCUUUAAGAGGAACCACAACCAACAACAAUGCUUUAAGUUCCAUUCCAUUUUACUUCUGUGCACCAGAUUGCAUAAACAACAUUGAUUAUCCAAGGUCAAAGUCUCUCAAAUACUCUAGUUACAAGACAAAGCAUGGGUUAGUAGUGGCCAAAAUUUUCUUGCAACGAAAGGCUCGUAAACUGAUGACAGCUGCUGGAUUGUUUUGGGCCUUAAUGGUUUUAAUAUUAUUCUCUUAAAAACAUAUAUGUUGAUUAGAGACGAGAGGAAGAAGAUGAUAUGAUUCAGCCAGUUGCAGAAGAAAGAGCACGCAGUGGAGUUCAGAUUUUGAAUUCUCUUGUCAAAUUGUUUUUAAUUUACUACAAGGUAGAAUAUGUUGCAUUGUUAAAAAAUACUUUGAACAUCCUAUUUUUGUAUUACAAAUAUACCAAAAAUUAAAUUAAUUUUUUUCUUUAUUAGUAUAAACUAAAUUUUGCAUGAAUCCUCAUCCUUAUAAGUGGAAUUCUAUUGUGAAAUUAAUAGUCCUUCCUAGUUGAACUAACUAUCACUUUGAACAUAUGUGUCAUCUCUAACAACAGCUCCCAAACCUGCAGCUACCUGCUUCUUAGCAUUAGAAGCAGUAUCUGCAUUGGCUUUCAACCAGCCAUAAUUAGGAGGAGGGCACCAUUGUUUCUGUUUGUCAAUUUCCUUUCUUGAACCAUAAGCCAUAAUUAGGAGGAGGGCAAACUUCCAAAUAACAUUCCAAAUGGUAUUGUGAAAAAUUUUCACCCUUUUGGUAAUAAAAAAGAACCUUAUUUCUAGUUCUCUAUUAACAAUCUUACCACUAAGUUCUCUCUUGAGUAGAAACAUCAUAUAUAUUAAUUUAUUGUUAAUAUAAACAAAACUAAAUAUUUAUAACUUAAAAGAUAGGUGUUGAAUAGAGGCAGUCUCACAGAAAAAAAAAAAAAAAAGUAUUUGAAAGCAGUGGUGAUAUCAUAUUUUUUGUAAUGAUACGAGAGUAUCACACUAGAUUUUUUUUCUGCAUUACAAAAAGUUUGUAUUCAAGAAUAAAUAAGCAAUAUCAGGAACAAAUUUUACAAAAAGCCUCCAGGACAUGUCAUAUUAAUUUUGUGAUAUAUUAGUCACUAGAUCUUCUUUCCACAUUACAAAAAAAUUAGAAAUGCAAUCUAAAUCGAUAUCAAUUACUAAUUUUAUAUUGAAUGGGUCCUACAUGAAAAUAAGGAGUAUUUUUAUAAUUUAAGAAAUUAUUAGCCAUUUACCCUAAGUUUACUUUGUGUCAAAAAAUACUACGAAAACUUUAACUUAUUUAGUUUUUUACCUGAAUUUAUAAUUUAUAUCAAUCGCUCACUAAAAAGAUAGAAUUACCUCAUAAAAUGACAAAAUAAAAACAAACACAAAUGACAAUACCAGUAAUUUUAUAAGGAUAAUCCAAUCCUUUUGGCACCAAAUUACAUAUUAAAUUAUUUUAAAUAUUAUAAAUUAUUUUUAAAUUGAGUGAGAAACCCUGGUCAUUUUAAUACUCAUGGCCAUUUAAUCUAACAAAACAUGAUAUUUCGAGUAGACUUAUGUUUGCGUAGGAGGAUAAUGUAAAAAAAGUGGCACUUUUAUUCAACUGAAUAAAUUUCACAAUGUAAAUUAGAAAACAAUAAAAAUUUCAUAAUUAACUAUUAUUUGAACUAAUUGAAUCGGGAGCCAUCAUUUGUAGCGGCCUCAAAAGCAUAACAUAUUUUUAUACUGAGUGAUGGACCUAAUCAUUUUAAUACUCAUGACAAUUUAAUCUAUCUAAAUAUGAAAUUUCGAGUAGACUUGUGUUUUUUUUUUUUUUUUUGAAGGGAAGCAAUUUCAUUAAACCAAAAACGAAUUACAGACUAUGUAAUAACCACAAAGGUGGAACGAAAUUCCACUCUUGGGGACCUGACAUAGAACCUACUGCCCUUGCAACAGAAUGAGCAGCCAGGUUCGCAGACCGACGUACAAACGAGAAUUGUACUUCUCCUAAAGGCUUAGCUAAAGCUCGACAUUCAUCAACUAUUAAACCAAAACCGUUAGGCCCUGAAAACUCCUCAACUAGAGCUUGAAAUACUUGUAAACAAUCAGUUUCAACAAUGACACAAGGAAAUUGUAAGCCUUUAAGCCAACUAAGGGCCUCCCGAAUACCAAGAGCUUCAGCCUCCCUUGCUCCAAAAUUCCCAGCCAUUCCAGCACAUCUUGCUGUUAAGAAAACACCCUCUGAAUUUCGAAGCACACACCCAAAACCAAUCUUUCCUUGAGAUGAAAAGAUAGCAGCGUCAACAUUACAUUUGACCCAACCAAACUUUGGCCUCUCCCAACAUAUUGCCCCAUGGACCAGCUUAUGGACAUCAGUAUCAGCAUAGAAUUGUUGCUUCUUUGCUGCUUGCCACUGAUAGAGAAGUUGCCCAGCAGAAUUGAGCACUUGAUUCACUGAACCAGUUUUGUUAUUCCAUACUUUGUCAUUACGAUUAAUCCAAACUCUCCAGCAGAUCAUCAUGGCAACAUGGCAUUCUUCUUUACUGCAGCGUGUAAAGAUGUGAUCAAGCCACUCUAAGAAAGAAUAACAAUGGCCAAUAAAACCCACAGAGGAAGAAAUCCAGCAAGCCUUAGCAACAUUACACUCAACCAACGAAUGGAGAACCGUUUCAUCAGAAGCAAGACACACAACACAAGUAGGGGGGAUAUUCACCCGCUUAGAAAUUAAAUUAACUGCAGUAGGCAACACAUUAGUUGCCGCUCGCCAAACAAAAUUCUUAACCUUAUUCGGCACAUUCAAGUUCCAUAGUUUUCGCCACACAUCUGUGAAAGGGCCAGGGGUAAGAGAAUGUAAAACCUUAUAACAGCUACGGACUGAAUAGCAUCCGCGAGAAUCAGCCAACCAAUACCACACAUCAUCAUUUCAGUGGGAACUAAGGGGAAUUUGAAGUAUCAACUCCUUGUCUCUUGCGUUGAAAAGAUCCGAAACAAGAUCAUAAUCCCAAGCUCGUUGAUUAGGCACCAGUAAACUACUAACAGGAGCUGCAGCAAGCUCUGCAUGGAGAUUAGAAGAAACAAAUCCAUUAUUAGUAUCAGGAAGCCACGGAUCCUUACCAAUGAAGAUCGAAUUCCCACAGCCAACUUGCAGUCUACUCCCUUGAAUUACCACAUCCUUUGCAGCCAAAAUAAAGCGUCAUACAUAGCUAGGAUUAUGCCCCACAGAAGCUUGAAGAACAGAGGUGCGCGGAUGGUAGCGAGCUUUAAUUAUCUUGGCCACAAGAGAUUCCGGACAAGUUAACAGCUUCCACAUUUGCUUUCCUAACAUCGCUAGAUUGAAUAAAUGAAGUUGUUUAAAACCAAGGCCCCCAUAUCCUUUUGGUUUGCACAGAUUUUCCCAUUUGGACCAGUUUAUUCCUUUCCCUCCACUUCGAUUACUACGCCACCAGAAUGAGUUCAUCAGUCCUUCUAGUUCUCUACACAAAUCCUUUGGCAGUAAAUAUAUACCCAUAGCAUAAUUAGGCAUCGCAAGGGCUACCGUUUUUAACAAAAUCUCCUUCCCAGCCCGAGAAAGCAUCCGCGUACUCCAUCCCUGCAGGCGUUGCCAGAGCUUGUCCCUAAUAUACCUGAACACCUCUUUCUUGUUUCUGCCAAUAUAUGAUGGAAGACCAAGGUAGGCUCCAUGAUUAGAGGUCAUGGUAACCGCUAGAAUAUCACAAACCUGCUGAGUAACAGAUGCAAUCACAUUAGUGCUAAAAGAAAUUGAAGACUUGUUGAAAUUAACCUCUUGGCCAGAAGCUCGACCAUAAACCUCCAGCAGCUGCUUGAUUAAAGAAGCUUCAUUGUUAUUUGCCCUGAAAAAAAGGAAGCUAUCAUCGGCAAAAAACAAAUGCGAGACCGAUGGUGCCCCUCUCGCGAUCCGUACACCAUGAAGUAAGCCAUUCCUUUCUUGUCUUCGAAUUAAAGAACUGAGCCCUUCCGCGCAAAGAAUAAAUAGAUACGGAGAUAAUGGAUCUCCCUGUCGAAGGCCUCUACUCGGAACAAUCGGCCCAACUUCCUUUCCCUCCCGUAGCACAUGAUAUCUGACAGUAGAUACACAGAGCAUAAUUAACUCCACCCACUUGGCAUCAAACCCCAUCUUAAGCAUCAUUGCUUGAAGAAAAUUCCACUCAAUCCUGUCAUAUGCCUUAGACAUAUCAAUUUUCAGAGCAGCUACCCCAUUUUUGCCUUGUCUCUUCCGUUUCAAAAAAUGCAUAAUUUCAGCCGAAAUGAUUAUGUUAUCCGUGAUAGCUCGACCCGGGAUAAAAGCGCUUUGAGAGUCUAAAAUAACCACAUCAAGAACUGAUUUCAUGCGGUUAGCUAGCAUUUUGGAUAUUAUCUUAUACAACACAUUGCAUAACGCAAUUGGUCUCGUAUCUGAUAAUAAUUCAGGUUUGUGUUUCUUCGGUAUUAGCACAAUUGAAGUGUCAUUCAAGCCCACUAGGAAAGAGCAAUCAUGAAUAAAUUUUAAACAAGCCAAAAUCACAUCCUUACCCACAAUAUGCCAGAACUUUUGGUAGAAAGCAGGGUUCAUCCCGUCGGGUCCUGGAGACUUGUCCGGAUGCAUUUCAAAGAGUGCUUCUUUAACCUCAAUGUCAGUAAAAGGAGCUAAAAGCAUUGCAUUAUGCUCGUUUGUAAUUCUUUUAUCCACACACUGGGUAACUUCAGCAGUAUGACACCCUCCGGAGGUGAAAAGGCUCUGGAAAUAGUCCACAAUCAAAGUAUCCACCUCCUCUGGGUUGGAACACCAGUCUCCUUGAUUAUUGCGAAGAGACUCGAAGGAAUUCUGCCUUCUCCUGGCAGAGGCCGAGGCAUGGAAAUAGUGAGUGUUCCUGUCACCUUCCUUUAACCACAAAGACUUUGCUCUCUGUUUCCAAAAAACCUUAUGACUAUGCAAAAGCUCAUUAUAACGCUGUCUCGCUUCUGAAAAAGCAACCACACCCUCACUAUCUCGCCUACCCCGAAAAACAGCCAUACACUUCUUGCAUUCCCGAAUUCGCUGUCGAAAAUCUCAAGCAAAAUGCCCUCCCCACUCCAUAAGAGCAGACCCACACAGCAUAAUUCUAUGUUGAAUAGAAGCACCAGUAUAGGAGCUCCAGCUAUCCCGAAUAACAUCACUACAGUCAGCCUCACGCAACCAAGUAUUCUCAAAACGAAAACGGUUAUGCCUUAAAAUAGGCUGGGUCGGGCUAGGAUCCAACAAGAUAGGAAGAUGAUCAGAGCAAGAGGAGUCUAAGCUAUAGACUUUCACCUUGUUGAAUCGCUGAAUCCAUUCCUCAGAUGCAAAAGCUCGAUCAAGCCUUUCUUCAACCCAUUUAUCAGUGCCCCUAGCUCUCUCCCAUGUAAACUGAUACCCAUCGAUGCCAAGAUCAACUAAAUUGCAAUCGGUAAUAGCUCGCUGAAAACCCACCAGCUUCCAAUUUGGGUGCGCAAUACUACCUCUCUUCUCAUUUGCCGCCAGUAAAUCAUUAAAAUCACCUAUACACACCCAUGGGAGUGAAGAGGAAGAAGCAAGCAAACGGAGCAAGUCCCACGAUUUGCGGCGCCGGCUAGACUCAGGAUAGCCGUAAUAACCAGUUAAUCUCCAUUUUCCUAAAACGGGCACUUCAACUUCAGCAUCUAUAAAAUUGGUGGCAAACUGCAGCAGAUUAACAUUACUAGUAGCUUUCCAAAGAAGCGCGAGCCCACCACUCCGGCCAACUCUAUCAACAACAAACAGCCCAUCAUAGCCCAAUUGAAUUUUGAUCAUCUCUAACUUAUCUCUACUGCAUAGCGUUUCAAUAAGAAAAAUGAACGUAGGCUUCUUGUUACGGACCACCUCUGCCAACAUACGAACUGUCCGUGGCUGGCCCAACCCACGGCAGUUCCAACUUAAAGUACUCAUUGCUCUCGGUGGGCCUGAAGUACAGGUCCCACCGCUAGCCCGUUUUUUGGAUCUACCACCAUAGAACUCACAUCCACCUCUGUUUGUACUAUACCCUCCAGCCCCAUAUCCGCUCUUCUUCUUUUAGCUUCCUUUAACACUAACUCUUUCUCCCCAUACCUUACAGCUACUUGAGUAAGGUCCAGCCCAUUUGCAAAUGAAACCACGUCUUUGCCCUUACCAAGCCGUUGACUGCUAGUGGCCUGGACAACUGGCAAUGCUUGUAAGCUCAUUAUAUUAUCCAUAGAAUCCCGCCCAUCACUCCCUAUAUGGUUGGCAAAUUUCGUAUUGUUGGAAAUUCCUGAUUUGGAGGCAUUCAUCUCAUUAACCACGGUACCACUUAAGGAAGUUUUAAAAUUUCCUGAAUUAGCCAUACAUUCUUCUGACAGUUCCGAAUGUAACCACCUUUCACCGGAGGACAUGGCAUUCCGACGAGUUGGAGCCUUCAUCUCUGGCCUAUAUGACCUUGUAAUAUCAGCAGCAUCACAAUUAUACAACUUCGGACAAAGUUUUUCUGAGUGCCCAAGGAGUCCACAAAUGAAGCAGAAAGUAUUUAAUCGUUCAAACUUGAAAUCAACCCAGAACCAAUCUCCUCCCUCCUUCUUUAGUCGCAAUCUUCGCUUCAGGGGUUUCCGGACAUCAAUGGAUACCCUUAUGCGCAUAUAGUUUCUCCACACUCCCAUGAGAUUAUUAGGAUCUGAAGAUUGAAACUCACCAUUAUUGUUACCAAUAUUUAUCAAUACUUUCUCUGACAGAAACCCAAUGGGUAAGUUGUACACCUGGAUCCAAAACGAAGUAUGGAAUAAAGAAACCAUAUUCGGUUGUUCAUUCUCCCCCAAUCUCUUUAAAAUUAGAAUAUGUUGGUCGAAGGUCCACGGUCCCGAAUCAAUCACACGCUUGAGGUCAACUUCGUGAAAGAAUUGGAACAAGAAAAGAGAAGGUGAUAAAUCUUUGAUGCACACUCCCUUCCCUGGACGCCAUAAUGCCGCCAUAGUAUUUUUCAUGGCCGGAAAAUUGAUCACCUUAUCAGUUAAAAACCUCCCCACCAAGCAGAAUCUAAAAUCAGUCAACCCUGCAUUUCCAGUGGCAAUAUCCUCACUAUGAAAAACAAGACCAUCGUCAUCUUCCUCCCCAAUAGAAACCUUUUCAUAUGCAGCAUUCAUCUCAUGCUCCCCAAAAUUUCUACUGGUUGUCAUAGUACUCGUAAUAAGCAGGAAAUAUGGCUAUCUAGCCGGAAAUAUCCUAGAGCAAACUUGUCAGAAGGACAAGACAAACAAAGCUUGCCAAAGAGACAAGAGUAGCCUAAAAUUACGACUUGUGUUUGAGUAGGAGGAUAAUGUAAGAAAACUUGGCACUUUUAUUCAACUGAAGAAAUUUUACAAUUUAAAUUAGAAACGAUAAAAUUUAAUAAUUAACUAUUAUUUGAACUAAUUGAAUCGUGCGCCAUCAUUUGUGUAAUGUAUCCUAUUUGCAAAAUAAACGGCAGGAUGCGGUUUGCGGACAGAUUAUGGAAAGAAAAAGGCAUAUAUUUCUCUCCUAUUUUGGUAAUUCUAUAUUUCUAUUCUUCUUCUUUUUCAACCCCAAAUAAUCAAAAGCUCUCCAAUGGCUUUCGUAUCCACAAGGACCACAACUCGUCCAUUUCAUUUUACUUCAAUUUUAGUAUCAGCUCUUAGAUGUAAUUUCUCAUCUUCGUUCCCUCAUACCGGAAAACCCACAUCUUCAAUUUCGGAAAAUGAACCCUCGUAUCCGACCACAACAGCUAAACUGAAGGAGUCGCUACGACUGACGGUCAAAGACUGAGCCUCACUCGAAAAAUUCCUCAAAGAAAGGUGCAAAUCAUCAGGUCAAGGUGAUAUUAAUCUUAUUACUCCUAAUGAAGCCUUGUGUAUCUUUGAUUACAUGCUCCGUAUGCACCCUUCUCCGCCUCCUGUCUCUUCCUUCAAUAUUUUGUUUGGUUGUCUUGCUAAGAAUAAACAUUAUGAUACUGUCCUUUCACUCUUCAAGCGACUCAAUUCAACUGGGUUGUUUCCAGAUCUUUAUACUUACAAUAUCUUGAUUAACUGCUUUUGCAAAAUGGGUCGAGUUUCUCAUGGUUUUGUUGUUCUUGGGAGAAUCCUCAGGUCUUGUUUUACUCCAGAUGCUGUGACCUUUACUUCUUUGAUUAAAGGUUUGUGUGCGGAGAGUAGAAUCAUGGAGGCCGCCACAUUGUUUAUGAAACUUAAAGCGUUUGGUUGUGAGCCUAAUGUCAUUACAUACACCACUUUGAUUAAUGGAUUGUGUCGAACAGGCCAUACAAUUGUUGCUCUAAAUUUAUUUGAAGAGAUGGCUAAUGGAAAUGGGGAAUUUGCUGUUGUUUGUAAGCCAGACACUGCUACAUACAGUACUAUUAUCGAUGGUCUUUGUAAGGAAGGUUUUGUGGACAAGGCCAAGGAACUGUUUCUGCAGAUGAAGGAUAACAAUAUUAACCCUAACAUGGUUACCUAUACCUCUGUGAUUCGUGGUUUUUGUUAUGCUAAUGAUUGGAAUGAGACCAAGUGUUUGCUAAUUGAGAUGAUGGACCAAGGGGUACAGCCUAAUGUUGUGACUUUCAAUGUCAUCAUGGAUGAGCUCUGCAAGAAUGGAAAGAUGGAUGAGGCAAGUCGGUUGUUGGACCUGAUGAUUCAGUUUGGUGUGCGUCCAAAUGCUUUUGUCUAUAACACAUUAAUGGACGGGUUUUGCUUGACGGGUAGAGUUAAUCGUGCGAAGGAACUAUUUGUUUCUAUGGAGAGUAUGGGUUGCAAACAUACUGUUUUUAGUUAUAGUAUUUUGAUAAAUGGUUACUGCAAGAAUAAGGAAAUAGAGGGAGCGUUAACCCUUUAUAGCGAAAUGCUCUCUAAAGGAAUUAAGCCAGAUGUUGUUAUAUAUAACACCUUGUUUAUUGGCCUUUUUGAAAUACACCAGGUUGAGCGUGCUUUCAAGCUGUUUGAUGAGAUGCAAUGUGAUGGCGUGGCAGCUGAUACCUGGGCAUAUACAACCUUUAUUGAUGGGCUCUGCAAGAAUGGUUAUAUUGUAGAGGCAGUUGAACUAUUUCGUACUUUGAGAAUUCUCAAGUGUGAACUUGAUAUUCGAGCCUACAACUGCCUCAUUGAUGGAUUAUGUAAAUCCGGCAGACUCGAAAUUGCAUGGGAACUGUUUCUGAAGAUGAAGGAUGAGAAUAUUAACCCCAAUGUGGUUACUUAUACCUCUUUGAUUCACGGUUUUUGUUACGCUAAUGAUUGGAAUGAGGCGAAGUGUUUGUUUAUUGAGAUGAUGGACCAAGGGGUACAACCUAAUGUUGUGACUUUCAAUGUGAUCAUGGAUGAGCUCUGCAAGAAUGGAAAGAUGGAUAAAGCAAGUCGGUUGCUGGACCUGAUGAUUCAGAUUGGUGUGCGUCCAGAUGCUUCUGUCUAUAACACAUUAAUGGAUGGGUUUUGCUUGACGGGUAGAGUUAACCGUGCGAAGGAACUAUUUGUUUCUAUGGAGAGUAUGGGUUGCAAACAUAAUGUUUUUAGUUACAGUAUUUUGAUAAAUGGUUACUGCAAGAAUAAGGAAAUAGAGGAAGCGUUAAGCCUUUAUAGCGAAAUGCUCUCUAAAGGAAUUAAGCCAACAGUUGUUACAUAUAGCACCUUGUUUCUUGGACUUUUUGAAAUACACCAGGUUCAGCAUGCUUUAAAACUGUUUGAUGAGAUGCAGCGUAAUCAUGUGGCAGCUAAUACAUAUAUAUAAACUACCUUUAUUGACGGGCUCUGCAAGAAUGGUUUUGUUCUAGAGGCACUGGAAUUAUUCCGUGCUAUAAGAAAUAGCAAGUAUGAGCUUAAUAUCGUAUCCUACAACUGCCUCAUUGAUGGAUUGUGUAAAAUAGGCAAACUGGAAACUGCUUGGGAACUGUUUCAAAGUUUGCCUCGUGUAGGCCUAAUGGCAGAUGUUGUAACAUACAACAUCAUGAUCCAUGGGCUUUGUAAUGAUGGGCAAAUGGACAAGGCACAUGAUUUGUUUCUUGAUAUGGAAGCAAAAGGUGUGGAACCCGAUUGUGUCAUAUUUAAUAUGAUUAUGCUGGGUUUCAUCCGCAAUAAUGAGACAUCAAAAGUUAUUGAACUCCUUCACAGAAUGGAUAAGAGAAAUGUAAUGCCAGACGCAUCUAUACUUUCAAUUGUUGUGGACUUGCUUGUAAAGAAUGAAAUUAGCUUAAACUCGAUUCCACAAUUCAAGAGUCAAAGGUAAGUGAGUUUAAUACUGAUUUAGCCACAUGUUUCUUCUGCCUGAAAACCCAACCUGGAGGAUCCCAUUCUUAUUACAACAUGUAAAGGAGUGUUGUCUAAUAUAGGCAUGUUCCUAGGUUCUGUCCAUGGAUUCUGUUUGCAGACAUGGCUAACUUCUUGUUCAACAGAAAGUUUUAAAGUCUUUCAACUUUAUGUUGUAAAAUAACUUUUUUAUUAUUCAAUUCAUGAGUUUUUCUUCUAUAACACAUCCUUCUCAUUAGCUGGAAGUGCAAAUUUUUUAGGCUUUUCCUGUAUGGCCUCUUUCUCUGCUCUAAAUAAAAUGGCAUUUUAUUUCCCUCUUGUGAGGGUACAAGGUUUAUGUUUAAACUUUCUGUUAGUUAAAUUGGUUGUCUUUGAUAUAGGGAACUUCCAGUUGAACUGAUUUGUAAUUCGACUAUAUGAGAUUACCAACUGUAUUGGGAAUUGAUGCCAAAUUAAUAAUGUCAUCAGGUUUUUCAAUCAGUGUUCAUCAUUUAUUUCUGUUAACAAUUAAUAGCACAGUUUGUCUUCUCAGCUUCAUUGGUUCCUCUCAAAAAUGAUCUUGUAAAGACAAUCUUUCUUGGGCAUGGAAAAUGCUAGAUUGUUUGUGGUCUGAAUGAUACUACACAUCUAAGUAAUUGCCCAAAUUUUUUGUUCCUUGUUACACGGCAUUCAAUUGAAUGAGGACUCAUGUUUGUGUGUAUUGGUAUUUGUUAUACUAUGUAUUGGCAAGACAAAGUUUCUUGAAACUGACAAACUUUUCUCUAUGAAGAUUGAAGACAAUAUGAUAAGAUAAAAUUUAUCAAAAGCCUAUAUAUGCUUGCCAGGGCUGGACCUUUGAUUAUUAGUCCUCGCCUUUCGUUCUUGUUUCAUAUUCUUCUGCUAACAAAUCUUGAUCAUGAAUCUCAUCACAUUUGGUACGCGUAUCCAUGGUUUUAUCCGAACCAAUGAGCCAUCAAAAGUUAUUGACCUUCUUCACAAGAUGAGGGAGAAAAAAGUAAUGCCAGAUGCAUCUAUAGUUUCAAUCGUCGUGGACUUGUAAAGAAUGAAAUUAGUCUGAACUCACUUCCGUCAUUUCCUGUUCAAGAGCAACAGGGGGAGGUUGAUGAGUCAAAUGUCAAGUUGUAGCAGCAUGUGCUUUCAGCCUAAAAUCCUGAUCUGCAGCAUCUCAAUCAUGUUACAAAGUGACACGUCGCCUAGUGACAGCAAGUUCUCUACGGUGCUGUUAAUGGAUCCUGAUUGUUCUUGUGAUCUGGAGAGUCUCAUUCAUAUUACAGAUCCUGAUCAGGACGAGCUAGCUUAUGUGAUCACCAACUGUACAUGGUUGUUGAUGCCAAAUUAAAUUAUGGUAUCAUGUUUUUCAACUUGUUAUUUAAUAUAGUGCUUCCAUUGAACGGCCACAAGAAACUGUAGAAUCACCGUGUCUUGUUCCCUCUUAAUAAUCCAUCACUUUGGAAGCUAAUGAAUUAGUUGCACCUUGUCACUUUCUUGGUACUUGAUUGUCAUUCGUGCUUUGAAUUUACAGCAUAUUUUAUCCCUGCUUUACUCUUUGCAUAAUCACCUUUGAGGGCUGCUAGUAUGUAUAAUUGAAAAACCUUAUAUAAAUUGUAAGCAUUUUUAUUUAACUUGUUGUAAACGUCCAGUAUAUGUCUCUUCUGUGAAAUGAUUCAUUCUCCAUGCUGCGAGGACCUGGGCUUAUGACUCUUCUGUGAAAUGAUUUACCCUCACCUGCAGACAGACAUUUAUCACAUUCGAGAAAUCUUCAAACAAAGUGAAAAAAAUGCCACAAACACGACAUAAACUUAACUGUUUACAUGAAAAGUGGCAGCAACUUGGUGAAAUUACCGAUUAAAAUGUCCCUACUGUGAGGAAGGAUGCUAUACAACUGACUCGGAAAAUGUAAAAUGGGUAACGUACGUCCAAAAUGUCCCUGUAUUGUUGGCAUGUUCCCAGCUUCUGUUCAUGGAUUCUGUUUGCAGACAUGGCAGACUCUUUGUUUCAUCGGACAAGUUUCAAAUAAUUCUGGCAACUUUUUGUUGUAAAAUUACUUUUUUAUCAUUUAAUUCAUAUGCCUCUUUCUCAUUACCUGCAAGUGCAAAAUUUUUAGGCUCGUCCUCUUAGACCUCUUUUUCUUCUCUAAAUAGAUAAAAUGGCAUUUCAUUUUUCUCUUGCGAGGGUGCAGGUUUAUGCUGAAACUUUCUGUUAGUUAAAUUGAUUGUCUUUGAUAUUGGAACUUGUAGUUGAACUAGUUUACAUUUAGAAUAUAUGAGAUUACCAACUGUAACGGGAAUUGGUGCCGAAUUGAUUAUGUUAUCAGGUUUUUCAGUCUUUGUUCAUCUUUUAUUUCUGUUAAUAAUUAAUAGCACAGCUUGUCUUCUCUGCUUCUUUGGUUCCUGUCAAUUGUCAAAUAUAAACUGGUAAAGACAUUUUGUUUUGGCAUGGCACAUGCUAGAUUUUGUUUUUGGUUUGAAUGAUACUACAAAUCUGAGUAAUUGUCCAGAUUUUUUUCAUUCCUAGUGACAUGGCACUCAAUUGAAUGGUGACCCGUGAAUCAUGAUUGUGUGUGUUGGUAUUUGUUAAACUACGUGCUGGCAAGACAAAGUUUGUUAUUAGUCCUCGCCUUCCAUUCUUGUUUCAUAUUCUUCUGCUAACAAAUCUUGAUCAUGGUAGUCUUCUCUUUUCUUUGCAACCCACAUAUAAAGUCUCGGCCAUAAGCCUCGAGGCCUAUUCUCUUUUGCAAUGGUGAGUUCACUCUCAGGAAUCAGAUCGAAUUUGAAGAAACUGCAAGGGACUACAAAGCAAAUGGUGUGAAGCUCCUUUCACUCAUCACUGGCACAGCAUUACUCUGACUUUCUACAUUUUACUGUUGCGUAUGGUUUCUCCAUACCAUUCUCGUUGGAAGUUCAAUCAUUACUGUUUUUUUCCCCCCUCUUUUUACUUGCUCUUGCUAUUUUUGUUGUCUGAAAUUAUCUGAAGUUCCAUGCAUGCUCCAAUAGAACAAGAAAUGUAGGUGCUGACCAACUCAAAAUAAGUAGUUAGUUGCCUAGUAGUUGCUUUGCAUGAAAUUUGUUUUUGGUAUGAAUAAUGUUGUCUGAAUUUUACAAGCUUCCAUGCAACCCCUAAUUUAUUGGAUGUCUUAACCCAACCCCUCAUUUAAUAUUAGAUUUACCCGUUGAUUGAUGUUGACUCUUGAAAGUAAUGUAAUAUUUAUUUAUUUGAUAUUAAUGAUUAUAUCAUUUAAAUAGUCUAUUCUAAGAUAUUAUUAAUUUUCUCAUUUAAAUAAAAUAUUAUUAUAUUUAUUUGAUAUUAAUGAUUAAUUAUAAUAAAUAGUCUAUUCUAAGAAAAUAUUAAUUUUCUAUUAUGUUAUUAAUAAUAAUGUUUCAUUUCUAUUACUUUCAUCAAUAAUUUUUAAUUAAGAUAACUAAAAUUAAAACUAACAAAAAAUUAUGAUUUACAUAAUUAAUAAUAUUAAUAAUUAUUGUUAAUUUACAAAUAUAAUGAAAUAAAUAUUUCUUUUUCAAAUAUAUUUUUUAUUAAAUUUUUAAUUAAAAACUAUAUUUUUUAAAUAAGGAUAAAAUUAUAAUUUGAAACUAUUUACUCCCGCUCCGAGACAAAGUAAACACGUAAAUUGAAUUUUAAUUCCAAUUCCAUACUCCUAUUCCAGUGUAAGUAAAUAAUCUACUCUCACUCCACACUCUCAAUAUCAGGAUUCUUACUUCUUAGGAUUACCUCUCUAUUCCAAAAUAUAAACGCUAACAAAAUAUAAACCAUAUAGAGACACAUAUAUAUAGAAUCAUAUCAUAUCUCAAACGUCAAAUAAAAUUCUUAAUUAAGUAAACCAUAAGGUGAUUGCGUAUAAAAAAAUUAAUAAUAUUAAUUUUCAUAAGAAUUUAUGCUUGCAGUAUUACUUUACUUUUUAUUAACCAUUGCUUCAACUUAUGGUGGAUAUUAAGAGAACAAUAAUAAUAGAGCUAUACACGUUUGCAUACUACCAAUUAAAUUAACACUAUAAUUUGGUUUACCAAACAGAUCCUUAAUAUCAUAAAUGAUUAAAUUAUUGGGGUUUUAAAAUGUAGACUUUGCAUGAUUUCUUUAUAUUUAGGUGCCAUGGCUCCUAUAAGUAAUGUCAGCCACACUUUUUGUUAUUGGUAAAAAACUUUUCUAGGUACAAUUUGUGAAUUUGUACAACGUGUGGUAUUAAACAUUUGAAGAAUGAACCGACAAUGUCGUAUCAAUAAUAAAGAAAAGAAAACGAAUUGUAUAAUACCCAGGUGUUCUAGUGUAACUUGGAUUCUUUUUCUUUAUAGGUGCACCUAUUAUGUGAUUUUUUUUUUUUUAAAAAAGAAAACAAAAAAAAAGAACUCUUGAGAUUUUAAAAUUUUGUAAUUGCACUAUCUUGAAAUUACCAGGAGACUUCCUCUCCUUGAAGACACCCUUAAUCCAUAAAAGGUCCAAAAAAUAAUUCAUGAAAUGAAUUGAUUAUUUUAGAUAAGUUUCAAGUAUGCAUACCUUUUAUAACUCCAUAUUGCAUAACUCCUCAUUUCACUCAAUGGAUGCAUUUGUUCACUUUUUCUUUCUUGUAAAUUUUUGAAUGGCCGUAAUUUUAUAGAUUAUUAAUUAAGUGUUAUUAUUAUCAUUAUUGGCCGUAGAUGCAUAUGUGGGGUGGCGCCGUUUGGGGGGCAUGGAUCUCAAUACACCAGAGGGCCAGAAUAUUUAUUCUUUAAGAGGAACCACAACCAACAGCAAUACUUUAAGUUCCAUUCCAUUUCACUUCUAUGCACUAGAUUGCAUAAACAACAUUGAUCAUCCAAGGUCAAAGCCUCUCAAAGACGUUAGUUGCAAGAAAACGCAUGGGAUUGUGGUCAAAAUUUUCUUGCGGUGAAAGGUUCAUACAUUGAUGACAAUUAUUGGAUUGUUUUGGGCCUCAAUGGUUUUAAUAUUAUUCUCUUAAAAACAUAUAUGUUGAUUACAGACGAGAGGAAGAAGAUGAUCUGAUUCAGCCAACUGCAGAAGAUAGAGCACGCGGUGGAGUUCAUAUUUUGAAUUCUCUUGUUAAGUUGUUUUUAAUUUAUUGCAAGGUAGAAUACGUUGCUUUCUUAAAAAAUACUUUGAACAUCAUAUUUUUGUAUUACAAAUAUACCAAAAUUAAACUAAUUUUUUUUCUUUAUUAGUAUAAACUAAAUUUUGCCAGAAUGGUUGUCCUUGUAGGUGGAAUUCUAUUAUGAAACUAAUAGUCCUUCCUAGUGCUAACUAUCACUUUGAACAAAUGUGUCAUCUCUAACAACAACUUCCAAACUUGCAGCUACCUGCUACUCAGCAUUAGAAGCGAUAUCCACCUUGGCUUUCAACCAGCUGUAAUUAGGAGGAUGGUACCAUUGUUUCUGUUUGUCAAUUUCCUUCCUUGAAGCAUAAACCUUAAUUAGGAGGAGGGCAAGCUUCCAAAUAACAUUCCAAAUAGUAUUGUGAAAAUUUUUCACCCUUUUGGUCAUAAAAAAGAACCUUAUUUCUAGUUCUCUAUUAACAAUUUUAUCACUUUAAGUUCUCUCUUUACUAGAAAUAUCAUAUAUAUUAUUUUGUUGUUAAUAUAAAUACGACUAAAUAUUUAUGAUUUAAAGAUAGUUGUUGAAUGGAGGCCGUCACACACACACACACACACACACACAAAAGUAUUUAAAAGCAAUGGUGAUAUCAUAAUUUUUUGUACUGAUAUGAGAAUAUUACACUAGAUUUUUUUUAUGCAUUACAAAAAGUUUGAAUUCAAGAAUAAAUAAGCAAUAUCGGGAGCAAAUUUUACAAAAAGUCUCCAGGACAUGUCAUACGAAAAAUAGUAUACUAGUCAGUAGAUCUUCUUUCUACAUUACAAAAAAUUAGAAAUGCGAUCUAAAUCGAUAUCAAUUACUAAUUUUAUAGUGAAUGGGUCCUUCAUGAAAACAAUGAAUAUUUUUAUAAUUUAAGAAAUUAUUAGCCAUUUACCAUGAGUUUACUUUGUGUCCAAAAAUACUACGGAAACUUUAACUUGUUUAGUUUUUUUACCUUAAUUUAUAAUUUAUAUUAGUCGCUCAUUAAAAAAAUAGAAUUGCCUCAUAAAAUGAUAAAAUAAAAACAAACACAAAUGACAAUACUAGUUGCUUUAUAAGGAUAAUCCAGUCCUUUCGGCACCAAAUUACUGGUUAAAUUAUUUUUAGACUGAGUGACGAAGGGUCAUUUUAAUAUUCAUGGCCAUUUAAUCUAUCUAAACAUGAUAUUUCGAGUAGACUUAUGUUUGCGUAGGAGGCUAAUGUAAAAAAAGUGGCACUUUUAUUCAACUGAAUAAAUUUCACAAUUUAAAUUAGAAAACGAUAAAAUUUCAUAAUUAACUAUUAUUUGAACUAAUUGAAUCGGGAGCCAUCAUUUGUAGCGGCCCCAAAAGCAUAACAUUAUUGUGAGUAAUGUAUCCUACUUGCAAAAUAAACGGCAGAAGGCGGUUUGGGGACGGAUUAUCGAGGUAUUUGUUAAUAUUCGGAAAUGGAAAGAAAAGGGCAAAUAAAAUUUUAACUUAUUAUUAUUAUUAAAGAUUAGACAAAUAAAGGAGCUGUUUGAGUUUAAAUCUCAAAUCAAACCGUACCCAUCGCAAGUAAUGCAUGUGCACAUAAAAUUAUAUUUUGGUAAUUCUUUUCUUCUUUUUUAACCCCAAAUAAUCAAAAGCUCUCCAAUGGCAUUCGUAUCCACAACUCGUUCCUUUCAUUUUACUUCAAUUUCAAUAUCAGCUCUUAGAUGUAAUUUCUCAUCUUCGUUCCCUCAUAUCGGAAAACCCACAUCUUCAAUUUCGGAAAAUAAGCCCUCGUAUCCGACCACAACAGCUAAACUGAAGGAGUCGCUACGACUGACAGUCAAAGACCGAGCCUCACUCGAAAGAUUCCUCAAAGAAAGGUGCAAAUCAUCAGGUCAAGGUGAUAUUAAUCUUAUUACUCCUAAUGAAGCCUUUUGUAUCUUUGAUUACAUGCUCCGUAUGCACCCUUCUCCGCCUCAUGUCUAUUCCUUCAAUAUUUUGUUUGGUUGUCUUACUAAGAAUAAACAUUAUGAUACUGUCCUUUCACUCUUCAAGCGAUUCAAUUCAACUGGGUUGUUUCCAAAUCUUUAUAUUUACAAUAUCUUGAUUAACUGCUUUUGCAAAAUGGGUCGAGUUUCUCAUGGUUUUGUUGUUCUUGGGAGGAUCCUCAGGUCUUGUUUUACUCCAGAUGCUGUGACCUUUAAUUCUUUGAUUAAAGGUUUGUGUGCGGAGAGUAGAAUCAUGGAGGCUGCCGCAUUGUUUACGAAACUUAGAGUGUUUGGUUGUGAGCCUAAUGUUUUUACAUACAAUACUUUGAUUAAUGGAUUGUGUCGAACUGGCCAUACAAUUGUUGCUCUAAAUUUAUUUGAAGAGAUGGCUAAUGGAAAUGGGGAAUUUGGUGUUGUUUGUGAGCCAAAUACUGUUACAUACACUACUAUUAUUGUAAGGAAGGUUUUGUGGACAAGGCCAAGGAACUGUUUCUGCAGAUGAAGGAUAACAAUAUUAACCCUAACGUGGUUACCUAUACCUCUGUGAUUCGUGGUUUUUGUUAUGCUAAUGAUUGGAAUGAGACCAAGUGUUUGCUAAUUGAGAUGAUGGACCAAGGGGUACAGCCUAAUGUUGUGACUUUCAAUGUCAUCAUGGAUGAGCUCUGCAAGAAUGGAAAGAUGGAUGAGGCAAGUUGGUUGUUGGACCUGAUGAUUCAGUUUGGUGUGCGUCCAAAUGCUUUUGUCUAUAACACAUUAAUGGACGGGUUUUGCUUGACAGGUAGAGUUAAUCGUGCGAAGGAACUAUUUGUUUCUAUGGAGAGUUUGGGUUGCAAACAUACUGUUUUUAGUUACAGUAUUUUGAUAAAUGGUUACUGCAAGAAUAAGGAAAUAGAGGGAGUGUUAACCCUUUAUAGCGAAAUGCUCUCUAAAGGAAUUAAGCCAGAUGUUGUUAUAUAUAACACCUUGUUUAUUGGCCUUUUUGAAAUACACCAGGUUGAGCGUGCUUUCAAGCUGUUUGAUGAGAUGCAAUGUGAUGGCGUGGCAGCUGAUACCUGGGCAUAUACAACCUUUAUUGAUGGGCUCUGCAAGAAUGGUUAUAUUGUAGAGGCAGUUGAACUAUUUCGUACUUUGAGAAUUCUCAAGUGUGAACUUGAUAUUCGAGCCUACAACUGCCUCAUUGAUGGAUUAUGUAAAUCCGGCAGACUCGAAAUUGCAUGGGAACUAUUUUGUGGUUUGCCUCGUGUAGGCCUAAUGGCAGAUGUUGUAACAUAUAACAUCAUGAUCCAUGGGCUUUGUAAUGAUGGGCAAAUGGACAAGGCACAUGGUUUAUUUCUUGAUAUGGAAGCAAAGGGUUUGGAACCCAAUUUUGUCAUAUUUAAUACGCUUAUGCUGGGUUUCAUCCCCUGUAAUGAGACAUCAAAAGUUAUUGAACUCCUUCACAGAAUGGAUAAGAGAAAUGUAAUGCCAGACGCAUCUAUACUCUCAAUUGUUGUGGACUUGCUUGUUAAGAAUGAAAUUAGUUUAAACUCGAUUCCACAAUUCUAGAGACACAAGUAAGUCAAUGAGCUGAAUGCUGAUUUACUUGCAUGUUUUUUCUGCCUAAAAUCUGGAUCUGGAGAAUCCCAUUCUUAUUACAACACGUGAAGUAUUGUUGCGUAGUGAUGGCAUGUCCCAGGUUCUGUUCAUAGAUUCUGUUUGCAGAUAUGGAUGACUCAUCAGUUAAGUUUCAAAGUCUGGCAACUUUUUGUUGUAAAAUUACUUUUUAUUAUUCAGGUCAUAUGUUUUCCUUCUAUAAUGCAUCUUUUUCAUUAGCUGGAAGUGCAAAGUUUUUAUGCUCUUUCUGUAUGACCACUUUUUCUUCUCUAAAUAGAUAAAAUGGCAUUUAGUUUUUCGUUUGUGAGGCUACUAGGUUUAUGUUCAAACUUUCUGUUAGUUAAAUUGAUUGUCUUUGAUAUCUAGCACUUCUAGUUGUACUAAUUUGUACUUCUGAGUAUAUGGGAUUGCCGACUGUAAUGGGAAUUGAUGCCAAAUUAAUUAUGCAUCAAGUUUUUCAGCGUGUUCAUCUUUUAUUUCUGUUAACAUUUUGGCUUUGGACAUGCUGGAUUGUUUUUGGUUUCAGUGAUACAAAACAUCUAACUAAUUGUCCAAAGUUCUUCAUUCCUUGUGACAUAGCAUUCAGUUGAAUGGUGACUCAUGAAUCAUGAUUGUGUGUUUUGGUAUUUGUAUACUAUGUAUUGGCAAGACAAAGUUUGUUGAAACUGAGAAACUUUUCUCCGCCUUCCAUUCUUGUUUCAUAUUCUUAUGCUAACAAACCUUGAUCAUGAUGAGUCUCCUCUUUUCUUUACAACCCACAUAUAAAGUCUUGGCCAUAAGCCUCAAGGCCUAUUGGCUAUUACAGCAGUGAGUUCACUCUCAGGAAUCAGAUCUUUCAAAUUCGAGGAAAUUUGAAAAAAUUGCAAAUGUCUACAAAGCAAAUGGUCUAAAGGUCCUUUUUGUUAUCACUCACACAACAUUACUCAAGAGUAUCUACGUUUUACUGUUGGUUCUGUUGUGAAACAGCAUUUCUGAUUAUUAUAGAAGACAAUUCUUCGAAGCAUGUAUUUGAGAUGCGUUUAGAGCCUUUGGAAUUAAAUGAUUAAUUCGCUUUAAUUUCCAGCCAUAGUUCUAUGCAGGCCAGUUAAUCCCCUUUUUUGUUACCCCCCUCUUUUUCCUUUUUGCUAUGGAUUGUGUUUCCUUGUUUUUCUACUUUUACUUGCGUUGACAACUUGAGCUUGCUGUCCUGUGGUUUUAGAACCUUCCUAAGUAUCUUCUCAAAAAAAAAAAAGAACCUUCCUAAGUAAGCGUGGAAAUGACAAUGAAGAAUUGAAGAUGGUGAAGGGUUUACUAGUCAUUUUCUUUUUUAAAGCAAUGCGUUUUAUGCGGCAAUCUUAUUGAUCUACGUUGGGAAAAAAUUUGACUGAUUUUGAAGGUCCUUAAAGAUCGUCCAUCUUGGUUCUGGCAUUGUUACAGCCUUGAAGUUUGCAAAACGUUUCCUGCUGGAUAAAUUGAACUUGUACACACACAUGUGAACCAAAAGAAAAAUGAUAUAUGUAUCGAAACACUUUUAAAUAGAGAAAAGUUUGUCUGGAUAGCCUGGUUUUGAAUUGAUUUUAACAGAAAACGAGCUUCAAGCAUGUGCUCCAACUACUCUGGCAUGACAUUGGCGAUUGCCCUACAUUUUUUUUAACUACUUUUGGUAAUCUUUUUUGGUUUAUGCUUUGCAGUAAUAAAAUGUUAAUCCUUUCUUCUCAUGAAUGUUUUCUUGAACUGAAAUGUUAAUCAUUUCUUCACGUUGAAGCAUAAAACUACUAUAGGCCCAGGGCCGCAAUAUAUGGAAGAAAAUGCUUGUUUAGUAGGACCCUUUAAUUAGGAUAUUAGCCACUCAAUUUGGAGAUCUUAUGGACCAACAAUCUAUCUGAAACGUCACAUUCACAUGUUUGAUUGAAAGGGGAAUUAAGGAAUUUCAAGUGGCUUAGAAAGGUAACCGACUCUACCCAACAAUGGUAGAAGUCAAUAAUUCAUUGGCUACAUGAGUACUUUAUGAUAAAGAAACAAUACCAGCCAACAUCGACGUGCAGCAAGAACAUGAAAGAAAGAAGAUCACAUGAAUCAAUCAAAACCAAAUGAUAAAAUUACCGAUGCCCCUUCAUGUCAUUCAAGAAAAUGGAUAAAAUAGGAAUACAAGUUCAUGUUAGGAUUAUAUAUUAAAAAUAAAAAUAAGCAUGCAUCAUUAUAUAUAUGUGUAAGUAGACAAAGCAUUGAUCUCUAGGGAUUAGCUAGCCUUUAACAAUCAGUGGUGUUCCCACUACCGGGGUGACAGAUUGUGUAUUUGUCUCUGAAUCUGGGGCAUAUCUAAAAAGCUAAAAGAUUUACUUUCUAUCUUCAAGCACAAGAGCAUACCAUUAUGAUCUGAUUAUCAAGUCCACUAACUUGGCUUUUUUUUUUUUAAUCUAUAUACCAUUUUGUGCUAUCCAUCCACAUUGACAAGACAUAUUGCACAGUUUAUCCUGAAAAUCAUCCAACACCAAGUUCCAAUAUCUUGGAGGAUAAUCACCUUCUUUUACCUAUAUACUUAGCUUUAAAGAAAAUUAUGUUAUUUCAUUAGAGUUAUUUUCAUGAUUAGCAUUACCAUUUCAAGUCAAAUGUAACUCAAUAAUCUAUAAUAGUAUAUCGGUUCCUUGUUUAUCAAUUCUCUCUCUCCAUUUCAGGUUUCAUUCGGACCAAGUAUUCCCUUUCUCAUGUGUACGAGAUGUCAAGCUUGGCAAGUUAAAAAGAAAAUGAAUAGUCAUUUUCAAUCAGUCUAGAACUUUCUCUAGGGGCAACUGGACCCCCAACUUCUCAAUCUAUUUUGUGUUUGGUGUGUGUAGAACUUUCUUGGCAUGUUUUAUCAGCCCUUCCUCUGGGUCAUUUUGUAGGACGGGUUACACCAGCUAAACACAUGGGAAGGUCAUGUAGACUGGAUGAAUAAAGCUGCCCUGAGAGACCGUCAUGGCGGCAUGCUUUGCUGCUUGUUUUGUCUUGGGUCGGUCUAUUUUUCCCAUUACUAAAGCACAUUUUUCACCGUUUUCUCACAUGCUUACCAUAAUGUAAAAACCUUAGCUGCUGCGACAUGACAUGAGAGUAUCACACUAGAUUUUCUUUCCGCAUUACAAAAAAUUAGAAAUAAGAUCUAAGUAGAGAUCAAUUUCAAGAAUAAAUAAGCAAUAAUAGGAACAAGUUUUACAAAAAGUUUCUGGGACAUGUCAUACAAAUUUGUUAACUAAGAAAGUCUAUACUAGAUCUUCUUUCCACAUUACAAUAAAUUAGAAAUGAGAUCCAAACUGACCAAUUAUUAAUUUUACUGCAAGUGGGUCCUAUAUGAAAACAAGAAUUUUUUUUUUUUUAUAGUGUAGGCAAUUAUCAGCCAUCCACCCUAAGUUUAUUUUAUAUUAAAAAAUAUUAGGAAGCUUUAAUUUGUUUAAUUUUUUUACUCUAAUUUUAUAAUUUGUUUUAGUUGUCUACUAAAAAGAUAGAAUUAUCCUUACUAAAUAACAAAAUAGAAACAAAUAAAAAAUGAAAAUUGUGGUCAUUUUUUAAGGAUAAUUCUAUCUUUUUGGCAUCGAAUUGCAUAAUAAACUAUUUUAUCAAAUAAAUAAAAUUUUAAACUAUGUGUUUACCAAAUAUUUUAAAAUCACAACUCCUCUACUACAUUUUCAAACAACUUGUUAAAAUCAUAAAUAACUAAAUUAAUGGGGUUUUAAAAGGACUCUCCAGACUUUGCAUGAUUUCUUUAUCUGUAGGUGCCGUGUGAUCAUGUUGGUUCCGAUAUGUGUGUGAUCAUGUUGGUUCCGAUAUGUGCCAUCAACCACACUUUUUGCUGUUGGUAAAAAAAAUGAAAAAAAAAUUCUGGGUACAAUUUUUGAAUUUGUAUUACGUGCGGUAUUAAACAUUUGAAACAUGUACUGACAGAAAUCUUAUCUAUAACUAAAAAAAUAAAAAAAUUGUAUAAAGUACUUAUGUUGUAGUGUAACUCAGAUCCUUUUCUUUAUAAUUCCAUAUCAUGUAAUUAUCAAAAAACCUCUUAAGAUUUUUAAAUUUUGUAAUUGCACUAUCCUUCGAUUAUCAAAAGACUCUUGAUAAUGUUCUUCUUCUUAAAGAUGCCCUUAAUCCAUAAAUGGUCCAAUAAUUAGUUCAUAAAAUGAAUUGAUUGCUUUAGAUAAGUCUCAAGCAUGCGUGCCUCUUAUAACUCCAUAUUGCAUAAAUCCUUACUUAAAUCAAUGGAUGCAUUUGUUUUCUUUUCUGAAUUUUAGAAUGGCAUUGUCUACUUAAUUUCCUCUUUAAAUUCGACUCCCAAUUGGGAAUUUCGCCAAAUUUUCCAUGUCAUCUUACACUCUAAAAUAUGCUCUUCACAUUACUAUAGCAAAUUUAACAUCUAGGAUCUUGAAGCAUUUUAUUUUAUUUUAUAAAUAUUUAGCAGUUCAAAAUAGGCUUUUAGCUUCUCUCCAAGAGAAAAUUUUCAUCUAAAUUUUUUUUUAAUAAGGCAAGCUUCCAAAUAAUAAUAAAAAAGCACCUUAUUUCCAGUUCUCCCUUAGAAGUCCUAUCACUUUAGGUUCUCUCUUUAUUAAGUAGAACCUCAUAUAUGUUAAUUUGUUAUUAAUAUAAACAAAAACUAAGUAAUUGUUUGUUUUUUUGACUUAAUGAAAAAUUUUCAGUCAUUAAAUUAUCAUCCCAACUUUUUUUAUCUUUUUACUUAAUCUAAAAAGUAUGAAUAAUAUCAUUAAAAAAUUUCUGCCAAAUAUCUCUACCUAAUUAAUUAAUUUUCAUCGUUAUCCAAAUAAAAUUUAAUAAGUAGCAUUAUUACUCAUCUUUAUAACUUAUGAUAAUAUAGUGGUAGACAAUAACUAUUUUUACCAUUUUAUUUUCUUGAAAUUAGCAUUAUUUAUCUUCAUAAUUUUUAUGAAUAUUUUUCAUAUAAAAACAUCAUAAAUUAUAAUAAAAUUGAUUGACAUACACUAAUUUAGAAUAUUAAAAGGUUGUAUUCAAUUGAAUCUAAUUUAUAUUAUGAUGAUAUAUUAUCUUAUAUGUUCUUUGAAAUAUUUAUUAUUUAUAUAAUAUUUAUAAUUUGUUAGAUACAAAUGUAAAAAUAUUAAUUUUUAGAUUUUAAGCAAAAAAUAAACAACUUAAUAUUUAUUUUUAGCGAUUCAGAUAAAAAGAUAAACAUAUAAUUUAAAUUCAGACAUUUAGUUUUAUUCAGAAUUCGGACUAAUUCACACAUAUUUAGAUUUUAGACAAGAAACAUACACCAACUAAAUGUUUAUGACUUAAAAUCAUCUAAUAAUCAUGGCCCAUUUAACCUAUCUAAACAUGAAAUUUUGUGUAGACUUAUGUUUAAGCAGGAGGAUAAUGUGAGAAAUUUGACACAUUAAUUUACAAUUUGCAAACCAACUUAAUAAUUUUUGUUAUUUUCUUAUAACAAAACGAGCCUGGCACGAGCUUAGGCUUUAGCCACCUGAAAAAAUUUCCCCAUUCAAAUUAGAAACAAUAAAAUCUGAUAAUUAACAAUUAUUAUGACCCAAUCAAAUUAGGCUUUAGCACGGUUUACGGACUGGUUAUCAAGAUAUUGUUGAUAACUUCUGUUUCCGUAAUUCUAUUCUUCUUCUUUUUCAACCCCAAAUAACUUCUGUCGAUCAUUGUUGUUGCAGUUGCUGCUUGCUGUCGCUGCUACUAUCUAUCGAUCAUCGUUAUUGCCUACUGCUAUUGAUUGCCGGUUAUAAUGAUGAUUAUUCUUGCCUCAGUUGUUGUUAUUAUUAUUAGCACUGAAUUAUAUAUUAUUAAAUUAUUUUAAAUAUUACAAAUUAUAUUGUUGUUGUAGUUAUUGUUGAUGUUAUUAUUACUAGCACCGAAUUACAUAUUAUUAAAUUAUUUUAAAUAUUACAAAUUAAAUUAUUUUUAAAUGAGUGAUAAAACCUGAUCAUUUAAUAACCAUGGCCAUUUAACAUAUUUAAACAUAAAAUUUCGUGUUAAAUUAUGUUUGAGUAUAAGGAUAAUGUAAGAUAAUUGGUACUUUAAUUUACAUUUAUGUGCCAACUGAAUAAAGUUCGCUAUUUAAAUUAAAUUAGAAACGGUGAAAUUCAAAAAUUAACUAUUAUUUAGCCAUUCAAACGCAGAGACAAUUUGUCACGGUUCCAAAAGCAUAGCAUCAUUGAAAGUACCGUAUCCCACUUGCAUUAAUAUUCGGAAGAAUGGAAGGAAAAGGGCAUAUGUUUCUCUUCUUCUAUUUUUGGUAAUUCUUUUCUUCUUCUUCAACCCCAAAUAAUCAAAAGCUCUCCAAUGGCUUUCGUAUCCUCAACUCGUUCCUUUCAUUUUACUUCAAUUUCAAUAUCGGCUCUUAGAUGUAAUUUCUCCUCUUCGUUCCCUCAUAUCAGAAAACCCAAAUCUCACCUGCACACAGGCAUUUGUCGCUUUCGAGCAAUCUUCAAACAAUGUGAAAAAAAUGCUUGAAACACGACACAGACUUAACUGUUUACAUGAAAAGCGGCAGAAACUUAUGAAAUUACCGAUUAAAAAGUACCUACUGUGAGGAAGAUGCUAUAAAACUCAAUCGGAAAAUGUAAAAUGGUUAACAGACAUCCACCAGAAGCACAAUUCAGAACAUGGGCUGCUUUUGGCUGCCCGGCUUUCAGAAGUCAAUAUUUAGAUGAACUUUGGGGAGAUUAGGAUCACCAGUCAGUCAGAUUUAGAUAGAAAGUGAGAGAUUGCUAUUGCCGAGUCAUUGCUUCUAUCCUAAAUGCUUUGAUCUACCUGAAAAGUAUAUAAAUAUCGGGGUUAAAACAGAGCAGUUGAAAUCGUAUUGAUGAACUCAACUGAGAUAAAUGAUAAAAGAAAACUAACCUACAUUCUGUACAAAACUCGCCCAUCUUCCUUUAAGAGCUGACUUCCCAAGAAGAGAUCACCACAAUAGUUCACAUCAACAGUCUCCACUUGAGAGUUUUUAUAACCACAAUAUUCAUUCCAUUCAAACCGCAUCCUUGAGAUCAGUUCCUUCUUCAGGAGACUCGGCAGCAACCAAUCUAUAUGCAUAAACUUUCUUUGUUUGGCCUGGCCGGAAAGCCCAGCCGAUUGCUUGGCGGGUUUCUGAUGGAGUACAGGGAACAUCCAGAAUAAUGAUCCAAAUUUUUGUGGACUUACAUGUAAAGAAUGAAAUUGGUUAAACUCGAUUCCACAAUUCAAGAGUAAAUGAGUUUAAUCUUGAUUUAGUAUCAUGUCUUUUCUGCUUUAAAACCAGAUCUGGGGAAUCCCAUUCUUCUUACGACAGGUGAAGGAGUGUUUGUGUAUUGCUGGCAUGUUCCCAGGUUCUAUUCACGGAUUCUGUUUGCAGACAUGGCUAACUCCUCGUUUCAGAUAAGUUUCAAAGUCUGGCAACUUUUUUUUUCAAUUCAUGGGUUUUCCUUCUAUGAUGCAUCUUUCUCAUUAGCUGUAGUUUCAAAUUGUUUAGGUUCUUCCUGUAUGACCUCUUUUCUUCUCCAAAUAGAUAAAAUUUGUUUUUCAUUUUUCUCCUGCGAGGGUACAGGUUUAUGUUGAAACUUUCUCUUAGUUAAAUUGAUUGUCAUUUGAUAUUGGAACUUCUAGUUGAACUAGUUUGCACUUCGAAUAUAUGAGAUUACCAACUCUAAGGAAUUGGUGCCAAAUUGAUUAUGUUAUCAGGUUUUUCAGUCUGUGUAAUUGUCCAGAUUUUUUUUCAUUCCUAGUGACAUGGCAUUCACUUGAAUGGUGACUCAUGAAUCAUGAUUGUGUGUGUUGGUCUUUGUUAUACUACGUGUUGGCAAGACAAAGUCUGUUGAAACUGACAAACUUUUCUCUAUGAAUAUUGAAGACAAUAUGAUAAGAUAAAAUUAAUCAAAAACAUCUAUACUUGACCGGGCUGGAACGUCUGUUAUUAGUCCUCGCCUUCCAUUCUUGUUUCAUAUUCUUCUGCUAACAAAUCUUGAUCAUGAUAGUCUUCUCUUUUCUUUGCAACCCACAUAUAAAGUCUCGGCCAUAAGCCUCGAGGCCUAUUCUCUUUUGCAAUGGUGAGUUCACUCUCAGGAAUCAGAUCGAAUUUGAAGAAACUGCAAGGGACUACAAAGCAAAUGGUGUGAAGCUCCUUGCACUUAUCACUGGCACAACAUUACUCUGACUUUCUGCAUUUUACUGUUGGCUAUGGUUUGAUGCAUUAUUUAUUGUUCUAAAAUACCAUUCUCGUUGGAAGUUCAAUCAUUACUUCACCCCCCCCCCCUCCUCCUCUUUUUACUUGCUCUUGCUAUUUUUGUUGUCUGAAAUUAUCUGAAGUUCCAUGCAUGCUCCAAUAGAACGAGUAAUGUAGGUGCUGACCAACUCCAAAUAAGUAGUUAGUUGCCUAGUAGUUGCUUUGCAUGAAAUUUGUUUUUGGUAUGAAUAAUGUUGUCUUAAUUUUACAAGCUUCCGAGCAACCCCUAAUUUAUUGGAAGUAUUAACCCAAUCCCUCAUUUAAUAUUAGAUUUAUCCGCUCAUUGAUGCAGACUCUUGAAAGUAAUAUAAUAUUAUAUAAAUAUAAUGAAAUCUCACUUUAUUAACAAAUAUAAUUUAAAUUAUAAAAAAUAAAAAAUAACUAAAGUUGAAAUCCAAGGAGCAACUUCUAUCCUCUUACCAAGUUAUUAAAUAUAGAGCAGACAAAGGCAUAUGUAUAAAGGCAUAUGUAUAAUAUAUAUAAUUUUCUUCAUGAUUCAAAAUCAUAUCUCAAAUGUCAAAUAAAAUUCUCAAUUAAGAGUGGUCGGGGAUAAGAUUUUACGGAUUUAUAUUAUUAUCGGAUAAAAUAUAAUAUGAUAUUAAUGUAAUUAUAUUUUAACUUAUUUAUUUAGUAGUAAAUACUAAUGCCAUAUUUAUAAGUUUUAUUUUUUAAUUAAAUAAAUAUUUUUUAUUAUUUUUGGAUUCGUGGAUUUUUGUGAAUUUACAAAAGUAGAUUCAUAUGCAAUCCACCGAUUACGGAUUAUUAAAUUUUCAAUCUAAUUUAAUCUAUUAAUUUAUAAAUUAUUUUAAAUAUUAUAAAUUAUUUUUAGACUGAAUGAUGAAGGGUCAUUUAAACAAUUAUGGCCAUUUAAUCUAUCUAAACAUGAUAUUUCGAGCAGACUUAUGUUUGCCUAGAAGGAUAAUGUAAAAAAAGUGGCACUUUUAUUCAACUGAAUAAAUUCACAAUUUAAAUUAGAAAAUGAUAAAAUUUCUAUUUUGGUAAAUUCUUUUCUUCUUCUUCAACCCUAAAUAUUCAAAAGCUCUCCAAUGGCUUUCGUAUCCUCAACUCGUUCAUUUUAUUUUACAUCAAUUUCAAUAUCAGCUCUUGGAUGUAAUUUCUCAUCUUCGUUCCCUCAUACCAGAAAACCCACAUCUUCGAUUUCAAAAAAUGAGCCCUCAUAUCCGACUACAACAGCUAAACUGAAGGAGUCCCUACGACUGACAGUCAAAGACCGAGCCUCACUCGAAACGUUCCUCAGAGAAAGGUUCAAAUCAUCCGGUGAAGGUGAUAUUACUACUAUUACUCCUAAUGAAGCCUUGUGUGUCUUUGAUUACAUGCUCAAUAUGCGCCCUUCUCGGCCUCCCGUCACUUCCUUUAAUAUUUUGUUUGGUUGUCUUGCUAAGACCAAACAUUAUGAUACUGUCCUUUCACUCUUCAAGAGACUCAAUUCAACUGGGUUGUUUCCAGAUCUUUAUGCUUACAAUAUCUUGAUUAACUGCUUUUUGCAAAAUGGGUCGAGUUUCUCAUGGUUUUGUUGUUCUUGGGAGAAUCCUCAGGUCUUGUUUUACUCCAGAUGCUGUGACCUUUAAUUCUUUGAUUAAAGGUUUGUGUGUGGAGAGUAGAAUCAUGGAGGCCGCUGCAUUGUUUACAAAACUUAGAGUGUUUGGUUGUGAGCCUGAUGUUUUUACAUACAAUACUUUGAUUAAUGGAUUGUGUCGAACUGGCCAUACAAUCGUUGCUUUAAAUUUAUUUGAAGAGAUGGCUAAUGGAAAUGGGGAAAUUGGUGUUGUUUGUAAGCCAGACACUGUUACAUACACUACUAUUAUCGAUGGUCUUUGUAAGAAAGGUUUUGUGGACAAGGCCAAGGAACUGUUUCUGAAGAUGAAGGAUGAGAAUAUUAACCCCAAUGCGGUUACUUAUACCUCUUUGAUUUGUGGUUUUUGUUACGCUAAUGAUUGGAAUGAGGCGAAGCAUUUGUUUAUUGAGAUGAUGGAUCAAGGGGUACAGCCGAAUGUUGUGACUUUCACUGUGAUCAUGGAUGAGCUCUGCAAGAAUGGGAAGAUGGACGGAGCAAGUAGGCUGUUAGAAUUGAUGAUUUUGAGAGGAGUGAAACCCGACACAUCUACUUAUAACACAUUAAUUGAUGGUUAUUGCUUAACGGGUAAAAUAGAUCGUGCAAGGGAAUUAUUUGUUUCUAUGGAGAGUAACGGGUGCAUGCAUGAUGUUGUUAGUUACAGCAUAUUAAUAAAUGGGUACUGCAAGACUAAGGAUGUAGAGGAAGGUUUAAAUCUUUAUAGGAAAAUGCUGUCUAAAGGAAUUAGGCCAACAGUUGUUACAUAUCACACCUUGUUUCUUGACCUUUUUGAAGUACACCAGGUUGAGCAUGCUUUAAAACUGUUUGAUGAGAUGCGGCGUAAUCAUGUGGCAGCUAACACAUAUAUAUACACUACCUUUAUUGAUGGGCUCUGCAAGAAUGGUUAUAUUGUAAAGGCAGUUGAACUAUUUCGUACUUUGAGAAUUCUCAAGUACGAACUUAAUAUCGUAUCCUACAACUGCCUCAUUGACGGAUUAUGUAAACACGGCAGACUUGAAAUUGCAUGGGAACUGUUUAGUAGUUUGCCUCGUGUAGGCCUAAUGGCAGAUGUUGUAACAUAUAAUAUCAUGAUCCAUGGGCUUUGUAAUGAUGGGCAAAUGGACAAGGCACAUGGUUUAUUUCUUGAUAUGGAAGCAAAGGGUUUGGAACCCAAUUUUGUCAUAUUUAAUACGCUUAUGCUGGGUUUCAUCCGCAAUAAUGAGACCUCAAAAGUUAUUGAACUCCUUCACAGAAUGGAUAUGAGAAAUGUAAUGCCAGAUGCAUCUACACUCUCAAUUGUUGUGGACUUGCUUGUUAAGAAUGAAAUUAGUUUAAACUCGAUUCCACAAUUCAAGAGACACAAGUAAGUCAAUGAGCUGAAUGCUGAUUUACUUGCAUGUUUUGUUCUGCCUAAAAUCUGGAUCUGGAGAACCCAUUCUUAUUACAACACGUGAAGUAGUGUUGUGUAGUGAUGGCAUGGAAAAUGCUAGAUUUUUUGUGGUCUGAAUGAUACUACACAUCUAAGUAAUUGCCCAAAUAUUUUGUUCCUUGUUACAUGGCAUUCAAUUGAAUGAGGGCUCAUGAUUUUGUGUAUUGGUAUUUGUUAUACUAUGUAUUGGCAAGACAAAGUCUCUUGAAACUGACAAACUUUUCUCUAUGAAGAUUGAAGACAAUAUGACAAGAUAAAAUUUAUCAAAAGCAUAUAUGCUUGCCAGGGAUGGUCCUUUUGAUUAUUAGUCCUCGCCUUUCGUUCUUAUUUCAUAUUCUUCUGCUAACAAAUCUUGAUCAUGAUGAGUCUUAUUCUUUUUAAAAAAAACCCACACGUAAAGUCUUGGCCAUAAGCCUGUAGACCUAUUGGCUGUUGCGGUGGUGAGUUCACUCUCAGGAAUCAUAUCUUUCAAAUUCAAGCGAAUUUGAAGAAGCCCGAAUUUGAAGAAAUUUCAAAUGCCUACAAAGCAAAUUGUGUAAAGGUCCUUUCAAUUAUUAAUCUACUAAUUAAAUAAAAAAAUUAAAUUAAUUAAUUGUUAAUAUAUUAAUUGAUUAAUUAUAAUAAUACAUUAAUUAAUUAUAAUUGAGGAUAAAACAAACAUUUUUUAUUCUCUAGCAAGGCAAAAUGGUCAUUCCAAAAAAUGUGAGUUAAAUUGUCUAAUUUAAGUUAUAUGUGUUAUAAUAUAUAGCUUAAUUAUAGUGUAAAAACAAUGACAAUGUAAUUUUUUUUAUUAAUGCUAAUACUAAAUCUUACCAUCAUGCAAUUUUUUAAAUUAUUUUGUUUAAAUUAUUUAUGGUAUGUUUGUUUAUUAAUUAAAUAAACUAUUAUUUUUUAACUAUGACUUAAAUGUUUAGUAAAAACUAUUUAUGAAAUAGUACAACUGAAUACAUAUUCUUUAUUUUCAUCUUCUUCAAUUGUGUCUACCGAACACAUAUUACUGUUUUCAAUUUCAAAAUAUAGGAUAUAGAAAAUGAUACCAGACGCAUAUUUAAAUUCAAAAUACACCAAAUGUAAAAUACCGUUUUCAUUCUUAUUUUUGUCUUCAGAAAAUGCUAAUUUAGAAACAAUACCGUACAUAAACUUAUUUUUGGUAUGAAUAGUGUUGUGCUAGUUUUAUAGGCUUACAUGCACCCUCAAAUUUAUUAGAAGUAUCAACCGAACCCCCUAUUUAAGGUUAGAUUUACCCAUUGACUAACAUCUAACAUGUUGACUAAUGAUAACUCUUGAAAGUAACUAUAAUAUUCUAUAUUGUAAUCUCGCUGUAUUAACUGAUAAAUUAUAAAAAUAUAAAAAGAUCAACAAUAACAAAAUUAUUAAAGUUGAAAUCCAAGAAAUUGCCUAAAAAAAUGGUACCUAAACCAAAAAUAAAAACCAAAAUGCAUAAAAUUUCAUUAAUUACGGUGGUGACAAUGAGUGGUCCUCAUAAAAUGAGUGUAGAAAUUGAGUGAUUUUAGUACACUAUAUGAUCAAGGAACAUAUUUUAUCCUUUUACCAAGUUAUUACAAUUAUAUUUACUUACUAGAGUGUGAGUGAGGAGUGUGGAUUCCUCGCAUUCCAGUGAUUACUUGCAUAUUUUAAGGGGGUGUGGGAAUCCCACUCCGUGGAUCCCACCCAUUUUUUUAGUACAGAGUGGGGUUCCCACUCCCAUGGGAGGACAUCUACUCCCACCUUUUCCUUUUUUACCUUGAAAUUCUAGUUAUGCAACCCAAGAGGAGGGGGUGAAUUGGAAUUCUAAAAAUUAUUUAAUUUAUAAAUAAAAACUCAAUGCAAAUGUGAAUUAAAUUCAAAGUAAUAACAAAUAAGUUAACCAUAAUAAAAAGGAUAAGGGAAGAGAGAUUCAAACACUGAGAUUUUUACGUGGUUCGGCCAACCUCGCCUACGUCCACGCCUCCAAGCUUUCCGAGCUUGAGGAUUCCACUAAGCAAGCCUCCAAGGCUUCAAAUGCUUACACUUGACUUCCAAGGUGUCAAUAACCUUUACAACAAGAGAUUAUCCCAAUCUCUUAACCCAAGUGUAUCCCAACACUUACAAUCACUCAAAAUUAAAAGAUUAUAAAUUUGUUUUGCCUCUCACAAUAUUUAAGAUUACACAAUGAUACCUAAUAUGUGAAUAGAUGAAGCAAGAAUGUAUUUAAAGCUCAAUGAAGAUUGUAUUCUCAAGUAUAAGCUUAGUAGUUGUGUUGUGAUCAACUUUGUUUGAAUUUGAAUGAGCUUAUUUAUAGGUGGAGCUGAAAACUAGCCGUUAUUGACUUUCUGCACACUGUCGGAUCGCCGUUAACUAGAUGUUGGAUCGCCGUUUGACUGGUCAAUAUGACCGUUGGGCUGAUUUUUCAAAUUGUCGGAUCGCCGUUAUCUAGAUGUUGGAUCACCGUUUAGGUCCAGAGGCUAACCUUCAGUCUGUUUGAUCUCGGCGAGCUGUUUAUGAAACUUGUCGGAUCGCCGUUUAGGUCCAGAAACUAAUCUUCAUUUCUCAUUGAUCUCGGCGAGCCGUUUAUUAAACUUGUCGGAUCGCCGUUUAGGUCCAGAGACUAAUCUUCAAUUCUGAUUGAUCUCGGUGAGCCGUUUAUUAAGAUUGUCGGAUCGUCGUUUAGGUCCAGAGACUAAUCUUCAGUUCUGCUUGAUAUCGGCGAACCGUUUAUUAAACUUGUCGGAUCGCCGUUUUCCACAAAAACUGCUGCAGUGAACUGUUUUGCAAGAUAACUGUUUUGUCUCCAAAUCUUUAUAAAAAUACUUUAUGAAACUUGUCAAAAUAGAUGAAAAUUAUGUUGAGCUUUUAAAAGAUUAAUCAAUCUUAAUCAUGUUUGUUAUCAUCAAAAUCAAUAAAGAAAUAUUUAUGUUAACAAUCUCCCGCUUUUUAAUGAUGACAAACUUUUCAAGAAAAGAACUUGUGCAAUUUUGCUCCCCCUAAGUGAAAUUUUGAAGGAAUUGUUAACUUCCUUUAAAUAAGUGUCCAUUUAAUUUUAAUCCCAAAAAAAUAGUUUUAAACAAAGCAUAAUUAUUUGGUAAAUAAUCUCCCCCUUCAUCAUAAAAAAGAAAUAAGCGCGAAAAGAUUAAUAAGAGAGGCUGAGGGAUUACUUAUGUUUGGAAAAAUUUCGGUAGAAUCUCCCCUGAAAUAUGAGCAUAUCCUCAAUAAUACACAAAGUUAAAAGAAACACUUCCAUAUAUAUAUGCCAACAUAUCAACCAACCUCCAUACCAACAAUUAAACACUUCCAUAAUCAGCAAGAUAAACAAGAUAUUACCAAAACCAACUCAGCUAUAAAUCAAGUGCACAUGUCCAACAGAAAAUAUCAUAAAAGCAUCAUAAGCAUAAGCAAAAGACAAAGAACAUCAUAAGCAUAAACAAAAGACAAAUAACAUCAUAAGCAUAAAUACUACAUGAAAUGAGUAAUGUCUGUACGAAAAUCAGAGGGGCAGAAAACUAAUAUGGGGGCUCUGAAGAAGAGCUGCCUGGGUCAUAACCAAAGUAGCCGAGAAUACGACGCUGGCCAGCAAGUAACUCCAUCUGCUCUGAAAUUUGUUGUCGAAAGGUCGCAAAAUCAGAUUGAAGAUGCUGCUGCUGCUGGGACAGAACAUCUAUUAUGUCUAGAAGCUGCUGAAAGCGAUCCUCAGGAACAGCCGAUGCUGCAGUCUCGGCUGGAGGGACGGCAGUCUCGGCUGGCUCGUCAUCCUGAGAUGAAGCUGCUGCUGAUGCGGCAUGGGCUGCUGCUCUGCGAGGGACACGCGGUCUAGCCCCAAGGCAGAAAUCAGGUAACUCAUCCUCGGAAUAGAUAUCAUUUAACAUGCGAUCAUCCUCUGGUGCAAGCAGUGUAUCUUCAUUCUUUGAGGAUGUGGUCAUUUCCUAUUUCCCACGCUUCUUAAAAAAUCCGAUCGCAUAAAUAAUUUCUCGACCGAGCUUACGGGUCUCGAGAUAAACAAGCUCAGCAAGAGGAACUCGAAAGUGUUUCAAGACCCUAGUAAUGAUGCUGCCAUAAGGAAGGGAUUGGUUGGAGACUUUAGGAGUGGACAACAUAUGACAAAGAAUAGUGUAGGAUAAGCUCACAUGCCGUCUACGGAUGAUGGAAUCUAAUAGACCAAUAUCAAGUCUAGUUACCUCAUCAGUGUGACCUUGUCUAGGAGUAACCAUGUGUUGGAGAAUGAUAUGAAGUAUUCGAACCUGGAAAGGGAGGAAUUGAGACCUAAAGGACAAAUAACAGAUGUCAUCGGAAAGAUCCCGACGUCGACAAAUAUUUCGUACACCAUCCACAUGACGGAAUUCACUAAAUGAGAGUUCUUUCCUAGCGGUGUACAGAUCUAAACCUCCAUAAGAGAUUCCCAGAAUACUACACAAUUCAGAUUCAUUAAAAGCAAUGCGAAUUCCUCCUACAGACGUAUAAAGCUCGACACGAUGAGUAGAGGAAAAUUCUAUGUUUGAAUAAAAGACACGGACUAGAUUUUCAUAAAUGGGUUCUUCGAUACUUAAGGCUUGCUUCCAAUGACUAAGCAUGUGAGUAAUAGAGUGACCACAAAUGGUAAUAUCCGAAAACUCCGAAAUGUUAAGAGAAAAGGAAGGAGUUACCGGUUUGCCCAUGAAUUUUUCACGAAAUCGCUGAGCAGAGGUGUCAUCGGAGAAAUGGAGACUCUCGAAGUCUUGAGAGGGAGGCCUGAAGGGAUUGGAACGUCGUGGAGCAGUGUGCUUGGUUCGAGCACGCCUUUGUGGUCGUUCCGCCAUUGAUGAGUUGGGUGGAAAUUAGAUCGGUGGAAAUGAAGUUUGAGAGAUGAGAGAGUGAUUGAAAGUUGAAAUGUGAUUGGAAAAGGAAGAAAUUUGGGGUCCAUUUGAACAAAGGAGGUGCGACUGGUUUUAGGGUUUCAAGUUGGGAUUUUUCAAAAUUUGAAGAAAAAGAAAGAUUUUAAUCGGUCAAAAUAUGCUAAAGACGAUGAGGAAGGUUUGUAAUACUUCAAUUUGGUGAAAAAUGACAAGAAAAUGGAUAGAUUUGAGAAGGGAGAACUGGUGUAGUCGCGGGUUGAAGAGAGAGAGAAAGAGAGAGAAAAACGAAAUGAAGGAGAAGAAGAUGAACUGUUCACUUAACGCGCGAUAACGGCGAGCCGUUAUAGAGAUAUCGGCGAGCCGACAGAGUCUAGAGAGCUCCCAAAAAUUUUCAUCAUAAAGACAUAUCGGCGAGCUAAUAGGGUCCAGAAAGUUCCCCCCCAAAAAUUUUGCAUCAGGACGGCGAGCCGAUAGCGUCCAGAAUACUUCCCAUUGUUCCUGCCCUAAAACGGUUAGCCGUUUAUUGAAAUAACGGCAAUCCGUUUUCUAUAACUUAUGAUUUCGCACAUUUAUUUUGAUAUUUGGCUAACUAUUAAUACAUUUCAAGAUCAUUUCAUUGAUCCAAAAUGAUUUAAGUGCCAGUUCAAUGCAUAAUACAUGAACAUAUAUGUAUUGCAACAAUUAAUUCAUACAUUUUCAAAUAUACAUACACACAUGUAUAUUACGAUUGAGCAUUCCAUAGAUAUUAAAGCAUCAAAUCAUAAAUCAAUCAAUGUUAAUAGACUCAAUAGCAUGAAUAAAGAUAUUAAUGUGAAAAUUUCAUCAUCCCAAGUUCAUGCCGAAUUUUUGAAAAUUGUUCUUUGUAAAGUGGUUUUGUAAAAAUAUUGGCAAGUUGUUUUUCUGUAGAAAUAAACUCUAAUGCAAUAUCUCUCUUUUGAACAUGAUCUCUCAAGAAAUGAUGUCUUAUUUCUAUAUGCUUGGUUCGAGAGUGUUGAAUGGGAUUCUUUGAAAGAUUUAUAGCACUAGUAUUAUCACACUUAAUAGAAAUUUGUUCUAGGUUAAUACCAUAGUCUCUAAGUGUUUGUUUCAUCCAAAGACCUUGUGCACAACAGGUUCCUGAGCUAUAUAUUCAGCCUCAGUAGUUGAGAGUGCAACAAAAUUUUGUUUCUUGCUAAACCAUGAAACAAGUGAGUGACCUAGGAUGUGGCAAGUUCCACUAGUGCUUUUCCUAUCAACUUUAUAACCAGCAAAGUCCGCAUCCGAAUAGCAUGUUAAAUCUAUAUGAGUUCCUCUAGGAUACCAAAGUCCAAUAUCUAUGGUUCCACUCAAAUAACGAAAAAUUCUUUUAACAGCAAGCAAAUGGGAUUCCUUGGGACAUGAUUGAAAUCUUACACAUAAACAUACACUAAACAUGAUAUCGGGUCUACUUGCAGUCAAAUAAAGUAAAGAUCCGAUCAUACCUCGAUACAUUUUGAUAUCCACUUCUUUGCCUUUUUCAUCUUUGUCGAGCUUGAUUGUUGUGCUCAUUGGUGUAUUUUUGGUCUUUGAGUCAUCAAUGCCGAAUCGUUUGAGUAGAUCUCUUACAUACUUGGCUUGAUUUAUGAAUAUUCCUUCCUCAUUUUGUUUUAUUUGCAGCCCAAGGAAGUACUUCAGCUCUCUCAUCAUACUCAUUUCAAAUUCAUUGCUCAUACAAGAUGAAAACUAUUUGCACAACAAUUCAUUAGUAGAACCAAAAAUAAUAUCAUCAACAUAAAUUUGAACAACAAGUAUGUCUUUGUUCUUAUGUUUAACAAAGAGAGUAGUAUCCGGUUUACCCAUAGAAAAAUCAUUUUCUAACAAGAAAUUCUUAAGCCUAUCAUACCAUGCUCUAGGUGCUUGUUUUAAUCCAUACAAAGCUUUAAACAACUUAUAAACAUGAUUUGGAAAUUUUUCAUUUUCAAAACCAGGGGGUUGUUUUACAUACACUUCUUCCAUAAUAUAGUCAUUUAAGAAAGUACUUUUCACAUCCAUUUGAAAUAAAAUGAAAUCUUUAUGACAAGCAAAUGCCAACAACAUUCUAAUUGAUUAUAGUCUAGCUACGGCUGCAAAAGUUUCAUCAAAAUCAAUUCAUUCUUCUUGGCUGUAACAUUGAGCCACUAAUCUAGAUUUGUUCCUUACAACCACACUGGAUUCAUCCAUCUUAUUUCUAAAACCCAUUUAGUACCUAUGAUAGAUUGAUGUUCCGGUUUAGGAACUAAUUCCCACACAUUGUUUCUUUCAAAUUGAUUUAACUCCUCUUGCAUUGCCAUAAUCCAAGAUUCAUCAUUUUCCGCAUUCGCAAAGGAUUUGGGUUCAACUUGAGAGAUAAAUGCAUUAUGCUCACAAGUAUUCUUAAGUGAUGAUCUAGUUGUAACACCUCGUGAGAGAUCUCCUAAAAUUACAUCCUUAGGGUGAGAAGAGACAUACCUCCACUCAUUGGGGAGUGUUUGAGAAAUACCUUCUUGUUGCUCCAGCUCCAUAUUUGUUUGUUCUUCUUGCCUAUCCUCUUGAUUUUCUUGUGGUGCAUUCUCUUGAUUUUCUUUUGAUGAUUCUUCUUGUAACUCUCCAUUUGCAUCAUCAUUAGCAACUCCUUUCUCCGCAGAGGAUGGGUUAGAUUCAUCAAACGUAACAUGCAUGGAUUCUUCCACAACCAAAGUUCUUUUAUUAUAAACUCUAUAAGCUUUGCUUGAGUUUGAAUAUCCGAGAAAGAUGCCAAUAUCAGAUUUUGGAUCAAAUUUAGCAAGAUUAUCUUUUGUGUUUAAAAUAAAACUUUUGCAUCCAAAAACUUUGAAAUAACCAAUGUUGAGUUUUCUAUCUUUUCAAAGCUCAUAGGGAGUUUUAUUGAGAUGAGGUCUAAUCAACACCCGAUUUAAAACAUAGCAAGCGGUGUUGACGGCUUCGGCCCAAAAAUAUUUUGGUAAUGCAUUUUCAUUUAACAUGAUCCUAGCCAUUUCUUGAAUAGACCUAUUCUUUCUCUUAACAACUCCAUUUUGUUGUGGAGUCCUAUGUGAUGAAAAUUGAUGCUCAAUGCCAAGAUUAUUGCAAAACAUCUCAAAUGCAUGAUUUUCAAAUUCUCUUCCAUGAUCACUCCUAAUUCAUACAAUACCAUGCCCUUUUUCAUUUUGUAAUUUCUUACAAAGCACUUUAAAAGCAUCAAGAGCAUCAUCCUUAUUGGCUAAGAAUAAUACCCAUGUAUAUCUAGAAUAAUCAUCCACUAUCACAAAUGCAUAAUAUUUGCCAUUUAGACUAGCAUAUCUAGAUGGCCCAAAUAGAUCUAUGUGAAGGAGUUCAAGUGGUUUUGAAGUAGAAAUAUGGUUUUUAUUCUUGAAAGAAGUUUUGAUUUGUUUUCCAAAUUGACAAGCUUAAAAAAUCUUAUCCUUUUGAAAACCAAUUUUCGGAAGACCUUUAACUAAAUCAUUUUUUGAAAUUUUUGAAAUUAAAUCCAUACUAGCAUGUCCUAACCUUCUAUGCCAUAGCCAAUUAUCAUCAUGUAAUGCGGAAAAACAUUUAUCAAGAGUAGAUGUACAUUCUAUAUCAAUGAUAUACACAUUACCACAUCUAUUACCAACAAACAAGAUCUUGCCAUCACAUGAGUUCUCAAUAACACAACUAAAUUUAUCAAAGAUAACUUUAUAACCUUUGUCACAUAAUUGACUAAUACUAAUUAAGUUGUGUUUCAAGUUCUCAACCAAACAUACAUUUUCAAUUAGAGUUGAAGAGACUUUACCAACAUUUUCAAUUCCAAGAAUUUUUCCUUUUGAGUUGUCUCCAAAAGAUACGUCUCCACCAUUUUCUAUUUUGGUGAAGCUUAAGAACCAUGCAUAGUUUCCGGUCAUGUGCCUUAAACAACCACUGUCCAAGUACCAUUUAUUUUUCUUUUUCUUUAAGCCCUACAAAGAAAAUCUCAAGUUUUAGGUACCCAAAGCUUUUUGGGUCCUCGAGAGUUAGCAAUGGUUCAUUUUGGAACCCAAAUACAUUUGACACCAUAAUAUGCAUUCAUUUUCACGGGGCAUCUAUAUUUCAUGUGACCAUUUUGAUUACAAUAAUGGCAAACAAUCUUAUGAUCACUUAUGGAGGUAGCUUUAACAAAAUAAUUCUUAUAAUACUUUUGCUUCAAGUUUGGCUUAUAUCCAAGUCCUCCUUUAUCAAAAACACAUUUUUGUGAGUUAAGCAUAUUAUCCAACAUCUUUUGCCCAUGUGUAAAUUUCAAAACAAUCUCAUUCAACUCAUUUCUCUUUUUCUUGAGCAUUUCGUUUUCAUUUUUCAAAUCAUCUAUGUGUGAUUCUAAAUGCUCAUGUGAGAUGUUAGAUUUCUCAUUUGAUAACGCAAGUUCAUCAUGCAAUGUUUUGUUCUCUACUUCUAGGCAUGUAAUUUUUGCAUUUAAAGAUUCAUUUUCAUUUUUAAGCUUUGUCAUUUCCUUUUUAAGACAUACAUUCUUUUGACCAAUCUUCAUCAACUCAUUAUGCAAUUCUUUAAAAGCAUCAUACAAUUCAUCAUAGGUAGGAUCACUUACCUCAUUGAGAUCAUCAUCCUCUUCUAUUGCCAUAAGCGCUAGGUUUGAUACUUCUUGCAAUCUUUCUUCAUCACUUGAAUCUUCUUCGUUAUCAUCCCAAGUUGCAAUCAUGGCUUUCUUCUUGAGUUUGUUGAUAAGUGGACACUUCGAUCUUAUAUGGCUAGGCUUCUUGCAUUCAUAGCAUGUGAUCACCUCUUUCUUCUCCCUUUAGUUCUUGAAGUUUCUGAAUUUUCUUCGUUCUCCAGUUUUCUUGAAAACCUUUCUGAACCUCCUUGCUAGCAUGGCUAACUUUUCAUCAUCUAGUUUACUACCUCCAUCACUCUCAUAUUUUGAAGCUUUGAGAGCAAUGCUUUUCUUCUUCUCCUCAUCUCUUUUUUCUGCUGCCAAGUCUUCUUCAUAUAAAAUGAGAGAACCAAUUAAAUCAUCAAGAGGUAAAGUAUUUAAAUUUUUGGUCUCUUCAAUGGCGGUUCUUUUAGGUCUCCAUUCUUUUGGAAGUGAACUAAUGAUUUUAUUAACUUUCUCACUAUUUGAGAAGGUCUUCCCUAAGGCACCUAGGGUGUUCACUAUGUCCGUGAAUCUAGUAUACAUAGAAUACACAUUUUCAUUUUGUUCCAUUUGGAACAACUCAUAUUGGCGAGUAUAUCUACUAAUUUUAGACUCUUUAACUUGAUUUGUCCUUUCAUAGACAACUUCAAGUUUAUUCCAUAUUUCUUGUGCACUUUCACAACUAGAUACUCUAUGGAAUUCUUUCUUAUCAAGGGCACAAAACAAAGCAUUCAUAGCCUUGGAGUUUAGGGACAUUUUUCUCUUUUCUAACUCACUCCAUUGACUUGAUGGUUUACGAAUAUCAUCUCCUACUUCAUCUUUAAACAUAGGCAUGAAUGGACCAUCACAAACGACUUCCCAAAUUUCAUAAUCUAAGGCUUGCAGAUAGAUUCUCAUUCUAGUUUUCCAAUAGGCAUAGUCAUUACCAUCAAAGAAUGGUGGUCUAGUUGUGGAUUGCCAUUCUCUAAAGGUUGAGUCAUUUAGGGUUGCCAUGGAUCUUUUACUCUAGACGAUUAAGUCCUAACAAGAGAACAAGGCUCUGAUACCAAAUGAAAUUCUAGUUAUACAACCCAAGAGGGAGGGUGAAUUGGAAUUCUAAAAAUUAUUCAAUUUAUAAAUAAAAACUCAAUGCAAAUGUGAAUUAAAUUCAAAGCAAUAACAAAUAAGUUAACCACAAUAAAAAGGAAAAGGGAAGCGAGAUUUAAACACUGAGAUUUUUACGUGGUUCGGCCAACCUCGCUUACGUCCACGCCUUCAAGCUUUCCGAGCUUGAGGAUUCCACUAAGCAAGCCUCUAAGGCUUCAAAUGCUUACACUUGACUUCCAAGGUGUCAAUAACCUUUACAACAAGAGAUUAUCCCAAUCUCUUAACCCCAAGUGUAUCCCAACACUUACAAUCACUCAAAAAUAAAAUAUUAUAAAUUUGUUUUGCCUCUCACAAUAUUUAAGAUUACACAAUGAUACCCAAUAUGUGAAUAGAUGAAGCAAGAAUGUAUUUAAAGCUCAAUGAAGAUUGUAUUCUCAAGUAUAAGCUCAGUAGUCGUGUUGUGAUUAACUUUUGUUUGAAUUUGAAUGAGCUUAUUUAUAGGUGGAGCUGAAAACUAGCCGUUAUUGACUUUCUGCACACUGUCGGAUCGCCGUUAACUAGAUGGCGGAUCACCGCUUGACUAGUCAAUAUGACCGUUGGGCUGAUUUUUCAAAUUGUCGGAUCGCCGUUAUCUAGAUGUCGGAUCACCGUUUAUGUCCAGAGGCUAACCUUCAGUCUGUUUGAUCUCGGCGAGCCGUUUAUGAAACUUGUCGGAUCGUCAUUUAGGUCCAGAGACUAAUCUUCAUUUCUCAUUGAUCUCGGCGAGCCGUUUAUUAAACUUGUCGGAUCGCCGUUUAGGUCUAGAGGCUAAUCUUCAAUUCUGAUUGAUCUCGGUGAGCCAUUUAUUAAGAUUGUCGGAUCGCUGUUUAGAUCCAGAGACUAAUCUUCAGUUCUGCUUGAUAUCGGCGAACCGUUUAUUAAACUUGUCGGAUCGCCGUUUUUCACAAAAACUGCUGCAGUGAACUGUUUUGCAAGAUAACUGUUUUGUCUCCAAAUCUUUAUAAAAAUAUUUUAUGAAACUUGUCAAAAUAGAUGAAAAUUAUGUUGAGCUUUUAAAAGAUUAAUCAAUCUUAAUCAUAUUUGUUAUCAUCAAAAUCAAUAAAGAAAUAUUUAUGUUAACAAUCUCCCCUUUUAUUUAUUAAAAGAAAUAUAACAAAAUAAAUAAUAUCAUAUAUAAAACAAAAUAAAUAAUAUCAUAUUUACUUAAAUAAUAUUAUUAUAUUAUUUUAUAAAAUUUCAUUUAUUAAAAAGAAAAAUAUCAAUCUCAUUUAAAUAAAACAUUAUUAUAUUAUUUGAGAUUAAUGAUUAAUAAUAAUAAAUAGUUUAUUCUAAGAAAAUAUUAAUUUUCUACUAUGUUUUUAAUAAUAAUGUUUCAUUUCUAUUGCUCUCAUCAAUAAUUUUUAAUUUAGAUAACUAAAAUUAAAACUAACAAAAAAUUAUGAUUUACAUAAUUAAUAAUAUUAAUAAUUAUUGUUAAUUUACAAAUAUAAUGAAAUAAAUAUUUCAUUUUUCAAAUAUAUUUUUUAUUAUUUUUUAAUUAAAAACUACAAUUCUUUAAAUAAGGAUAAAACUGUAAUUUGAAACUAUUUACUCUUGAUCCGAGACAAAGUAAACACAUAAAUUGAAUUUUAAUUCCAAUUCCAUACUCCUAUUCUAGUGUAAAUAAAUAAUCUACUCCUACUCUACACUCUCAAUCUCAGGAUUCCUACUCUAUUCGAAAAUGUAAACGCUAACAAAAUGUAGACCAGACAGAGGUGUAUUUGUUUAUUAAUUAAAUAAACUAUUAUUUUUAACUAUGACAUAAAUGUUUAGUAAAAAGUAUUUAUGAAAUAGUACUACCGAAAACAUAUUCCUUAUUUUUAUUUUUUUCAAUUGUGUCUACCGAACACAUAUUACUGAUUUUAAUUUUAAAAUAUAGAAUAUAGAAAAUGAUACCAGACGCAUGUUUAAAGUCAAAAUACACCAAUUGUAAAAUAUCAUUUUCAUUUUCAUUUUUUUUUUCAGAAAAUGCUAAUUCAGAAACAAUACCGACCAUAAACUUAUUUUUGGUAUGAAUAGUGUUGUGCUAGUUUUAUAGACUUUAUUAGAAGUAUCUACCGAAACCCCUUUUACCAAGUUAUUACAACUAUAUUUACUUACUGGAGUGAGAGUGAGAAGUGUGGAUUCCUCAUAUUCCAGUGAUUACUUGUAUAUUUUAAGGGGUGUGGGAAUCUCACUCCGUGGGUUCCACCCAUUUUUUGAGUUUAUUAUUUUAUAAAAUUUCAUUUAUUAAAAAGAACAAUAUCAAUCUCAUUUAAAUAAAAUAUUAUUAUAUUUAUUUGAGAUUAAUGAUUAAUAAUAAUAAAUAGUUUAUUCUAAGAAAAUAUUAAUUUUCUACUAUGUUAGUAAUAAUAAUGUUUCAUUUCUAUUGCUCUCAUCAAUAGUUUUUAAUUUCGAUAAUUAAAAUUAAAACUAACAAAAAAUUCUUAUUUACAUAAUUAAUAAAAUUAAUAAUUAUUGUUAAUUUAAUAUAAUGAAAUAAAUAUUUCAUUUUUCAAAUAUAUUUUUUAUUAAUUUUUAAUUAAAAACUACAAUUCUUUAAAUAAGGAUAAAACUGCAAUCUGAAACUACUUACUCUCGAUCCGAGACAAAGUAAACAUGUAAAUUAAAUUUUAAUUCCAAUUCCAUACUCCUAUUCUAGUGUUAGUAAACAAUCUACUCCCACUCUACACUCACAAUCUCAGGAUUCCCACUUCUCAGGAUUCUCACUCUAUUCGAAAAUGUAAACGCUAACAACAUGUAGACCAGACAGAGGUGUAUAUAUAUAUAUAUUCUGAAUCAAACGUCAAAUAAAAUUCUUAAUUAAGUAAACCAUAAGGUGAUUGCGCAUUAAAAAAUUAAUAAUAUUAAUUUUCAUAAGAAUUUAUGCUUGUAGUAUUGCAUUACUUUUUAUUAACUGUUGCUUCAACUUAUGGUGGAUAUUAAGAGAACAAUAAUAAUAGAGCUAUAAACGGUCGCAUACUAUCAAUUAAAUUAACACUAUAAUUUGGUUUACCAUACAAAUCCUUAAUCUCAUAAAUAAUUAAAUUAUUGGGGUUUUAAAAUGCAGACUUGCCAUGGCUCCUAUAAGUAAUAUCAGCCACACUUUUUGUUAUUGGUAAAAAAAUAUUUCUAGGUACAAUUUGUGAAUUUGUACAACGUGUGGUAUUAAACAUUUGAAGCAUGAACUGACAAUGUUGCGUCAAUAAUAAAGAAAAGAAAACGAAUUGUAUAAUACACAGGUGUUCUAGUGUAACUUGGAUUCUUUUUCUUUAUAAGUGCACCUAUCAUGUGAUUUUUUUUUUAAAAAAAAGAACUCUUGAGAUUUUAAAAUUUUGUAAUUGCACAUCUUUAGAUUGCCAGGAGAUUUCCUCUCCUUAAAGACACCUUUAAUCCAUAAACGGUCCAAAAAAUAAUUCAUAAAAUGAAUUGAUUAUUUUAGAUAAAUUUCAAGUAUGCAUACCUUUUAUAACUCCAUUUUGCAUAACUCCUCAUUUCACUCAAUUGAUGCAUUUGUUCACUUUUUCUUUCUUGUAAAUUUUUGAAUGGACGUAAUUUUAUAGAUUAUUAGUUAAGUGCUAUUAUUAUCAAUUUUUUUUGUUGAUGCAUAUGUGGGGUGGGGCCGUUUUUGGGGCAUGGAUCUCAAUACAGCAGAGGGCCAGAAUAUUUAUUCUUUAAGAGGAACCACAACCAACAAAAAUGCUCUAAGUUCCAUUCCAUCUUACUUCUGUGCACCGUAUUGCAUAAACAACAUUGAUAUCCAAGGUCAAAGCCUCUCAAACACUUUGGUUACAAGAUAAAGCAUGGGAUUGCGGCCAAAAUUUUCUUCUAGUGAAAGGCUCAGAAAAUGAUGACAACUGUCGGAUUGUUUUGGGCCUCAAUGGUUUUAAUAUUAUUCUCUUACAAAUAUAUAUGUUGAUUAGAGACGAGAGGAAGAAGGGGAUCUGAUUUAGCCAGCUGCACAAGAAAGAGCACACAGUGGAGUCUAGAUUUUGAUUUCUCUUGUUAAAUUGUUUUCAAUUUACUACAAGGUAGAAUAAAUUGCAUUCUUAAAAAAAAAUAUUUUGAACAUCAUAUUUUUGUUUUACAAAUAUACCAAAAAUUAAAUUAAUUUUUUUCUUUAUCAGUAUAAACUAAAUUUUGCAUGAAUCCUCAUCUUUGUAAGUGGAAUUCUAUUGUGAAACUAAUGGUCCUUCCUAGUGCUAACUGUCACUUUGAACAUAUGUGUCAUCUCUAACAACAACUUCCAGACCAGCCGCUAGCUCCUUUUUAGCAUUAGAAGUAGCAUCCACAUUGGCUUUCAACCAGCCAUAAGUCGGAGGAGGGGACCAUUGUUUCUGUUUGUUAGUUUUCUUCCUUGAAGCAUAAGCCAUAAUUAGGAGGACGGCAAGCUUCCAAAUAACAUUUCGAAUGGUAUUGUGAAAAUCUUCCACCUUUUGGUGAAAAAAAAAAACCUUAUUUCUAGUUCUUUCUUAAAAAUCUUAUCACUUUAAGUUUCCUCUUAAGUAGGAACAUCAUAUAUAUUAAUUUGUUGUUAAUAUAAAUAAAACUAAAUAUUUAUGACUUAAAAGAUAGGUGUUGAAUGGCGGCCGUCUCACUCAAAAAAAAAAAAAAAAAAAAAAAAUAUAUAUAUAUAUAUAUAUAUAUAUAUUUAAAAGCAAUGGUGAUAUCAUCAUUUUUUGUACUGAUAUGAGAAUAUUACACUAGAUUUUUUUUUUUGCAUUACAAAAAGUUUGAAUUCAAGAAUAAAUAAGCAAUAUCAAGAUCAAAUUUUACAAAAAGCCUCCAGGACAUGCCAUAUGAAUUUGUGAUACGAAAAAUAGUAUACUAGUCACUGGAUCUUCUUUUCCUCAUUAGGAAAAAUUAGAAAUGCAAUCUAAAUUGAUAUCAAUUACUAAUUUUAUAGUGAAUGGGUCUUGCACGAAAACAAGAAAUUUUUUUAUAAUAUAAGAAAUUAUCAGUCAUUUACCCUAAAUUUAUUCUGUCUCAAAAAAUACUACAGAAACUUUAACUUGCUUAGUUUUUUUACCUUAAUUUAUAAUUUGUAUCAGUCACUCUCUAAAAAGAUAGAAUCACUUCAUAAAAUGACAAAAUAAAAAUAAAUACAAAUGAAAAAAUCGGUUCAUUUUAUAAAGAUAAAUCAAUCCGUUUGGCACCAAAUUACAAAUUAAAUUAUUUUAAAUAUUAUAAAUUAUUUUUAUACUGGGUGAUGGACCUAAUCAUUUUAAUAGUCAUGACAAUUUAAUCUAUCUAAAUAUGAAAUUUCAAAUAGACUUAUGUUUGAGUAGGAGGAUAAUGUUAAAAAAUUUGGCACUUUUAUUCAACUGAAGAAAUUUUACAAUUUAAAUUAGAAACGAUAAAAUUUAAUAAUUAACUAUUAUUUGAACUAAUUGAAUCGUGCGCUAUCAUUUGUGUAAUGUAUCCUACUUGCAAAAUAAACGGCAGGAUGCGGUUUGCGGACAGAUUAUCAAGGUAUUUGCUAAUAUUCGGAAAUGGAAAGAAAAAGGCAUAUAUUUCUCUCCUAUUUUGGUAAUUCUCUUCUUCUUCAACCCCAAAUAAUCAAAAGCUCUCCAAUGGCUUUCGUAUCCUCAACUCGUUCAUUUAAUUUUACUGCAAUUUCAAUAUCAGCUCUUAGAUGUAAUUUCUCAUCUUCGUUCCCUCAUACCAGAAAACCCACAUCUUCAAUUUCGGAAAAUGAACCCUCAUAUCCGACUACAACAGCUACGCUGCGACUGACAGUCAAAGACCGAGCCUCACUCGAACAAUUCCUCAAAGAAAGGUGCAAAUCAUCCGGUGAAGGUGAUAUUACUUCUAUUACUCCUAAUGAAG